UGCUCCAUAGUUUGGAUGGAGCUCUCCACCGAGACCGGAUCGUUUGUGUACACCACCGAGAGGGCCUUCCCCCUCACGUGGGUGUCCACUACGUGAUGCAUGGUGAACUGCCCGCCAUUGUCGUCGUCGGCCACUGGGAGCGCCAUUGGAGCCACGGGGAGCGCCAUUGGAACCGCUGGAUGUCCUCUUUGUAUGUGUCCUCGUGGGUGUGCUUAUUGUGUCGUGUGCGUGAGACGAGAGAUGAAGGUAAAUGGCCACAGGAAUAAAAGGGGGCCGUGCGGCGUGGAUUCUCGGCGCGUCCGCAUGGCAGUUUUUGCAGUGGGUAACUGCAUCGUCGCGCCGCGCCCGGCGCAACCGCUUGCACACGAAUGUGCGUGAUCAUGCGCCAGCCCCGAACACUUGCAUCGCGCGUGGAGGGACGAGGGCAGAGCACCUAGAGGGACGCGAGAGCAGAGCGCGCGUGGCGGGAUGCGAGCAGAGCGCGCCGCGGCCGCCUGAACCGCAAGCAACCACGCAUAGAGCAGUUGAACACGCAGGAAAUGGUCGCCUACAAGCUGGCCGACGGUUGCAUCGCUGCGUAGAGAGCGGCCGUGUGCUACCACCUCCGUCUAGUCUAUAGUCUCCUUUAUAUUAUGUGCCAUACUUUGCCCUCAAAUUUAAGCAACAAAAUGUUAAUGCAUGUUUUAAAAAUUAUAUAAUUGGAAACUAUGUUCAAAUACAAAUCCAACUAUAUAAUCUUUGGCGACAUGCAUUCGUAUUUUAUUAGUUAAAUCAUACUUAUAAACCAGGACGGUGGUAUAGUAGGUAAUUAAAUCCCAAACAUUUUUUAUUAACCGUAUGUGUACGUGGCCUUUCGUCCUCCUCUCGCACGUCUUGUCACCCCGCUGCCACAGACGGCUCACAACGCAAGCUUGCGCAGCGCGCGGGGGCGUACUUUUGGCCAAACGGUGGCGCCAAUGAAUCGUCGGUGAGCCUGUUCCCGCGCAACCUCGCAGGUUCCCGCGCAAGCUUCCUGCCCAACUCGGUGAAAUCCCCCAAAAUCCCAAUGCUUACCGGCCUGCUAUAAAAACCCUCACGGCCGGCGAGUCCUGCGCCGCAUUUUCCCCUCCCUCCCUGUAGCUUAUCUCGUCUGCUUCUCCCACAAUCGCCAAUGGUACCUGUCAGUCGUCGUCGCUCAGCCACUCCGCCGUCAUCAGAGGACAGCUCCAGCUGGGAGGCUACACCACGGCGGCGGCGCAGUCCCCAGCGUAGUGUAGUGCGCGUGGCGUCCCUGUUGGGUGUGCGCGGAACACCCACCACACGCUCCGCCGCUGCUGCCCGUCGGCAGCUGUUGCCGGCCACCGUUGCCGCCACACCACCAUCGAAAGCCAGGGCCAUCGCCCGCUCCGUCGCCCGACCCGAAGGUGGGAGGUGGCCGUCGUGGCCGCCACCCCACUGCCGGCCACUGUGGCCAUCACCCGCUCCGCCACCAUGGCCCGAAGGCGGGAAGUGGUGGUCGUGGCCGCCACCCCGUCGUCGGCCGCUGUGGCCGCCAGCCCACCGCCGACCACCGGGGUCAUCACCCGCUCCGCCACCACCGCCCGAAGGCGGGAGGCGUAGGUGGAUGCCUGCAUGUGCGUCAGCGACCUUGCGCGCUACACCGAGUUCCUGCAGGAGGAGGAGCACCUCGUUGAGCACACAAAGAGCCUGACCGCCGUUGUGGCCGCGGCACACGCCACCUCAGAGGCGAGGAAUCAGGAGAUCUAUGAGGAGAACCACCGCUUUGAGAGGGGUCUUCUGGAGCGGCAGAGGGCGUUCGAGGUGAGCGUCGCUGAAGCUGCAACAGCGGCAGGCACCAUAUUGCGGUUGCCCAGCUUGUCGGUAGGCUCCUCCUCCUCCACCUCUUACUGAGCGCGCUCGACAGAGGAGAGGCAGCCGGAACUAGUACAAAGCCCCUCUGCAGUAGUAGUAGUAGUAUUUAGGGGCUAUUUUGUUCAGUUCAUCUGACUAUAGAUGUCACGUCCCUAGUUCUAGUAUGACCUAGACUAGCUAGUCAUGUGUGCAUCAUGUCUAAAUUUCAUUUAAAUUUGAAAUGGGGAUUUGUGAAACCCUCAGAAAUCAUUUAUGGAAAUGACCCAGAUAAAAAUUCCUCCAAAAAGGUCCAAGGAAAUGUUCAUGUUACUCUCUGAAAAUAUUGGACAGAGAUAAAAAUCAAACCAAUAUUUUUAGGAGCUCAUAAAUAUUUAUUUUGGCCAUUUGGAAUUAAUGCACUAAUUAUUUGCAUUGGAUAUAUAUAUGUUAUAUAUGUCCAAAAAUUCUGAAUUUUGGUGAGGGGCUUUGGAUUAAUCCCUUAGGUCCCUGCAAAAAUUGACAGAAGUAAAUAAAAUGAUUUAGUAUUCUACUAAAUCAGAACAAAUGUCAGGAAAAUAGAAAAUAAACAAAAGGGGGAAAAUCCUUACCUGGACUUACCUGGGCCACUUGCUGGCCUGGCUCUGUGCCGGCCCAGCUGACUGGCCAGUGCUAGUCGUCCCCUUCCUCACGCGAGGAGGACAGGGGCACGCGCUCGCCGCCCGCGCGCAUGCGCGCCACCUCCUGCUUCUCCCCUCGUCGCCUGGAUCGCUCGAACGACGCGACGCGCCGCCCCGCACCUCUCUCGCUCUCUCCCGUGCCCAUUCUCUCUUCUCCCUCGCUCUCUCGCACGACGGCCGAACGCCCCCGUCGCCGCCGCUCGCCAUUGUCGCAGCCACCGCCUCCUCCUCGCCUCUCCGACACGCGCAGGAGCUCCGCCUCCUCGCUCUGAAGCUCUCCGCCGAGCCACGCAAGCCGGAGCACCCCGUGGAGCCGUCGCCGUCGCCAUCUUCGCCUCCGCCCGCCGUGGAUCCCCAUCGCCGCCCCGCCGACUCCAGCCCUUCCCCGAGCUCUCCAACGACGCCCGCCGAUCCGCUGUGAGCCCCGCGUCGGUUUCCCCUCCUCUCCUGCUUCCCCGUGCUCUGUAGCCGCAGCCGCUCGAGCCUGAGCUCCGGCCGCCGCCGCGAGCUUCGCUUCGGCAAGCUCUGGCCACCCUGCGUCCUCCCGUCGCCUCCGCUGGAUGCGGACGAGCCCGGGCUAUGCCCCGAUGCUCUCAGCCGCCGCCCCCGUGCACCGCAGCGCUGCGCCCGCCCUUGGCCGUGCUCCGGCCGCCGCCGCGAGUUCUGCUCCGGCGAGCCCCGGCACACCCAUGGUCUCCCGCUUGUCUCACGGGAUGCGCGCGAGCCAGGGCUCCUCGGAGAUGGUCUCCGCGGCCCUUUUGGUCGUCGGAGACGCGAUCCCGAGCCCCUCCGCCGCGUUUGGCCUCGCCGGCGGCUAAACGCCGAUGGGGUUUGACCCUUUGACCUCGCCGGCCUGACAGGUAGGUCCGGCUUGUCAGGUGAUUAGCUUAAGGCUAAUCACCCUCUAAUCUACCCCCACUGACACUGACAAUGGGCCCCAGCACCGCUAAAUAAUUUGGGUUAACUAGAAAACCCCUCCAGUUAACACUGAGUCACUGACGUGUGGACCCCACACGUCAGGUUUGACUUGGUCAGCGCCGUUAACCCGCUGACGUCAUGAUGACGCAGUGCUGACGCAAUAAGCCCUUUUUCUGGAUUUAAAUUAAAUCAGGAAAUUCCAGAAAAUUAGUAAAACUUCUAAAAUUCAUAGAAAUUCAACCGUAGCUCAGAUUUAAAUAAUUUAUAUAUGAAAAAUUAUCAGAAAAAUGCAACCUAUCCAUCUGUACUAGUUUCAUGCAUGACAAACCAACUUAUACCUACUGUAUAAGUGAAAACAUAUAAAUGGCAUAUAUAAGGACUUAAAUUAGAGUUGCAUUUGAACCUUUGGUUCAAAUGGAUCUCUUCCAAGUUGAAUGCUAAAUGCAUUGGCUCAAAAUACAUCACAUAUUCAUGCCAUAUUCAUGCAUCAUAUUGUUGCAUAUGAUUGUGUUUUAAUUGUCGACACCGUUCCUUCUCGAUAGGUCCUGCUCCGGAGAGUGUUCCAGAGUACCUGUCCGAGGAGCAGUGCCACCCUGUUGAUCUACCAGGCAAGCAAACCCCCUUUGUUCAUUCCGAUACAAUCCUACUCUCUCGCUCCUGCUCUCUUUUACUGCAUUAGGACAACAACGAUUCAACUGCUACUUUAUGCUGCGGUAGCUGAACCCAUUCCUCUGCAUGACCUGUCAUUGCCACAGUAAAUAGUUGAAACCCACUAGCAUGUGUAGGAGUUGAAUGAGCCAUGUUGUGUUCCUACCAUGCCAUGCCUGCUAUUGCUUAGAGUUGUGUCAGGUCUGAUUCAUUGGGAAUGAAUUGGAGUGUUACGAGAUGUUCUGGUGCCGAGAGUUAAGCGUGUGAACACGAUUUGGUAAAGGUAGCGGUGAGAGGCCAUGUAGUACAUGGUGGGUUGUCUCAUUGGGACCGUCCUUAAGAACCGAGUUCUGUGUAAGUUGUCCAAUGACUAGCUACUACCACACAUUGGGCUCCGGGCGCUCCAAGCUCUCUCGACUUAUUAACCGCCUUGAUCUCUGUCCAGGAGUUGCAAAUAGUUUCUGGUGUUUGUAGGUAGUGCUAUUUUUCUACCGAGUGGCACCCGGCAGGGUGGGCUUGGGACAGACUAGGCACACGUGGCCGGUGUACCGAGUGGCACCCGGAUGGUGGGCUCGGGAACCCUGCACACAUCGUUUGGGGCCGUGAGCGACACCCCGGCCGGAUCUCCUUGCGGAUGGAACCCGAAUAGGCGAUAAACCUGGACUAGAGUCUUGCGUGGUUAGUCAGGUCGUGGCCGACACCCUCGCCAGGCUUCCGCUUGAAGGUUGCUGAGGUACAUGACGUGUACAUGGCGGUAAGUGGCGAGAGCGUGUGUGACGUAGUACACCCCUGCAGGGUUAUCAUGAUCUAUUCGAAUAGCCGUGUCCUCGGUUAUGGACUUCUUGGAUGCUUACGUGGUACAUAGACAACUUGAAGUGGAUACUCUAAAAUGCUCAAGAUAAGUGUGAGUGCUAUGGAUGGCUUUUCGUAGUGAGACGAGAAUGAAUCCAUAGUGGUGUAUUGAGGUGGUGAUUAGUGGACUCGUGUGCGCCUUCUUACCUCAAAGAAGUUUCUCAUAGUCGUAGAACAGGAUAGCCACUAAGUCAAGCUGGCUUGCUGCAACUAAACCCCACACUACCUUCUUGAUACAAAUGCAUGUAUGAUAGGAUCUGAUGUAAGUCUUGCUGAGUACCUUUGUACUCAUGUUGCUUUAUUUAUGUUUUUGCAGCGGAGACUUCGGUCUUACUAGUAGUUCUGCUUGGACUUCGACGAGUAGCUUAUACCUCAGCUACGAUCUUGCACCCUUGGGAGGGUCUUGUAGAUAGUCAGGCUUCUCAGCCCUUUUCCUUUGUAGUUGUCUGUACCCAGACAUGUAAUGCUUCUGUUGCUUGUAUGCUCUGAAUGAUGGGUCAUGUGACCCCUGUUUGUACUUAAUGCUAUGUGGCUCUUCUGGGCCUUUUAUCUAUAUGAGUUUGCGUUAUGUUGUGAUGCCAUGUUGUACAGCACAUACUUGCAUGUUAUGCGUACGUGUAACGUGUAUUGCUAUGUGUGGGAUCCGACAAUCUAGUUGUUUAUCCUUGGCAGCCUCUCUUAUGGGGAAAUGUAGUCUAGUGCCUCCUUGAGCCAUAGUAGUCCGCUACAGCCCGGUUCACCGGAGUCCUGCUAGCCCAGCAUUACUGCUCUGGACACUUGACUGGCCGGCAUGUGUUUCAUUUCGUUCCUGUGUCUGUCCCUUCGGGGAAAUGUCACGCGGUGACAUCCGGAGUCCUGCCUAGCCUGCUACAGCCCGGGUUCCCGGAGUCCUGUUAGCCCAGUGCUACAGCCCGGAUUCACACGCUGCUGACCGACACGCUCGAUGUUGAAUCAUGUAUGCCUGUCCCCAUACGUUAGUGCCGCUUUGGGUUCACGACUAGCCAUGUCGGCCUGGGUUCUCUGUCAUAUGGAUGCUAGCGACAUUGUCAUAUAUGUGAGCCAAAAGGCGCAAACGGUCCCGGGCCAUGGUAAGGCGACACCCGUGGGAGUACCGUGCGUGAGGCCGCAAAGUGAUAUGAGGUGUUACAGGCUAGAUCGGUGUGACUUAGAAUCGGGGUCCCGACAAUAGAUGUGGUGGAACUAUACAACGUACUUAAAAUUAGCUAGUAUAUAUAGUUGAACUAGCUAUUUCAGUACGUGGUUAGCAACAAUUGGGGAAAAGUUUGGUCGGUUCAGCUGUCGAGUUGAACUGUUUGUAUAAAUUAAGAAUGACUACUUAAUCUAUGAAUGAAAUCUAUGCUUAAUUACUGAAUUUUAGUUGCAAAAAUUAGAUACUGCUAGUGAUUUUUAGCUUCAUAUUUUGACAAAUCGCAGUGUUACAAGGAUUGACAAAUCUUACCAAAUUGUUUGUACGUGGUUGCACACGGGUCAUCCAAAACAACCGUUCGCAUUGAAGGGAUGCACAAAUCCUGCGCUGCUCUCACUUUGCAUAUGGGUGUUCUAUCUAAAACAUUUGCGAUCAAGAGCUGCAGAAAUCCUGCUCGGGACAUUUUCUCUUGGCUUCCUGGGGAAGCUGUCGGUUUGCAUACCAGUGUUCUAACUAAAACAUUUGCGAUGAGUGUUUUAUAUUUAAAAAGCAAAUUAAACUGCGGCUUGGGCGCCAUUAAUGGAGAGGAUGCAAGCAAGGCGGACGACCAUGAAAGUCAAAGGGCUCGCUUACCAGUGAGCCUGCGCAGCGCACAGCUUGCACGCUUCCCGGUGAGCCUGCGCAUUCGAGGACAGCUUGCACGCCUCUCGGUCAGCCUGCGCACCGGACGGCGCUCGCACGCCUUUCGUUCAGUCAAGGUCAAGCAGCUAUCUGCACAACACCUCCUACAACCAUUAAAACCAAGACACGUGGCGUCACGUGAAUGGUUAACAGAACGCACACGGUUCGAAUUAUACAAACGUUUGAGAUAUUAAAGUGCCAGCUAUUUUUUCAAAAUGCCUUUGUUGGCUGUCAUUAUUCGAGUGCGCCUUCUCUCAAAAUGGACACGAAAAAUACCACAGCAUGUCGGGUGCCAUUCCAUGAUAGAAUGCCAAGUUUCAUGAAUUUCAGACGACUUUUGGAUUUACUAAAAUUUAAAAAUAAAGUACUCAACAUUUUGCUGGCAAUCAACGGAGCCCUGGUGUUUGAAAUUCAUUUCCAUUUCUUGCAUGUGACCUAAGCAUGCACCCAAGGACACAGAUUUGAUUUUCAACCAAUUUAUAUGCACUGGAGCAUGUGCAUGUGGUUCAAAUUUGAAUUAUGCACAUAAAUGCAUUGAAAACUCAGUUAAUGCAUAAAAAUGUCCAAACGAACCCCAAAAAAUCACAAAAAUUGACACAACACUCCUAUUGUUCUAUGUUGACACGUGAAAAAAUUUGAAAGCAAUAAGAGGCAAUGGAUAUUGUUUCGUCCCCAAAGGUGGGAUGUUCCCUACUGAAACCAUCAUGCUUGUUGUGAGAAGCUCUGGUUUGUGAGAAGCAUAUACCCAAACCCGCCCCAAGUGGGACAAAAAAAUUACCACGGCAUGUUGAUGCCACUCCAUGAUAGCAUGCCAAGUUUCAUGAAUUUUAGACGAGUUUUGGAUUUACGAGAAUUUAAAAACCAGGCAUCUCAAUAUUUUGCCGCAAUCAACGGUGCCCUGGUGUUUGAAAUUCAUUCCCAUUUCUUCAAUGGGACCUAAGCAUGCACCCAAGGACACAGAUUUGAUUUUUCAACCAAUUUAUAUGCACUAGAGCAUGUGCAUGUAGUUCAAAUUUGAAUUAUGCACAUAAAUGCAUCGAAAACUCAGUUAAUGCAUAAAAAUGUCCAAACGAACCCCGAAAAAUCACAAAAAUUGACACGACACUCCUGUUGUUCUAUGUUGACACGAGAAUAUUUUUGGAAGUAGUAAGAGGCAAUGGAUAUCGUUUCGUCCGCAAAGGUGGGACGUUCCCUACCGAAACCAUCAUGAUUGUUGUGAGAAGCUAUGGUUUGUGAGAAGCAUAUACCGAAACUUGCCCCAAAUGGGACAAAAAUUUUACCACGGCAUGCUGAUGCCACUCCAUGAUAGAAUGCCAAGUUUCAUGAAUUUCAUACGAGUUUUGGAUUUACUAGAAUUUAAAAAUAAAGCAUCUCAAUGUUUUGGCGGCAAUCAACGGUGGCCUGGUGUUUGAAAUUCAUUCCCAUUUCUUGCAUGGUACCUAAGCAUGCACCCAAGGACACAGAUUUGACUUUUCAACCAAUUUAUAUGCACUGCAGCAUGUGCAUGUAGUUCAAAUUUGAAUCAUGCACAUAAAUGCAUUGAAAACUCAGUUAAUGCAUAAAAAUGUCCAAACAAACCCCGAAAAAUCACAAACAUUGACACAACACUCCUGUUGUUCUAUGUUGACAUGAGAAAAAAUUUGAAAGCAAUAAGAGGCAAUGGAUAUCGUUUUGUCCCCAAAGGUGGGACGUUCCCUACCGAAACCAUCAUGCUUGUUGUGAGAAGCUCUGGUCUGUGAGAAGCAUAUACCCAAACCUGCCCCAAAUGGGACAAAAUUUUUACCACGACAUGUUGAUGCCACUCCAUGAUAGCAUGCCAAGUUUCAUGAAUUUCAGACGAGUUUUGGAUUUACUAGAAUUUAAAAACCAGGCAUCUCAAUGUUUUGCCAGCAAUCAACAGUGCCCUGGUGUUUGAAAUUCAUUCCCAUUUCUUCAAUGGGACCUAAGCAUGCACCCAAGGACAAAUUUUUUUUUCAACCAAUUUAUAUGCACUGGAGCAUGUGCAUGUAGUUCAAAUUUGAAUUAUGCACAUAAAUGCAUUGAAAACUCAGUUAAUGCAUAAAAAUGUCCAAACGAACCUCGAAAAAUCACAAAAAUUGACACAACACUCCUGUUGCUCUAUGUUGACAUGAGAAAUUUUUGGAAGCAAUAAGAGGCAAUGGAUAUCGUUUCAUCCCCAAAGGUGGGACGUUCCCUACCGAAACCACCAUGCUUGUUGUGAGAAGCUCUGAUUUGUGAGAAGCAUAUAUACCCAAACCUGCCCCAAAUGGGACAAAAAAUUUACCACGAUAUGUUGAUGCCGCUCCAUGAUAGCAUGCCAAGUUUCAUGAAUUUCAGACGAGUUUUGGAUUUACUAGAAUUUAAAAACUAGAUAUCUCAAUGUUUGCGGCCGAGUGACGGUGGCAGGGUGUUUGACAUUCAUUCCCAUUUCUUGCAUGGGACCUAAGCAGGCAACCAAGGACACAUAUUUGAAUUUUCAACUAAUUUAUAUGCAUUAGAGCAUGUGCCGGUAGUUCAAAUUUGAAUUAUGCAGAUGAAUGCAUAGAAAACUCAGUUAAUGUAUAAAAAUGUCCAAGCGAACCCCGAGAAAUCCCAAAAAUUGACACAACACUCCUGUUGUUCUAUGUUGACACUAGGAAAAAAUUUGAAAUCGAGAAGAGGCAACGGAUAUCGUUUCGUCCAGAAAGGUGAAACGUUCCCUACCGAAACCAUCACACUUGUUGUGAGAAGCUCUGGCUUAUGAGAAGCUUAUACCCAAACCUGCCCCAAAUUGGACAUAAUUUUUACCACGGCAUGUUGAUGCCGCUCCAUGAUAGCACAUGCCAAGUUUCAUGAAUUUCGGACGAAUUUUGAAUUUACUAGAAUUACAAAAGCAAGUAUGUCGACGUUUGCCGGAGAGCCACGGUGCCGUGGUGUUCGAAUUUCAUCCCCAUUUCUUGCAUGGGAGAUAAGAAUAAACCCAUGGACACAUAUAUGAUUUUACAACCCAUGUUGGUGCACGGGAGCAUGUGCAUGUAGUUUAAUUUUGAAUUGUGCACCUGAAAUGGCUAGAAAACCAAUUUAAUGUAUAAAAUGUUCAAACGAACCCUGAAUAAUUCCAAUUCUUUUAUGACACACAUAUAGUUGCAUGUUCACUCCAGAUAAAAGGUCUAGCAAUUAAAACACCGUCCAUUGCCGCUGUGACCCCAUUAUGUAAUUCAAAUCAAGAUGAAAAAUCAAGUAGACCGCACACAGUUUAUUAUCACCAACCGUGUGAGAUGCAGCACAAAAUAUCCUGAAACACCGUCGGUGUAUAGUACGCCUAUGGCUUACGCGAGAAGGUGCGUCGGCUACAGUCCGCAGCCAGCGUCUCAAGCACACUAGCUUGAUCCCCAAAUAUCAUUUCACUGUUCAAUCGUCGUCGGUGAAAGAUGGGCACGUGGACCCGCGUCGUGAGGGCAACUUCAGUGGCCCACUUCGGCGAGAGCACGGUCGUAGCCGCCAUGCGCGUGCUAACAAGGUGCAUGAGCGCGGCCGCAAUCUACGACCGGGCGGCAAAGGCAGCCCAAACGGCUGCUGUUGCUUCUCAGGUGGCGGCAGCAACAUCUGCCUCGGGGAUAGCAACUGGCGAGAGAGGCACAGCAGCUGUCCGUUCCGCAGCGGCGGCCUUAGCCCAGUUGGAGGCCGCGCACGACCAUGUCGAGGCCUCCCACGCCCAGCUCCUGGCGGUCACCGCACAAAUCGAACGAAGCUUCUCCGACAACGGUCGGCAACCCACGGCCGAAGAGCUGGCAAUCACCGAGAGCGUUCGAGCAGCCGUCCGUUCCUCUGCCGCAUACCUUGCGACGACGGAGCCCGUCCAAGCCCAGAUCGCGUCUGCCCACGCCCAGCUCGUGGCGGCCUUUUCCAAAGAGAUGGCGGACGCGGAUGGCGAGAUGCUUGCCGAGUAUGGUGUGAUGGAUGCCAUGGAGCCCCUUCCCCAGGAGACCGUCGGGCGCGAGCUGGACAUGGAGGCGGCGGCAGAGAUCGACGAGCACCAGCCGUAGUAGUACUCUUUGUUUUGUUUAAUUAAGAGCGCCGGUCUUUAAUUUGUUAGAGUAAUGUUUAGGUCAGCUAGCUCAUUUUAAUUGCUGAACUUGCUCGAUUAAGAAGUGUGGGUGUGCUGUAGUCUCCUUUGUGUACCAAAAUUAUGCAAUGACCUGGGUGACCACUGUAACCAUGGAAAUUCGAACCAAAGCUUUUGACAUUCAAACUCAUCACACACGGGUUAAGCUAUCUGAAUCGUUUGUGAUGUCCACAUAUCAUACACAGUUCUGAAUAAGGGACCAUGUCUGAUGACACUUUGCGCGCCAGUUUUUUGGCUGAAGCGAUUCCAAAAUUUCGGCUUCCGCGGAAAUAUCUACCUCCCCGCCCCCCCUUACCAAAAGCCACAUUUCCCCUCUUUCCGCCUUCCUUUUCAAGUUGAAACCUUCACUCCUUGCUUACAGCGCCGCCUCCUCGUCGGCGACCCUCCUUCACGCUGCUCUGCCUCGUCUAUCCAGGAGGUAAUCCACACCCGACCCGCAUCUCCUCCUCCUUCCACAUCCCACAUGCCCCGACCGCCGGCGCGAGCACGACACCUUCCACCCAAAUCACCGACCCCUCCACCAAAUAAGCGCCGCCCUAAGCCAUGGUGCAUGCAGUAUAGCCAGGAUCUCAAGGAGCAUUUCACAGCGGAGAAGCAAAUCGCGGCCGCACGCGCGGAUGAGGUCGCGAUGGCUGCCAUUCGUGCCGACCCCCAGAUCUUGGAGGAGCACCGUGCCAUUUGCUAGCUAUGCCGGUUAAGCAUGCUCGGUUUACCCGUUGCGUGUGUUGCUCCUGUCUUUCCUUCACAAAUUCUAGUGAAUUGUGCUAUCUAAUUUUACCAUGCAAUCUGUUGCUCUAGUGUAUAUGUUCUAUAUGUCGUGCAGUGUGGUGCUCACUUAUUAACUGUUUUGUUAAUUAGUUGUCGUCUUCAGUUAACUGUUUGGUUCAAUUCUGCAAAUGUGAUGUUCAAUUCUUCGGGCUGCAAUUUUGUAUUGUCUUCCAUGUGAGAAAUAAAUCGAAUUUAUCUUUACAAAAUACAUGAGAAACGAAUACAAUUGCUACAUUUCCAAGUUGUCAAGCAUGCUUGGUUUGGUUAUACAUUGUGCAAUGUGGUGCUCAGUUAACGUUUGGUUCAUUUGUGUUGUGGUGUUUAGUUAACUGUUUGGUUCAAUUCUGCCAUGCGAUGUUCAAUAGUUGUGGGUGCAUUCUGUUAUUGUAUACCAUGUGAGGAAUAAAUUGAAUUUGGCUGUAGUAAAUACAUGAGAAACAAAUACAAUUGCUACAAUUGGCUGUAGUUAAGUGUUUGAUUAACUGUCUGAUCUUCUAUUAGGAGUAUGUUGUAUUGUGCAAUGUGGUGCUCAGUUAAUGUUUGGUUCAUUUGUUGUGGUGUUUAGUUAACUGCUUGGUUCAAUUCUGCAAUGCGAUGUUCAAUUGUUGUGGCCGCAUUCUGUUAUUGUAUACCAUGUGAGGAAUAAAUCGAAUUUGGCUGCACUUAAUACAUGAGAAACAUAUACAAGUGCUAUAUUUCCUAGUUCUUAAUCAUGCUUGGUUUGGAUAAAUGGGUUUUCCGUGUGACUUGAAUUAAUGUGAUGAAUCUGCAAUGUGCUUAUUUUUCAUCAACAUAUUUUACUAAUAGCAUGCGAACCCUUACUUAACCUGAUGACUAACUACCUUAUAUGUGUUGCAGGGAAACAAUGGGAAGCACUGAGGUUUACAAUCGAGGUUAGCACGUGCAUGGUCCAUUCUCUAAUAGCACAUUAUUGUGCAAUUGCACCAAAAAGAAAGAAGGCUCACACCAUAAUAAUACAUACCCUUUUUCCUCGAUCGUCAAGGUCGUGGAUUUGGAUCGAUUUCGGUUUUACGGGAACCAUUCUAAUAUUUCGGUUUUUAACAAUUUGGUCUUGCACAUGUAGGUCCUGCUGUUAGAGGUUUUGACCCACUGUUCGACCCUUUUUGCAUAUGGGGAAAUGAGUUGUCCAUGAAUAUCAAUCAAAUCAAGAAACUCAGAAAGAUUGUUAGGAUAAAGAAAUUAGUGACAAAAAACAACAAGAUCUUUGUCUGCACAAUGAAGAAGACAUCAGUUAACUACAAGAUGGUACCAACUAUUAUACCUUGCCUUUUUUUAUUCCUUUGCCCCAUUUCCAAUAUAGAGAAGAUAUUUAUGCACAUCCUUGUUUUCAGGCCUUUCCAAAGCAGUUCACUGAUGAUUACCUCUCAAAUCACCUCUAUGGUCAGGAGGCGAGGAAGGUUUUCAUACAACACCCACGGUUCAAUAUUGAAGUGUUCCUGAAGAGGACGAAGGACGGACGGUCAAUCAUCCACAGGCACUGGCCGAAAGUUGCAAAGACCUUCAACAUGAAUGAAGGCUUAAUAUUUGCCUUCCGCUUCAGCAGUUUUCCAGAUGAGAUGCAUCUGUCUAUAUACCGUCUAUGAUGCUAAUUUCGAAAGGUUCUACAUGUUGCAUGUGGAACUUGGUGCUGGUGCAGUCGUGUAAUGGGGUAGCUGAGUGCUGAAGCUAUAUCAUGUUGUACUCUGAUGUAUUUCAAUUAUGAAAUUCUGCUUCCUUCAUAUGGAAAUGAAAUAUAUUGUUCUUAAUAUGAAUGUCAAUUAGAUUAAUAAAUGGAUUAUUAAUAAUAGGGCAAUUAGCCGGCUAAUGGCGAAUUAGCCCGCUAAUUGGGUUUUGAUAUUGCAAACGGUUAUUGAAAAAAUACCGCGGGGGAUGACCUCAGGCAAUGCACAAAGUUUCUAGGAAUAAACUGUGUUGGAUCAAUGAACAAUCACACACAACUUUCUCUUGAAAACUGUUUGUGUUAGGCCCCCUUGCGCAAACGUUUACCACAUAAAAACUGUGUGUGAUGGGCAACCUUUGCCACAUAGUUUCUUCUAUGGACCGUGUGUGAUACGUUCAAUAACGCAAACGAUUUAACGGGAAAAAUUGUGUGUGAUGUACCUGUGAACGGAUACGUUUUCCUUGGAGCGACUGUGUGGGAUGUACAUACGAACGGAAACGUUUAGCGGGGACUGACUGUGUGGGAUGUACUUGCGACCGGAAACAAUUUCGCCUGUAUAAUUGUAUUUUUUAGCUCUACUGUACGUAUUUCCGUAUUUGAGCGCUCGCCGAUCGCACACGACCUCGCCAAGCGUGUGUGCAAGGAGGGUAUAUCCCCGAGGUUUCUGGGUCGUGUGGGAAGGACCCCCUAUCGCCCACACUCACUUGGCGACGGUUCCAAAUGCCGUCGCGGAAAGGGGUUAAAAACCGUUUGUUUAGGACCGACGCUUACCAGUGUACAUCCAGUGCUUCAACAAUGUUCGCCUCAAGAUCCCCAAGGUGAUGGACGAGGCCAUCAUCUCAGCAUUCUCUGAUGGUGUCCAUGAUGUAAAGAUGAAGGAGGAGCUCACCAUACAUGAGGACCUGUGCACGACUCUGGAGAUGUUCAACAUGGCGACCAAGUGCGCGAGAGCUGAGGAAGGACGCCUCUCCAUCCUCAAGCUCCCAGCUGCCGACCCAGAAGACAAGAAGGCCAAGACCAAGGACGUGAAGUGCAAGGGGGCGGCCGUGCUCGCGGCUGAGCCGGAGAUGAAGCGCGGCUGCGACCACCGAGAGUCAUCCAAGGGCAGCCGCCCGUUCUGCGCCUUCCACAACGUACAUAGCCACAACACCAAUGAAUGUCAAGAGCUCAGGGCCAUCCGCGACGGGCGCUUCGGUCGACGCCCCGAGCGCAACGAUUGAGGCUACGACCAUGGAAGAGGUCGAAGUGGAGGACGCUGGGACGACCGCGGCCCCCGCCAGGAGUGGCGCGGUCAGCCUCAUGAGGACCGCUGGCAGGGCCAGCCUCGCGAGGGCUCCUGGAGGGAGCAGCCCCGCGAGGACCGUCCCCAGGGCAAAGCAGGCCUCCCUCCACUGCUGCCACCACCAAGGAGGAACGACGAUCAUCACCAGGACGAGGGGGCUGGGGGCUUCCAGGAGCCGCGCACCAUCGCCUGCAUCUUGGGCGACGCUCAGGCCCCAGCCUCCCAGCGCAUCUUCAAGCAGUUCGCUCGUGAGGUGAACGCGGCCCUCCCUAGGCUCGAGGCCACGCGCCCGCUCAGGUGGUCCAAGUGCACCAUCACCUUCAGCUCGUCCGACCAGCUCAAGUGCACGGCAACUGCCGGCGCCCUCCCGAUGCUCUGCUCGCCCGUCAUCAGCAAUGUCCUUGUCACCAAGACCCUCAUUGUUGGCGGAGCGGGGCUUAAUGUUCUUUCCAUCGAGACGUUCGACCGCCUCCAGGUGCCAUAUGAUCAGUUGCAGCCCACCAAGCCCUUCUCAGGAGUGACCGACGGCUCCACCACUCCGAUAGGGCAGAUUCGCCUCCCUGUCACCUUUGGCCAACGAGACAACUACCGCACCGAGCUCAUCGACUUCGAUGUCGCCAACAACCGCCUACCGUACAAUGCCAUCCUUGGAUAUCCGGCCCUGGCCAAGUUCAUGGCGGUGACCCAUCAUGGCUACAAUGUCAAGAUGCCAGGGAACCGCGAUGUCAUCACGAUCUCCUGUGAGGAAAAGGACGCGGUGUGCUCUCUCGAGCACGCCUACGAGGCUGCGGCGGUCGAAGACCCGGACCACGAAGGCGCCAUCUACCCUCCUGAGGCUGUCCCCAAGAAGAAGAAGAAGAAGCAGCUGCUCCGCCAAGAUCCUCAGGAGACCUGUGUCUCCAGCCACACCACCUCAGGACCUGCGCCCACGGAUGGGGCGCCUCCCUCCCUCUCAUAGGAAGGCGCGCCCGUCGCCCUCCUAAGGCUGGGCUCGGGGGCUCUCUUCUGUAGGGCCUCUGACUUAGCCAACGUCACGAGGGAGGCGCUUGGGCACCACGUGGAGGCAUACUUCAUCGCACGCUUCCCUCAUGAGGGCACAAGGCACGGGCCGCCUGGUGCUCAGGAGUUCAUCACCAAGACGACCGAGGAGCUUCAAGAGGCAAGAGCCAUGCGUGGCGACCGCCGCCCACCACCUGGCGUAGCUGCAUGUCCUGGUGAGGACGACGAGCUGCGCGUCUGCGUCAACAUCCCAAGGCUCAAUAGGGCCGCAUCCCAGGAACACUUCUGGCCUUCGCGCGUUGGUCGGUGUGAGGGUCCACCUCACAGCUAUGUUCACAUGCCAUUUGGCUUGCCGAACGCAGUUGUUACCUUCCAGCGUCGCCUACGGAGCGUCCUGGCAGCUCGGGAGGCCAGGUACCAGGCGGUCCUGGCGGAGAUGGCGACGGUUCUUCACGAGCCCCCCGGACCUCCAGAGCCUCCCGAGGUUCAGGACCCAGGCGGCUCGUGAGGAGCGACCUCUUCAGCACGCGUCUUCAGCUGCUUCAACAUCUCUCCAACAACGGUGCCAGGUGACAUUUUUCCGGUUCAUUCUGUUGGGGGCGCCCCUCGGGCUGCAUUAUCCCCAGGUCGCAUGGGCCUGUCCCUGCGACAUGUAUCCUUUGCAUCUUUAAUUUACUCCGUUGGGGGCGCCCCUCGGGUUGCAUCAUCCCCAGGCUGCAUGGGUCCGUCCCUGCGGCAUGUAUCGUUCUUGCAUCUACCCGAAUUAGCUUACCUCCUCCCAUGAGUUGCCUUAUGAUUAUUAUAUGCCUGCCCGGUACUUCGAUACCAUGAAUGUCGUACGCCCUUGCAAACCCACCCACGGCCGCCUCAUGAUUAAGGACUGGCACGACGUCUGUGCUUGGGUCCGUCCCUGCAACGUCGCUAAACCCAAGAGGCUGAGCUCUGGCUCGCAGGCCAGCUCCUGUGUACAUCACCUCCCAUGGUCCUUGGUGCCUUGUCCUCGCAUGAGCUAAUCGCGGGCGGACGAGCUAGGGUGCGUGACCCGGUGCCUCGGCACCACGGGAGCCACAUGCCGGUUGUCUUUCUUCAGGAUUUUUGCAUGAGAAGACUGGGCACGGCAUCUGUGCUCGGGUUCGUCCCUGCAGCGUCGAUAAACCCAAUGACUGAGCUCUGUCUGGCGGGCCGGUCCCGUUCACGUCACCUCCUGGGGUUGUUGGUGUUUGGCUUUCUCAUGUGAUCACCUCAGAAGAUUCACUCGGCGCAGGUUGUCUAACCACCUCGCAGGGCCAUCACAGCUAUCAAGAAUGAAAUUCAGGCGCAACCCGCCUUGAGGUAGGCCCUCGUGAGUCCCGCGCUGGCUCAUGGAUGCCCAGACACACCUAGUCUAGCCCUGCCGUGCAAGCCACGUGUCAGGGUGGGGCUGUACACGCCCCGAGGGUUCCACCCAAAGGAAGCCCCCACCCACGCACCAGUGGAAGCACCAUGCCCCGCGCUGGCAAUCGGCAUGGUCAAGGAGCGGCUAUGCCCGUGCAAGUGCGGAAGCGCCAUGCUCCGCGCUGGUGAUAAACAACUGAGGGCGGCCCCAUGGCCGCAUCAACCUCAGGGAGCCACCAGGCUCAGUGUCCAGCCUCAUCACAACACUUUCCCCUCGGGAGAGUCACGCGAGGGGCUGGGCACGGGGGCUACGCCACCCUGCCAGGUCCCUCGGACCUGGUCGUCGCGCGCCCCUCCCAGGCGGGACCUCGGUGAGGACAGGUAUGGAGGUCUGUUCGUACAUCGAGGGGGAUUCCUGAGCAUCGCGACUCAGGAGCCUAACUGGUCACGUAGCCCCUCACCCCUUGGUCUCGCCCUGGUGAUCCGGACGACCCAACGGUGGCCGAGGCAUGCGCGGGGCCGGACCCUGCCGACGCAGAAUGCUAAGGCCUACUUUCGCAUUUCCUUCCCGAGGGCUGUUUGUGCGUCAAGGGGGACUCCUGAGCAUCGCGACUCAGGAGCCUAACUGGUCACGUAGACCCUCACCCCUUGGUCUCGUCCUGGUGACCCAGACAACCCAACGGCGGCCGAGGCAUGCGCGGGGCCGGGACCUGCCGACGCAGAACACUAAAGCAACGGGAAGGAAAUCGCAAAAUCCUAACAAAUUAUUACAAGACAUAUUGUUUCUCCAAGUAUCAAACAUAAGUUUCAACGCCUCCAUGAGGCACUGUGCAUGUUGCAGGAAAUAAAAAUGGAAGGAAGCGCUGCCAGCAAGCCUCUUCUUCAGCCUUAGGCACUGCCAUCGCUCGUGAGGGGUGCCCCGUCGUCGACAACAUCGCCGUCACCCGUGCCAGCGGUUAUGGCUGCAGGUUCGGCGACACCGUCAGUCGGGGGUGCAGGGUCGAUGGCGGGGAACUUCUGCAGCAGGGCCUCCACUUGGUCCUUCACGGUUUCGGCGGCGGCGGCGCAGUGCUCCUCGUCCACAGGCUCAAGCAGGGCUCCCAAGUCGAUGCUGGAGUCGCGAAGAUGGAGGUGGCUAAAGACGCGCGUCAUAGGUGAAGCGAAGAGCGCGCGGGCUCCCCCCUCCACCAACGGGCCGACUCCAACAGCAACGCCCUCGAGCGCCUCGACAAGCUGGGGGAGCAGCUCGGCAGGGCCUUCCUCAGCAGUCACCAACGGCUCCUUCAACCCCCUUCCGUAGAGUUCCCGCAAUGCCUUGCGGGACCUCUCCUCAAGGGAAUCGAAGGCAGCAUGAUCGUUGGCAAGGAUGUUUGCCUUGGCCUCCAGCAGGACCUUCUCCUCCUGCACCUCCUUCUUCAGCUUCCCCAGGCGAUCGCGCUCCGCGGCCUGCGCCUGCGCCAACUGCUCCAGCUCAGUGUCCCGACCGGCGACCGCGUCUUCUCGAGCCUUCAACUCCUCCUCCCGCGCCUCACGCUGACGGGCCUCGGCGGCACGCUCGGUGCGCAGGGUCUCCAGCUUGGCCUUCACCGCCCAGCAGCGCUCCUCGGCGGCCUCGGCGUCCUUUAAUGCCGCGUCACGGGCGGCCGCGGCCAGGCCGGCAACCCGUUUACCCUCCUCGGGAUCUGCUACGGCCUGGCUCCACGACGCCCUGGCGGACGCGCCAGACCGCAGCCACCCCGAGAUCAACUCCAGGCACCCCGACGCCAGGCGACAAUCUGCGCCUUGAAGGUCGUCGCGAAGCUAGGUCAGUGCGGAAAGAGCCUCCCCCACAGCGUCGGGUGAAGCAGGAGAGUCACGGCCCGAUGGCGUGAUGGAAGGGGGAGGAGGAAGCACCGGCACCAGGGUCAUCAAGUCAGCAGCAGCAGAGGGGACUGUCGGAUUGCGGGUUUCGGCAAAACCCUUAAGGUUCAAACUCUGGGGUGCGCACGAAGAUCUCUCCCUCCCCCUAGCUCACACACUCACCACGAUCUCAAAGCUCAUCUCGUCGAACUUCGAAGAACAAGGGACACAACAGUUUAUACUGGUUCGAGCCACCGAUGUGAUGUAAUACCCUACUCCAGUGUUGUGUGGUGGAUUGCCUUGUAGGCUGAGGAUGAACAAGUACAAGGGAAGGACAGCCUCCUGAGGAGAGGUGUUCUUGAGCUCGGUGAGCUUGUGGGUGUGAGGGUGGAAUGGAUCUGAUCCAAAGUCUCUCUCUUCCUAUGGUGGUGGCUAGUCCUAUUUAUAGAGGCCCCGGUCCUCUUCCCAAAUGUUAGGCGGGAAGGGAUCCCACAACGGCCAAUUUGAAGGGGGACAGCUAGUACAAGCUAUCAUGACAAAAGGUGGUCUUCGCCUGCUAAAGGCUCUGGUGGUGACACUGUCGUGGGCUCCACGAUGACCUCCAUCCUGUCGUCCUGCUGGUCUAGGUCUCGUUGCACCGAUAUGGAAACCUUUGCCUGAUGCCUCGGGACUCUUCGCCUGUGCCUGCUCCUUUAGCACCAAAGAGGAAGCCAAUACUCUGCGCCGCCUGGCCUUGGUCGUCAUGGCUCAUGUCACGGGAACCUCACGAGGUGCCCCUCGCCUUGAUCUCUCCGCUCCUCGUGAGCUAGCCUAGUGAGGCUACCCCUGAGGAGGUCUUGUGUCGUCCGCCUCGCGAGGGUCUUGAGUGUUUGCUGGUGAAGAUGGGCCAUACCAGGCCGCUAGAGGAGCCACGCCAUGGACCGCAGGCAGGCAAGUCUGGGGAACCCUGUUCCUAGAACGCCGACAGUAGCCCCCGGGCCCAAGGCGCGCUCGGACUUGGCUUCGAGAUGAAGCCAAGGGGAAAGUGCGGAGCGCCACGGGCCCCAACCGCCUGCGGCCUUGAUUGACGCAUGGCGACUGACAGGACGUGGGUGUCUCCGCUUCCCCACGCUGCCUCAGGGACCGCCCGACUUGACGAGUCCCUAGUGCAUGCAUAAAAGACCAUCAUUACCUGGGAUCGUGGGGGUCGCCGGUUGGCCUUCUUCUGCUAUAAAUGAGGAGGGGGGCCGAGCCCCCGUCGCCCAUCUCUUCCCAUCCCGCUCGUUUCUUCUUCCCUGUUUCACUGCUAGCAGCGGCACCCAUGGUGCCGAUACGGAAAUUCUCGGCCGCUGAGAAGGGAAAAGCCCCCCGCGACGAGCCGGGGCCACUUCCGCCGAAGAAGAGGCUGGCCCACCGCGCGACGUCGCCGUGAGGCCGGAGGUGUCGAGGCCUUGGCACGAGCGGCCUCCCCCCGGAUAUCCGCUGCCUUUGUAUGCCCAGGCCGAGGGCUUCGGAGGAGGAGGUGGCAAUCAACGCCGUCCAUGCCGCGACCGUGGUUGCCGCGCCGCGGCGGCGCCGCCGUCGCCCCAGGAACCCACGUCGAGGGCUCCUCGCGUGAACUGGUGGUGUGGGCGGUGAUGCCUCCGCGCUCUUGGAUUCGCUUCCCGCAGUUCUUCUCCGCCUAGAUGCCGCCGAGGGGUCCCCUCGAGCUAUGGCUGCAGCACGCCGAGUGCGAUGCCCCGGUGACGGGGGCGGAGGUUGAGGUCGUCUCCUCGGGCAAGAUCUUCAUGACUCGCGGAUGGGGUGAGGUCGCCCGAGUUUGCCGUGCGGAGGGCGCCCUCUCCAUCCACUUCGGAUACGACGGCGCCUCCAUGAUGUUCUUCAAGGUCUUCGACGAGGAAGGCCGCCGCCUGGAGGGCUGUCCUGGAGGGGGUCGUCGGGACGACACAGCGGCAGGAGCCGGGCCAGCUGCUGGCCUCGCCAGCGGUUCCUCCAGCAGCAGCAAUGGGGCUUGGGAGUCCAGCGACUCUCCCAAGCCCUACGAGACUCCGGAGACAAGCGACGACAGCUACGUGCCCCCGAGCUCUCGCCAUGCCCAGAGCGCAGCUGCGGCAUCCGCUCGCCGCCGUCAUUGAUCUGGAUGGUUGGCGUCGGCCUCCCGUGGCCCACUAUUGAUGAUGGCAUCGGCGGCGUCGGUGCUUGCAGAUAGAGCUCCUAGAAACAUUCUUCUUUUGUUUCCUGCGAGGAAUCGAGACGAACCCCGUGGGGGCGUUAAAGGAUCUAUAGCGCCUUUUGUUAAUAUUGUCCUUAUUAUGAAGAUUUACGACUGCACGUCCUGCUUCGGCUCAAUCCCCCAUUUCCAUCCUCGCUGUAGCUUGGUGCUCUACGCCGACAGGUCCCGGUCCCCAGGCAGGCUGCAGCCGUCGCUGGUAUGCCAGGUCGCGAUGCCGUGGUCAAGGCCAGGAGGUGAGCGGCCCGAGGUCCAGUGAGAGCUUCUGAGACGCGAUGCUCAAGAGGUCCCCUUUAGUGUGCAAGCAGCUACCUAAGGGUAGGAAAGGAAGGCGGUGUCGCCGUAGAGAGGCUGCAAGAGAUGGGAAUCCUAUGCCACAGCGCUUGGCCGACCCGAGUGCGAAACUUAUCUUAGCGGUCCAGAGUCGACUGCUUGUGCUGCGCCAGGCUCGUGCGUCAAUGGCCAUAGUGUAGCCGGGUUAGGCCCGUGCGAGCUUUCCCCCUUUUACCACGCUCUUUCGUGUGCUCUACGGCCUCGGGUCCCGGCCCUCGUGCGAGCUCAUCCGCCGCUUGUAUGCCAGGUCGCGAUGCCGUGGUCAAGGCCAGGGGGAGGGCUGGAGAGCCAGUAGGAGCUCCUGAGGCGCGAUGCUCAGGUGCCCCCCUUUUAACGCGCAAGUGAAUUGCAUGGGAAAAGAAGGUGCCCGCGGUACCACCCGCUAUCGUCCUCGGGAGGUUCCUGCAGGUUAGUCGGAGAGAGAGCAUAGCCCGUGAUCACGUUGGCUACCCAGUUGCUGAUUGUUCCACAAGAAGACGAAGGCACUGAGGAUCUGAUGAGGUGACGUGUGCGGAGCGGGCCGCGAGCCAGAGCUUGAUCUCUCAGGUUUAUCAGCAUUGCAGGCACGGACCCGAGCACAAGCGCCGUGCCGGUAUGUGGAGUUUUCGCCACGAGGUAAACAGGAGAUCGGUCAGCAACGCGGGAUGCCGCGGGAUGUAAUCAAACAAGCGAUAGCCGUAAGAAAAUCACGCAAGGAGAUAAGCUAGUUCAGAUAGAUGUAAGAACGAUAUAUGCCACUGGGACGGACACGAGCGGCCUGGGGAUGAUGCAGCCCGAGGGGCGCACCCGACAGAGUAAGCUAAAGAUGCAAAAAUGAUACAUGACGUAGGGACAGGCCCACGCGACCUGGGAAUCAUGCAGCCCGAGGGGCGCUCCCAGUUGAGUAAACAUGGAAAAUGUCACCUGGUACCGUUGUCGAAGGAGGGUUGAGGUAGCUGAAGGUGCGCGAUGAAGGUGUCGCUCCUCAUGAGCCGCCAGGACCCUAAGCCUUGGGAGGCUCUGGGGACCCGGGCGGGUCUUCGAGGAUCGUCGCCAUCUCCGCCCGAACUGCGUGAUGCCUGGCUUCCCGAGCAGACAGGGCACUCCACAGGUGGCGCUGGAAGGCGGACGCCAUGUUCGGCAAGCCAAAUGGCAUGCAGACGUAGCUGUGAGGUGGACCCUCGCACCACCCAACGCGCGAAGGCCAGAAGCGCUCCUGAGACGCAGCCCUAUUGAGCCCUGGAAUGUCGAUGCAGACGCGCAGCCCGCCGUCCUCACCAGGAUGGGGAGCUGCGCCUGGUGGUGGGCGGUGGUCGCCGCGCAUGGUCCUUGCUUCUUGAAGCUCCUGGGUGGCCUUGAUGAUGAACUCCUGAGCACCGGGCGCUCCUCGCCCAGUGCCCUCUUGAGGGAAACGUGCAGCAAAGCAUGACUUCACGUGGUGCCCGAGCGCCUCCCUUGUGAUGUUGGCUAGGUCCGAGGCCCUCCAGAAGAGAGCCCCCAAGCCCUGCCCGAGAAAGGCGCUGGGCGCGCCUUCCUAUGCGAGGGAGGGAGGCGCCCCAGGCGCGGGCGCUGAUCCUGAGGCGGCGCCGCUGGAGACGCCGCUCUCCUGAUGUCCUGUGCGGAGUAGUUGCUUCUUCUUCUUGGGGAUGGCCUCAGGAGGGUACAGGGUGCCCUCGCUGUCGGGGUCUUCGAUUGCUGCAGCUUGGAAGGCACGCUCCAGGGAGCACACCACAUCUCUUUCUUCGCAGGGGACUGUGAUGAUUCCGCCGCUUCCUGGCAUUUUGAGGACGUUGUAGCCGUGGUGGGUCACUGCCAUGAACUUGGCCAAUGCUGGAUACCCGAGGAUGGAGUUGUACGACAGACGGAUGUGGGCGACGUCAAAGUCGAUGAGCUCGGUGCAGUAGUUGUUGCGCUGGCCGAAGGUGACAGGGAGACGGAACUGCCCUAUUGGGGUGGUAGAGCCGUCGGUCAGUCCUGAGAAGGGUUUGGUAGGCUGCAACUAAUCGUAUGGCACUUGGAGGCUAUCAAAUGUCUCGACGGACAAGACAUUAAGCCCUACGUCGCCGUCGAUGAGGGUCUUGGUGACUUGGACGUUGCUGAUGACGGGCGAGCAAAGCAUCGGGAGGGCGUCGGUAGCCGCCGUGCACUUGAGCUGGUCCGACGAGCUGAAGGUGAUGGCGCAUUUGGACCACUUGAGCGGGUGCGUGGCCUCAAGCGUGGGAAGGGCCGCGUUCACCUCGCGAGCAAACUGCUUGAAGAUGCGCUGGGAUGCUGGGGCCUGAGCUCCGCCCAAGAUACAUGCGAUAGCGCGCGGUUCCUGUAAGCUCCCAGCCCCCUCGUCUUGAUGAUGGUCAUCGUUCCUUCUUGGUGGUGGAGGUAGUGGAGGGAGACCAGCAUUGCCCUGCAGGCGGUCCUUGCGUGGCUGGUCCCUCCAGGCGCCCUCACGAGGCUGGUCCUGCCAGCGGUCCUCACGAGGCCAGUCGCGCCACUCCUGGUGGGGGCUGCGGUCGUCCCAGCGUCCCCCACCUCGUCCUCCUCCUCGGCCGUAGCCCCGGUCAUUGAGCUCGGGGCGUCGACCAAAGCAUCCAUCUCGGAUGGCCCUGAGCUCUUGACGAUCGUUGGUGUUGUGGCUGUGUACGUUGUGGAAGGCGCAGAACGGACGGCUGCUCUUGGACGACUCGGGGUGGUCCCGGCCGCGCUUCGUGUCUGGCUCCACCUCGAGCACGGCCACCCCUUGCGCUUCACGUCCUUGGCCUUGGUUUUUUUUCUCCUCUGGGUCGGCAGUAGGGAGCUCGAGGAGGGAAAGGCGCCCUUCCUCAGCUCUUGCGCACUUGGUCACCAUGUUAAACAUCUCCGGAGCCAUGCAUAGCUCCUCGUGGAUGGCGAGCUCCUCCUUCAUCUUGACGUCGCGGACGCCAUCAGAAAACGCUAAGAUGAUGGCCUCAUCCGUCACCUUGGGGAUCUUGAGGCGAACGCUGUUGAAGCGCUAGAUGUACUUCUGCAGGGUCUCUCCCGGCUACUGCUUGAUGCGGCGUGGGUCACCCGCGGUCGGAGGGCGGUCGCUAGUGCCCUGGAAGUUGGCGACGAAGUGGUCGCACAUCUCACCCCAGGAAGAGAUUGACCCCAGGGGCAAGUUCAGGAUCCACGAGCGAGCACCAUCCUUGAGAGCCAUGGGGAACCAGUUCGCCAUGACUUUCUCGUCGCCGUUGGCCGCCUCGAUGCUCAGCUCAUAGAGCUGCAAGAACUCCGCAGGGUCGGGGGUGACAUCGUAGCGAGGAGGCAGGUCUGGCUUGAACUUGCCUGGCCAGACCACGCUAUGCAGCUCCGGAGUGAAGGCGCGGCAGCCUGCUGUGGCCACCGGGCCCUUUGUAGAGGCGGAGCAUGCUCUUGAUGCCCGCGCACCGCCACCACAGGCGGCACGCGGUCUUGUCGGGGUGGCACCGGGAGCGCAGGAGCGUUUUCUUGCGGCCGGGGAACUUCUUGGCAGCUUCCUUUGUCGGCGUUCUGGGAACGGGGGUCCCCAGACUUGCCUGCCUGCGGCCCACGGCGUGGCUAAGUCAGCGGGCCGUACGGCCCAUCUUCAUCAACAAGGCAUCCAAGACCCUCGCGAGGGGCCAAGCCUCGCGAGGCGGACGACGCAAGACCUCCUCAGGAGUGGCCUAGUCAGGCAGGCUCGCGAGGAGCGGAGAUAUCAAGGCGGGGCAAACCUCACAAGACUCUCGUGACGUGAGCCAUGACGAUCGACACUAGGCGGGCAACAGGCGGGCGCCAGCGCGCGCAGCGUCCUUGUUUCCUCUUUGGUGCUAAGGAGGCAAGCGCAGGCGAGGGUACCAAGGCAUCAGACAAAGGUUGCCAUAUCGGUGCAACGAGACCAAGACCAGAAGGACGGCGGGACGGAGGUCAUCAUGGAGCCCAAGACGGCGUCAGCACCAGGGCCUUUCGCAGGCGAAGACCACUUUUGUCAGGAUAGCUUGUACUAGCUGUCCCCCUUCAAAUUUGCCCGCCGUUGUUGGCUCCCUUCCCGCUCAAUAUUUGGGGAGAGGACCAGGGCCUAUAUAAGUAGAACUAGCCACCACAGUAGGGGCAUCUCAGCUUGAUCUGAUCUGAUCGAGAGCCGACCCUAGCCACAAGAACACCUCAACCUCAGGAGGCUGUUCUUCCCCUUGUACUGUUCAUCAUCAGCCCAAGAGGCAAUCCACCACCGCAACACUAGAGUAGGGUAUUACACCACAACAGUGGCCCGAACCAGUAUAAAUCUCGUGUCUUUCUGUGUUGUGAGUUCGUCGAGUUCGUCCGCGAGAUCUUAGUGAGCUAGGGCGUGGAUCGGUAGGAGGGAAAGACUUCGCGCGCACCCCAGAGUUCGAACCUGAAGGGUUUUGCUGGAACCCCACAUCCGACAUUUGGCGCGCUAGGUAGGGGUGCGCCGUAGCUCCACUCCACCAGCCUGCGCCCCACGCCGCCGCACUUUGCCCCCAUGGCAGGUGCCCCGCCAUCCACCUCUGUGGCCGGCAUCGACAGCGGGGCAUCUGGGUACCGAGCCCUGGCCCCCGCCCUGCGGCGGGUGCGGUGGCCGACCAAGUUCAAGCCAGAGAUGCCGCCGCGUUACGACGGCGCGACAGACCUGUCGCCGUUCCUGCUGGCGUACGAGGAGGCUGUCCUCGAGGCCGGAGGCGACAACAAGAUCAUGGCCAACUGGUUCCCCAUGGCCCUCGCCGGCGAGCCACGUGCCUGGCUGCUCAACCUCCCUGGAUCCACGGUGGCGUCCUGAGGGGAGCUCCGCGACCUCUUCGCUGCCCGCUACGCGGUGUCGGCGCACCACGCAGUCGCGGCCCUGCUGGGCGGCUCUCAAGCACCGCCUUCGGAUCGCCACGUCAAACCGUUCCUCCGUCAGAUUGGGGCCACCUCCAAGCGCCCGGGGGCUCUGCCCUGUUGGACUGCGCCAGAGGCCGACCUCACUUUCGGCUCAAAAGACCACCCUGACUCCACCGUCGGCUCGGGCAUGCUCCCAAUGCUCUGCACGCCCACCAUCUGCAACAUGGCUGUUACCAAGACCCUCAUCGACGGCGGUGCCGGCCUCAACUUGCUCUCCGUAGAACCCUUCAGCCUUCUUCACGUGUCGCUCGAGCGGCUGAGCCUCAGCAAGCCCUUCUCAGGAGUUGGUGGUGGAGCUGCCCACUCUCUGGGGCAGAUCCGCCUCCCCGUCACCUUCGGCACACGCGACAACUGCCGCACCGAGCUGGUAGACUUCGACAUCGUCCGCAUCGGUCUCCCGUACAACGCCAUCCUCGGGUACCCAGCUCUCGCUUAGUUCAUGGCGGCGACUUACCUGGCCUACAACCUCAUGAAGAUGCCUGGGAGCAAAGGCGUCCUCACCAUCAAGGGGGACACUAAGGAGGCCGUGACAGCGCUCAGGCUUGCCUUCAAGACCGCGGCGGCAGCACAGCCCGCCGACGUCGGUACCCCCGAGGGCAAGGAGGCCACACCUACCAAGAAGAAGCAGCUGUUCACCCAAGACAAGGCAGCAACCAAGCAGGUGCCGGUCAACGAGGACGGGUCUUCGGGAGCCACCUUUACCAUAGGCGUCGGCCUUGACCCGGGUCAAGAGGAGGCCUUGGUGAGGUUCUUGCGCGCAAACAAGGAGAUAUUCGCGUGGGAGCCCAAUCAGCUGGUAGGGGUCCCAAGGGAGGUGAUUCAGCAUCAUCUAAGGGUAUGCCCCAACAUACGCCCCGUGAAGCAGCGAGCGAGACGACAGUCCACUGAGAAGCAGGCCUUCGUCGUCCAGGAGACCCGCAAGCUGGAGGCGGCGGGUGCCAUUCGCGAAGUUUGAUAUCCCGAGUGGCUGGCGAACCCCGUCGUAGUGCCAAAAAAAGGCGGGAAGGAACGGAUGUGCGUCGACUUCACCAACCUUAAUAAAGCCUGCCCCCAAGAUCUGUUCCCGCUCCCGCGCAUCGACCAGAUCGUCGACUGCACCGCCGAGUGCGACCUGCUGUGCUUCCUAGAUGCGUUCUCAGGGUAUCAUCAGAUCAAGAUGGCGGUGGAAGAUGUGGAGAAGACAGCCUUCUUGACACCAUGUGGGGUGUACUGCUACACCUGCAUGCCCUUCGGGCUGCGCAACGCGGGCGUGACCUUUCAGCGGUUGAUGCACAUCGCCCUGGGGCGGCAGCUCGGGAGAAACACAGAGGCCUACGUCGAUGACAUAGUGGUAAAGUCUCGCGAGGUGAGGACAUUGAUUCAAGACUUGGAGGAGACCUUCGAGAGCCUGCGCCAAGUGAACUUGAGGCUUAACCUGGAGAAGUGCGUGUUCGGCGUCCCCUCCGGCAAGCUGCUGGGAUGCCUCGUAUCCCACAGAGGUAUCGAGGCGAACCCGGAGAAGAUCAAGGCCAUCGAGGACAUGAGCCCACCACAGAGCCUCAAAGAGAUGCAGAAGCUAGCACGGCGGGUGACCGCAUUGGGGCGUUUCAUCUCCAAGCUGGGAGAGCGCGCCUUACCCUUCUUCAAGCUCAUGAAGAAGAAGGGCCCGUUCGAGUGGACCCCGGAGGCCGACCAAGCCUUCCAAGACCUCAAGAAAUACCUUACCAGCCCUCCGGUGAUGGUGGCACCACGGCCUCUCGAGCCCCUAGUACUCUACCUUGCCGCCACCCCGUACUCCGCCAGCGCGACGCUGGUGGCGGUUCCGGAGGAGCGCCAAGCCAAGGGCGCGCUACGCCAAGCCGGAGCUAAAGUGGUGCAGGGUCAGGAAGGCGCAGCAAAGGCCUCAGCGGCAGAAGACCAAGCUCGGCAGGACAACGUCGUAGAAACUCCUGAAGAUAGUCAGGUCUCAGGAACCCCUCCACCUCAGGAGAUGCCUCAAUCUCCGCAGGACCCGGGCCUCGACAGUGUGCCAGCCCUCGUCGAACACCCGCUGUACUUCGUCAGCACCGUGCUGCGGGACGCGAGGGCACGCUACCCCAUGCCUCAGAAACUCCUGCUCGCACUCUUGGUGGCCUCACGCAAGCUGCGACACUACUUCCAGGGCCACCCCAUCAAGGCCGUCUCAGCCUACCCAUUAGAGAGGGUGCUCUGGAGCCCCAACUCAGCUGGAAGGGUCGCUGAGUGGAACAUCGAGCUGCAAGCAUUCCAGUUGGAGUUCAGCACUACCAGGGUCAUCAAGGGGGCCGCGCUCGCUGAUUUUAUGGCAGAAUGGACGGAUGCCCCGACACUUGAGGAAGGCGAAGACCGGUCCACCUCACCAGGGAGCGAGGCUCCAGACGGCUGGGUCAUGUAUUUCGAUGGCGCCUUCACGCACCAGGGCGCGGGGGCUGGAGCAGUGCUCAUCUCGCCCACUCAGGACAAGCUCUACUACGCCGUGCAACUCUGCUUUCAGCACAGCGAGAUGGUCUCCAACAAUAUCGCAGAAUACGAAGGCCUCAUAGCUGGCCUAAAGGCUGCGGCAGCUCUAGGGGUGAAGCGCCUUACCGUCAGAGGCGACUCGCAACUCCUCGUCAACUUCUCCAACAAGGUAUACGAGCCAAAGGACGAGCAUAUGGAGGCAUACCUCGCGGAGGUGUGCAAGAUGGAAAAGCAGUUCUCGGGCGUGGAGCUGCAGCACGUGCCCCGGGGCACCAACAAGGAAGCCGACGACAUCGCCAGGAGAGCAUCCAAGCGGCAACCGCAAGAGCCCGGUGUCUUUGAGGAGCGGCUCUCCAAGUCAUCGGCUACACCACCACUUUCAAGCAUGACUCAGCCUCGGGAGGAGCUCCCACAGCCUCCAGCCACGGGAGCCCCAGCCUGUGGCCCGACCUCAGGAACUCGGCUGCUCUUGGCGCUCGAGCCCCAGGAGGAAUGCUGGAUCAAGGAAUUCAAGGAGUACCUGAUGCAAGGGACGCUGCUGGAGAAGGAAGAGGACGCAGAGCGCGUGGCCCAGUAGGCCACAGCAUACUGUAUCCAAGACGGCGAGUUGUACGGGAAACGACCAAACGAUGUCACGCUGCGCUGCAUCUCCAGUGAUCAAGGAAGGGAGUUGCUGGUUGACAUACACGGUGGGGACUGUGGGCACCAUUUGUCGUCACGGACCCUCGUCGGCAAGGUUUCCGCAGUGGAUUCUGCUGGCCUACGGCGCUCAACGACGCAGCCGAGCUGGUGAAGUCCUGCGAGGCUUGCCAAUUCCAUGCCAAGCAAAUUCACCAGCCAGCUCAGGGCCUCCAGACCAUCCCGCUCACGUGGCCGUUCGCGGUCUGGGGGCUGGACAUCUUAGGCAUGUUCCCUCGGGCACUAGGGGGCUACCGCUAUCUCUACAUCGCCGUCGACAAGUUCACCAGGUGGGCGGAAGUGGAAGCCGUUCGUACCAUCCCGGCCGGCUCUGCUGUCAAGUUCAUCAAGGGCCUCGUGAGCCGCUUCGGGGUCCCCAACCGCAUCAUCACAGAUAACGGCUCACAGUUUACUAGUAACCUCUUCAAAACCUACUGUGCUAACCUUGGAACGCAGAUCUGCUAUGCCUCGGUGGCGCACCCCAGGAGCAAUGGUCAGGCCGAACGCGCAACGCGGAGGUUGUGAGUGGCCUCAAGACCAGGACCUUCAAGAAGAAGCUGGAGGCCUGCGGCAGGGGCUAGCACGAUGAGCUCCAGUCCGUGCUGUGGUCCAUCCGCACCACCGCCACCAAGCCAACGGGCGAGACUCCAUUCUUCCUCGUCUACGGAGCUGAAGCAGUCCUUCCUCACGAGGUCAAGCAUCGCUCCGCACGAGUCCUGGUGUUCGAUGAAACACAGCAGGACGCCACGCAGGGGAUGGAUCUCGUGCUGGGGGAGGAACGCCAUCGCGAAGCUGCAUUGAGGGCGGCAAGGUACCAACAAGCGCUGCGGCGAUACCACUGCCGCAACGUCCGCUCCAGGACGCUCGAGGUGGGCGACCUCGUCCUGAGGCGGGUCCUCUCCAGGGAAGGGCUGCACAAACUUUCGCCCAUGUGGGAGGGCCCGUUCAGGGUCGUCCAUGUCUCCAGGCCUGGUGCAGCGCGCCUGGAGACGCAGGACGGGAUGCCCAUCCAGAACGCCUAGAACAUCCAGCACCUCCGGAAGUUCUAACCAUGAAGCAAGGCCCAGAGCCUGUGAAGAAAGGCCCAGAGCCUGUAAAGAAGGCCCGGUGCCUGUGAAGAAUCGCCGCCCGUGACACUCUCACGUAAUAAUGAGUGGGGUUGUACAUGCCCCGGAGUCUCAGGAGCGCCGGCCUCAGGCCCUGGGGCUCCCGCCCAUGCCUACUGGCAGCACUUAGCUCCGCGCUGGUGAGAAGACUUGAAGACUAGACUAGGUGCCGGACGCGGCUUUUCAUUUGCUUUUCGUGGUUGGCUCGCUUUUUCUUAAAUCGAAGUUCGCCUUUGGUGUUCCUUGCUAAUUCGGUUCCCUCGCCUCUUACUGCAUUUUCCGGCUCUGGUUCGCUCGUGUUCUUUCUCUCGCAUACCUCGUGAGGGGGCUAGGCAGGUGCCCUCACGAGCAUUUCUCUCCUACCUGCCUCGCGAGCAUUUCUCUCCUGUCUGCCUUAUCGCGAGCCACCCUCGUGCGAACCCAAAAACUGGUGCAUCCCUCCUAGUCUGUGCCCCUUGGGUACCGUGAUGCAAAGCGCCAGGUCAAGCCUCGGGUGAACGGCGAAUCUCUUAGCGCACCUUCUAAUGAAUUUUCGCAGUUCCUGAGCAAACAGGUCAAGAUGGACACGAGGAAAUAAACGCCUCUCAAGGAGGAGGGCGCCCCGAACGCACCAGGGACUUGUCAAGUCGUGCAGUUGCCAAGGCAGCGUGGGGAAGCGGAGACGCCCACGUCCAAUCAACUGCCACGCGUCAACAGAGGCCGCGGGCUUUUGGGGCCCGCGACGCUCUGUACUUGACCCUUGGCUUCACCGCGAAACCAAGCCCGAGUGCACCUUGGGCCUGGGGGCUACUGUCGGUGUUUUGGGAACGGGGGUCCCCAGACUUGCCUGCCUGCGGCCCACAGCGUGGCUAAGUCAGCGGGCCGUACGGCCCAUCUUCAUCAACAAGGCAUCCAAGACCCUCGCGAGGGGCUAAGCCUCGCGAGGCGGACGACGCAAGACCUCCUCAGCAGUGGCCUAGUCAGGCAGGCUCGCGAGGAGCGGAGAUAUCAAGGCGGGGCAAACCUCACAAGGCUCUCGUGACGUGAGCCAUGACGAUCGGCACUAGGCGGGCGCCCGGCGGGCUCGAGCGCACGCAGCGUCCUUGUUUUCUCUUUGGUGCUAAGGAGGCAAGCGCAGGCGAGGAGUACCAAGGCAUCAGGCAAAGGUUGCCAUAUCGGUGCAACGAGACCAAGACCAGAAGGACGGCAGGACGGAGGUCAUCAUGGAGCCCAAGACAGCGUCACCACCAGGGCCUUUCGCAGACAAAGACCACUUUUGUCAGGAUAGCUUGUACUAGCUGCCCACCUGCAAAUUUCCCGCCAUUGUUGGCGCCCUUCCCGCUCAAUAUUUGGGGAGAGGACCAGGGCCUAUAUAAGUAGAACUAGCCACCACAGUAGGGGCAUCUCAGCUUGAUCUGAUCUGAUCGAGAGCCGACCCUAGCCACAAGAACACCUCAACCUCAGAAGGUUGUUCUUCCCCUUGUACUGUUCAUCAUCAGCCCAAGAGGCAAUCCACCACCGCCACACUGGAGUAGGGUAUUACACCACAACGGUGGCCCGAACCAGUAUAAAUCUCGUGUCUUUCUGUGUUGUGAGUUCGUCGAGUUCGUCCGCGAGAUCUUAGUGAGCUAGGGCGUAGAUCGGUAGGAGGGAAAGACUUCGCGCGCACCCCAGAGUUCGAACCUUAAGGGUUUUGCCGGAACCCCACAUCCGACAUUCUUCUUCGCGCGCGGGCGCCCAGCAUGGUGGGUCGCGCCGAGGGGCCGCGCGUCUUGGUGCCAGGGCGCCGUCUUGGUGCGGAGGUGGCGGAGGCGCUCCGUGGGCUACGUCACCGGCGGCUGGAGGAGGGCGAGGUAGCAAGAGAGACGGGACAGGUGAGCCCCCAGCGGCGCUGACGAGCUCGGCGAUGCGGUCCAGCCAGUCCUCGUAGAGGUCGUUGACCGGGCGGUAGUGCAGGAGCUCCCGUGCCAUGAGCAGCGCGGCCUACGCGUCCGUUGGCGCGCGGCGAGCAUUGGACGAUGAGCCGGCCGGAGUCAGCGACGGGGUAGCGGUGCGGCCGUCCCGCCGCACCGAGGGGUGCAGCGAAGAUGCUUGCUACUCGUUUCCCGCCGGGCCGAUGGCGGCGUUGGCGGCGGGUGAUGGAGAACGACGGGGAGGCCCACCGACAAGGGUUGUCUAAGCAACGCGGGCGGCCAGGGCGGCCCGGCGCUCGGCACGAGCUCGACGCGCGUCCGCCAUGGACGUAGUGGAGCGGUGGAGCGUAGAUCGACGAAAGGAAAGCUUCGGCGCACCCCUACCUGUCACGCAAAUGUCGGAUUGCGGGUUCCGGCAAAACCCUUAAAGUUCGAACUCUGGGGUGCGCACGAAGAUCUCUCCCUCCCCCUAGCUCACACACUCACCAUGAUCUCAAAGCUCAGCUCGUCGAACUCGAAGAACAAGGGACACAAGAGUUUGUACUGGUUCGGGCCACCGAUGUGGUGUAAUACCCUACUCCAGUGUGGUGUGGUGGAUUGCCUUGUAGGCUGAGGAUGAACAAUUACAAGGGAAGGACAGCCUCCUGAGGACAGGUGUUCUUGAGCUCGGUGAGCUUGUGUGACACCCCAAGACCGACGCUCCAGACGCCUUCCAUGUUCUUCGUUGUCGUCGUGUGUUUUAUUUUGUUGUUGUUGCAUUUCAUCAUGUCAUCAUGCAUAUUGCAUCCGCAUGUUUUCAUAAAAACCCGUAGUCGUUCGCAGUUGCCGCUCCUUGUCUCCGUGGCAUGUCGUCAGACUGUUUGUCUUCCUUGACCAUUCUCAGUCCAACCACACACUUGACCUCGUUCGCCUAACCCCUCUUUGCACAGUGCAUCGACCCCUCGCUCGUGUCCGAAACUUCCCCGAACCCGAACCGGACUAUCCUUACCGUUGGGUUCGGAUCAUCCCCAAACAUCUAUCAAACAUCUCCGUUUUCUUAAUUGGACUCCCUAACCUAUUUAUUCUUGACCGUUCGAUUUUGAUCGGAGGGUCCGUUUUACCCUAAGCUAACCAACCUACCUAUAUAACCAACCUAACCCUAGACCUAGGCUGUCCCAUCCAUCCAUUACAUCCCACAGCCGCCGCCACCCACAUUCCCUUGUUCCUCGGGAGCUUGUCCCAUCGCCGCUAGUCCCCUUCUUCCUCGGGAUCCCUCCCGAUCCAAAUCCUCCCAACCAACCGGUGCCCAAGCUCUUGGCUUCUCCUCCUACCUCGCUCGAUCUCCGGGAAGGGGCUCCCAUGUAACAGCACCAGCGCCUCCACUCGAUCCACCUCGUCCCCGUGUCCGAGAUCCCCUCCUCCUGUGCACUCCUCCGCUCGACUUCCCUUUUGUCCCACGGCCUCCUCUUCUUUCUCCUUGUGCCACAGCAACAUCACAGCCCCGAUGCGCCCCUUCCUCCCCUGCCUCGUCGCCAACGCCCGAGGCCUACCUCCUCACGACGUCACCUCCCCAACGGCACCACAAGGCCGUCCCUCUCCUUGCCUUCGCGCUUUCAUCCAUCUCCCGUUGAUUCCCUCUUUCUCACAUCUCUCUCUCUCUCUCUGUACAGGAAAACCCCAUGACCGCCCGCGCCAUCUGGCGUUCUUCUCCGGCAGCCGCGCCGGCGAGCGCCCCGCCGGACCCGCUCUUUUCCUGGCCUCUUCGCUGCCGAACCGUAGGUUCUCCUCAGGCCGUCGCGCCCCUGCCAUCUCCUUGCGGUCCCUCUUCUUCCCUUGUUUCCCCUCUGAAUUUCUCUGUCUUUUUUUCUUCAGACAACAACAGCUUCCAUGGCCUUGUACCUCGCCGCCGGCCUCCACAAGCCAAGUGCCACCGAAUCUGGAGGAUCCGGGCCUCCCUCGCUUUCCCGUGUCCGUCCACUGCCUCUCCGCUUCGCCGGAGUCCCGCGCGAGCCAGCGUCGCGAGCUCCAGCGCCGCUGCUCCUCUGUUUUCUGUCGAACAGAGGGCGACGCGCCCGUAGCCUCCCCGCCUCGCGCGUCUGGGCUCAGCCAGCGCAGCCAGCCAUCGCUCCUCCCCACCGGCUGGGCUUUGCCCUAUGGUGAGAGCCCAACCCAACGCCCAGCUAUUCAGCCCGUUGUAUUUUUUUCCUGAUGCUGCGAUUUUUGCAUUUAUCCAGAAAACUGCAUAUUUACAGUUUGGACCCCGAGCUUCAUGCAUAUAAUAACUCAUGAUCUAUGCAGCAUAUGUAAAACUUCAUAUAUGUAAAAUGCUUAGAAUUUUGUCUAGUUUCAUAAUUUGCAACUUACAUCUAUUUUAAAAAAAUUAAAAUGCUGUUUGCUAUAAAGUUGCUUAAAUGACAUGUUAAAAUGAUUUAUUUCAUAACUAAAUAACUGAAGCUCCGAAUUAAUUAAACUUUAUAUGUAAAAGGGGUAGAAAAAUGCAUAGAUUAACUUGGUGCACUUUGUUUUACUGUUUAACAACACUAAAAUAUGGUUUAGGGCAGAACAGUACCAAAUUAGAAAUAUGCAUAUUGGGACUUUCCGGAAUUGUUGUUUGUUGUUUCCGGCCUCAAUUGAACUUGCCUACAUAGGUAGUUUUAUUAUGUUUCCCCCUUGCCAUGUUUAAUAACAUUUAAUAUUGUUGGGUACAUAAACGAGAGCGAACUAAAUAACUUGAAUGUGGUGUUUCGUCAAUAUAUAUGCUACUCGUUGCAUAUUGAGCUCCACUUAAUUGUAGUGUUGUUUGUUGCACUUUGCCAUGCCAUGCUAAUUAAAUUGGACAUGCAUCAUACUUGAUUGUGCAUCAUGCCAUGUUGAUGUGAUGGUUGUUUACCAUGAUGUUUCCUUCUUUCCGGUUGCGCUUCUCCUUGAUAGUUUCGGUUACGUUGCGAUUGUGAGGAUUCAUUCGACUACGUCCGUUUGUCUUCUUCAUGGACUCGGUCUUCCUAGCAGGAUUUCAGGCAAGAUGACCAUUGCCCUCGAUAUCACUUCUAUCUUUGCUUCGCUAGUUGUUUGCUCUAUCACUAUGAUGCGCUACCUACCACUUGUUUAUCAUGCCUCCCAUAUUGCCAUGUCAAGUCUCUAACCAUCCUUCCUAGCAAACCGUUGUUUGGCUAUGUUACCGCUUUUGCUCAGCCCCUCUUGUAGCGUUGUUAGUUGCAGGUGAAGCUGAAGAUUGUUCCAUGUUGGAACAUGAUGAUUUUGGGAUAUCACAAUAUCUCUUAUUUAAUUAAUGCAUCUAUAUACUUGGUAAAGGGGGAAGGCUCGGCCUUUUGCCUGGUGUUUUGUUCCACUCUUGCCGCCCUAGUUUCCGUCAUACCGGUGUUAUGUUCCUUGAUUUUGCGUUCCUUAUGCGGUUGGGGAUUUAUGGGACCCCCUUGACAGUUUGCUUUGAAUAAAACUCCUCCAGCAAGGCCCAACCUUGGUUUUACAUUUGCCUAACAACCUAAGCCUUUUUCCCUUGGGUUUCCGGAGCCCGAGGGUCACCUUUAUUUAAACCCCCCGGGCCAGUGCUCCUCUGAGUGUUGGUCCGAAAUGGGCAGCCUGCGGGGCCACCUCGGGGAAACUUGAGGGCUGGUUUUACUCGUAGCUUGUCCCAUCCGGUGUGCCCUGAGAACGAGAUAUGUGCAGCUCCUAUCGGGAUUUUCGGCACAGUCAGGUGGUCUUGCUGGUCUUGUUUUACCAUUGUUAAAAUGUCUUGUAACCGGGUUUCCGAGACUGAUCGGGUCUUUCUGGGAGAAGGAAUAUCCUUCGUUGAUCAUGAGAGCUUGUGAUGGGCUAAGUUGGGACACCCCUGCAGGGUAUAAACUUUCGAGAGCCGUGCCCGCGGUUAUGUGGCAGAUGGGAAUUUGUUAAUAUCCGGUUGUAGAGAACUUGACACUUGACUUAAUUAAAAUGCAUCAACCGCGUGUGUAGCCGUGAUGGUCUCUUUUCGGCGAUGUCCGAAAAGUGAACACGGUUUUGGUGUUAUGCUUGAACAUAAGUAGUUCUCAGGAUCACUUCUUGAUCACUUAUAGCUUCACGACCGUUGCGUAGCUUCUCAUCUUGCUCUUAUUUGCGUAUGUUAGGCACCAUAUUUGCUUAUCGCUUGCUGCAGCUCCACCUCAUUACCUCAUCGUACCCAUAAGCUGAAAUAGUCUUGAUCUCGUGGGUUUUGAGAUUGCUGAGUCCUCGUGACUCACGGAUACUUCCAAACAGUUGCAGGUGCCGAUGAUACCAGUGCAGGUGAUGCUACCGAACUCAAGUGGGAGUUCGACGAGGACCUUGGUCGUUACUAUGUUUCGUUUCCUGAUGAUCAGUAGUGGAGCCCAGUUGGGACGAUCGGGGAUCUAGCAGUUGGGUUAUCUUCUUUUUUAUUUGGUUGUCCGUAGUCGGGCUAUGUGUGUAUUUUGGAUGAUGUAUGAAUUAUUUAAGUAUUGUGUGAAGUGGCGAUUGUAAGCCAACCCUCUUUAUCCCUUUCUUGUUCAUUACAUGGGAUUGUGUGAAGAUGACCCUUCUUGCGACAAAACCACCAUGCGGUUAUGCCUCUAAGUCGUGCCUCGACACAUGGGAGAUAUAGCCGCAUCGUGGGUGUUACAAGUUGGUAUCAGAGCCAUCCCCGACUUAGGAGCCCCCUGCUUGAUCGAAUCGCUGACGUUGUUGAGUCUAGAACAAAAUGUUUUGAGUCUUAGGAUUAUAUAUAUCGGAGAGUUGGAUUCUUUUUACUCCUCAGUCCCUUCGUCGCUCUGGCGAGGCCUCCUGACGUAGAUGUUUUGACAUUCCUCUCCUUAAUUUUUUCACUAAAUUUUUUUUAGGAUCGCGCGGGUAUCUUGGGAUCGUUCCGAUAUUCUUGUGAUGAGAACAUUGUUCUUGGUGCCUCCUGACAUAGGGGUUGUGGCAGUGUCCCGGGGAGUUGAGCUCCGAGGUGUUGUUGUCACAAUUUUAUCGUUGCAGUUCUGGAAUACCUGAGUUUCGCCGACAUUGAAAAACUCUUUUAUGCAGUUGUUGGUGAGAUAACCUCGACGCCACCUAGUACUGGGGCAGGAGUUCGGGAGUAUUGCCAUAACUCGUAUAACGAAUGCUUUUCGAAGGUUGAGGUACACGAUUUCCGAAGUUUGUUAUGUGUUGACGGAUGGAUACAGCUGGAUGUAGGGAUUGUUAGUUUGGGUGAGAUAUAUUGCUUCCCCUGUAUCCCCAACACCAGAUUGCAUAACCAGAAAGUUUCGGGAGUUCUUAGGUGGGAAUUCAAGUAUCACGUAGGAUAUCUUUCCAACAGACACAUGAUACGAUAUGGAUCUAUCAUAUGUUUGUUUCCGCCUUAGUCUCCAAGCCAAAUCCUUUGUUUUUGUAUUGGUUUGUGGUAUUAAAGUUGCUUCAAUGUCAAGUGUUGAUCCCAUACCUUUUCCUAAGUGGUGUUGUCAUAUUUCUAUGGGGAUGUUAAUCCUUCUUGUUUAUCGAGAUUGUCAUGUCAAUUCUUUUCCAACCGGCAUGCUUCUCUUCAAGUGGAUCCAAUCAUUUCAACAUCCGCAAGAUCAACUCUAAGUUUUCUCAACGGUGUUUGUUUCAUCCAUCCCAAGUUGUCUUUGUUUUCCCCACCCUCCCACCCUUUUCCUCAAGGACUCGGAUGUCUUAUUCAAGUAUCCUUUUUAUUGAUGGGAAGUCUCUCCAUUCUUUUCCGUCAAUGUUCUUAUCCGGUGAUUCUCAGGAAGAUACUAAGGAGGCUUCAAGUUCAUCAUUCUUCAUUCUUUUUCUUUUCCGGUGGAUUCAAUUCAAGCCUUCGGUGUUGAUCAUAUCUCUUUCCUUAUUUCAAAUGCUUUCUCAUUCCGGUGCACCAAUUAAUUAUUCACCUCAAGCUAUUCAUUUGUUCUGGAGUGCAAAAGAUAUCUCGGAAGAUUCAUGAUUCAAUUCUUAAUCCAUUCAACCUAUUUCGAGAUUGUUAUCUCAUUCAAGCCAGUUAAUUUAACCGAUGCAAUCUCUCUUUUCAAGCAAUCUUUUCAAUGGUGUUUCUUUUGAGUGGGCCCUAACCCACAUGUCUUUUCCCAAGAUCUUACCUGACUCUUCUAUUUUCCUCGAGCUAUUCCCAAAUUCUUUUCGAAGUUAGACGCAAGAAUGAAUUAUCAUCAGUAAAAUGUCUUUCUCCAAGAUCUUUCAAAUUCUUAUCAUCGUUGGUUCAACCUUUCUAUUUUUCAUUCCGGUGUGCCUCAACAAUUCAGGGUGGUGUGAUUCAUAGUUCUAGCUUAUGCCAUCCUCUCAUAAUUGUUUUCGAUUGUGAGAAUUCUUUUCACCCAUCUGACGCAUUUCAGGAGUUGCUUUCCUUUCUCGAUCAUCUGAAGGCCAUCACUUCAGAAGAUUUCUUCGUUCUAAGUUUUCAGCUUCGUUCUCCAAUUAUUCUAAAUGGAUGUCUCUUCAUUCAUUCUCCAAUUCUUUUGGUGCUUCGUGCAAGUAUUCUUUAGCCAGCUCAUGAUCUCUUCGUUCUCUUGUAUCUGAAUUCCCUUAAGGAUCUUCGUCCGUUCUUUUAAUUCUUACGGCGGUUCGUUUAAGAUUCCCUUUUGAUAUCAUAUCAAUUUAAUCGUUGUUUCAAUCCUACCGGUGGUUCGUUGAAGACCUUCUCAAGCUUACGCUAUAUCUCUCUCUCAAUCCUUUCUAUGAGAACAAGUAGUAUGCCAAAUCCAUUGCUUGUCAUCAAUUUAAACUGAUGAAGGAUACACAUAACAUAAUUCUUAUUCUUGUUUCAUCCAAGUAUUUAAUUCUUUCUACCGGAGUUUGUUCAUGAUGAAUAAAUUCUCGGUUCCAAGUUGUUCACCUUUUUUUUCUUUCCGGAGUUCCAAGUUAUCUCAAGUACCUUGUCACGAAGCUCCAUCUAAAUCAUUGCAAGGCUUCACCUUGUGUCUUCAACUUCUCUUUCCUUUCGUUUGAUCAUUAUCUUGUUACCGGAGUUCUUCGUGGAGGCCCUACAUGGUGGUUCAUCAAGGAUUCCUUUCAUUCUUCAAUUGUUCUUCAAGAUUUCUCUCGAAGUUAUGAUCCGCCAAGCUAUACUCAAAAUUAAAUAGGGUGCUCAGCACAUGUUUUGUUUUUAGGGGUUCAAGUAUUCUUCAUCGUGCAUUCCAAAGUGCAAUUCUUUCUACCUUAUCUUUUGAGAUGGCAUUAUAUCAUUCUUGACAAUUUCCAUUCAUGUUUCGCGAUUCACAUGUUGUCAAGAAUGAGGUAUUUUAAAUCCAUCAACCACUUCGUUGGAGUUAUCUUGGUAUAGAUUUCACCUAAAGCCUUCCCUAAGGAAUGUUGCUAUUGUGGUGCUUAUCUAUGACCCAAGUUUCCUCCUAUUUGCUCGGUAAAAGAAGUUUUUCAUCUCUUCGUUGCUCUCCAGCAAGCAAUUGUUUUUCGUUAGUGGCCGAAUUUCACCUCAAGUUUUGAGAAGUUUUCCAUAAGCCCACUACAAGCUUAUUCGUUUCGUUGUUGGUUUUCGAACAACUCCGUUCUAACCUUCUUGCAAGGAUGCUUUCCAAAUUCAAUGGUGGUAGAAGUUGUCAUUAUCUUCUCCGUUCUUUUCUUCCAACCAUCUAACUUCCAUUCUUUCGUUCCGGAGGCAUUGUGAUUUUUCUUUGACACAUCAUCUCAUUUUGGAGGUCAUGCUCUUUUCCUUGCUUAUCCAUUUAGCAAGAGUGUCGUGUCCUCUUUUCAAGUUCUUUUCAUCUUACCAAGUUUUCCUUCUUUUUUCUACCAGAGUGCUGCCCGAAUUCUUUAUUCUUAUUCCUUGUCCAACUAAUUUUAACCGGAGUGGUUUCAAAUUCUAUUUUGUCCAUUAAACUCUUGAUUCAUGUCUUUGCAACCUUAAAGUUCUCAUAAUUUUCCUUGCUCCUCUUCCUAACGGGAUGGUUGCAAUUUGUUCAUCUCCGUUGUAUUCCUUCUUUCAAGUUGUUCAACCUCUCAAGGUUCGUGGUUUCAAUCGUUUGUCGAAGAAGCAACUCUGUUUUACCUCUUCCUAUUCCGCUUCUCUAUGGUGCCAUCCUUAGACCUCGGGACGAGAUCUCUAAGGAGUGUUGUGACGCCCCAAGACCGACGCUUCAGACGCCUUCCAUGUUCUUCGUUGUCGCUGUGUGUUUUAUUUUGUUGUUGUUGCAUUUCAUCAUGUCAUCAUGCAUAUUGCAUCCGCAUGUUUUCAUAAAACCCGUAGUCAUUCGCAGUUGCCGCUUCUCCUUGUCUCCGUGGCAUGUCGUCAGACCGUUUGUCUGCCUUGACCAUUCUCAGUCCAACCACACACUUGACCUCAUUCGCCUAACCCCUCUUUGCACAGUGCAUCGACCCCUCGCUCGUGUCCGAAACUUCCCCGAACCCGAACCGGACUAUCGUUACUGUUGGGUCCAGAUCAUCCCCAAACAUCUAUAAAACAUCUCCGUUUUCUUAAUUGGACUGCCUAAACUAUUUAUUCUCGACCGUUCGAUUUUGAUCGGAGGGUCCGUUUUGCCCUAAGCUAACCAACCUACCUAUAUAACCCACCUAACCCUAGACCUAGGUUGUCCCAUCCAUCCAUUACAUCCCGCGGCCGCCGCCACCCACAUUCCCUUGUUCCUCGGGAGCUUGUCCCAUCGCCGCUAGUCCACUUAUUCCUCGGGAUCCCUCCCGAUCCAAAUCCUCCCAACCAACCGGUGCCCAAGCUCUUGGCUUCUCCUCGUACCUCGCUCGAUCUCCGGGAAGGGGCUCCCGUGUAACAGCACCAGCGCCUCCACUUGGUCCACCUCGUCCCUGUGUCCGAGAUCCCCUCCUCCCGUGCACUCCUCCGCUUGACCUCCCCUUCGUCCCGCGGCCUCCUCUUCUUUCUCCUCGUGCCACAGCAACAGCAAGCCCCGACGCACCCCUUCCUCCCCUGCCUCGUCGCCAACGCCCGAGGCCUACCUCCUCGCGACGUCGCCUCCCUGACGGCACAACAAGGCCGUCCCUCUCCUUGCCUUCGCGCUUUCAUCCAUCUCCUCUAGAUUCCCUCUUUCUCACAUCUCCCUCUCUUUGUACAGGAAAACCCCAUGACCGCCCGCGCCAUCCGUCGUUCUUCUCCGGCAGCCGCGCCGGCGAGCGCCCCGCUGGACCGCUCUUUUCCUGGCCUCUUCGCUGCCGAAGUGUAGGUUCUCCUUAGGCCGUCGCGCCCCUGCCAUCUCCCUGCGGUCCCUCUUCUUCCCUUGUUUCCCCUCUGAAUUUCUGUGUCUUUUUUUCUUCAGACAACAACAGCUUCCAUGGCCUUGUAGCUCGCCACCGGCCUCCACAAGCCAAGCGCCACCGGAUCUGGAGGAUCCGGGCCUCCCUCGCUUUCCCUUGUCCGUCCCCAGCCUGUCCACUUCGCCGGAGUCCCGCGCGAGCCAGCAUCGCGAGCUCCAGCGCCACCGCUCCUCUGUUUUCUGUCGAACAGAGGGCGACGCGCCCGUAGCCUCCCCGCCCCGCGCGUCUGGGCUCAGCCAGCGCAGCCAGCCAGCGCUCCUCCCCACCGACUGGGCUUUGCCCCAUGGUGAGAGCCCAACCCAGCGCCUAGCCAUUGAGCCCGUUGUAUUUUUUUCCUCAUGCUGUGAUUUUCACAUUUAUCCAGAAAACUGCAUAUUUACAGUUUGGACCCCGAGCUUCAUGCAUAUAAUAACUCAUGAUCUAUGCAGCAUAUGUAAAAACUUCAUAUAUGUAAAAUGCUUAGAAUUUUGUCUAGUUUCAUAAUUUGCAACUUACAUCUAUGUUAAAAUGUUGUUUGCUUUAAAGUUGCUUAAAUGACAUGUUAAAAUGAUUUAUUUCAUAACUAAAUAACCGUAGCUCCGAAUUAAUUAAACUUUAUAUGUAAAAGGGGUAGAAAAAUGCAUAGUUUAACUUGGUGCACUUUGUUUUAAUGUUUAACAACAUUAAAAUAUGGUUUAGGGUAGAACAGUACCAAAUUUGAAAUAUGCAUAUGGGAUUUUCUGGAAUUGUUGUUUGUUGUUUCCGGCCUCAUUUAAACUUGCCUAGAUAGGUAGUUUUAUUAUGUUUCCCCCUUGCCAUGUUUAAUAACAUUUAAUAUUGUUGGGUACAUAAACGAGAGCGAACUAAAUAACUUGAAUGUGAUAUUUCGUCAAUAUAUAUGCAACUCGUUGCAUAUAUUGAGCUCCACUUAAUUGUAGUGUUGUUUGUUGCACUUUUCCAUGCCAUGCUCAUUAAAUCGGACAUGCAUCAUACUUGAUUGUGCAUCAUGCCAUGUUGAUGUGAUGGUUGUUUACCAUGAUGUUUCCUUCAUUCCGGUUGCGAUUCUCCUUGAUAGUUCCGGUUACGUUGCGAUUGUCAGGAUUCGUUCGACUAUGUCCGUUUGUCUUCUUCAUGGACUCGGUCUUCUUCCUAGCGGAAUUUCAGGCAAGAUGACCAUUACCCUCGAUAUCACUUCUAUCUUUGUUGUGCUAGUUGUUCGCUCUAUCGCUAUGAUGCGCUACCUACCACUUGUUUAUCAUGCCUCCCAUAUUGCCAUAUCAAGCCUCUAACCAUCCUUCCUAGUAAACCGUUGUUUGGCUAUGUUACCGCUUUUGCUCAGCCCCUCUUAUAGCGUUGUUAGUUGCAGGUGAAGUUGAAGAUUGCUCCAUGUUGGAACAUGAUGAUUUUGGGAUAUCACAAUAUCUCUUAUUUAAUUAAUGCAUCUAUAUACUUGGUAAAGGGUGGAAGGCUCAGUCUUUUGCCUGGUGUUUUGUUCCACUCUUGCCGCCCUAGUUUCCGCCAUACCGGUGUUAUGGAUCUGAUCCAAAGUCUCUCUCUUCCUAUGGUGGUGGCUAGUCCUAUUUAUAGAGGCCCCGGUCCUCUUCCCAAAUGUUAGGCGGGAAGGGAUCCCACAACGGCCAAUUUGAAGGGGGACAGCUAGUACAAGCUAUCCUGACAAAAUGUGGUCUUCGCUUGCUAAAGCCUCUGGUGGUGACGCCGUCAUGGGCUCCGCGGUGACCUCCGUCCUGCCGUCCUGCUGGUCUUGGUCUCGUUGCACCGAUAUGGAAACAUUUGCCUGAUGCCUCGGGACUCUUCGCCUGUGCCUGCUCCUUUAGCACCAAAGAGGAAACCAGUACUCUGCGCCCGCUAGCGCCCGCCUGGCCUUGGUCGUCAUGGCUCACGUCACGGGAACCUCACGAGGUGCCCCUCGCCUUGAUCUCUCCGCUCCUCGUGAGCCAGCCUAGUGAGGCUGCCCCUGAGGAGGUCUUGUGUCAUCCGCCUCGCGAGACUUGGUCCCUCGCGAGGGUCUUGAUUGUUUGCUGGUGAAGAUGGGCCGUACCAGGCCGCUAGAGGAGCCACGCCGUGGGCCGUAGGCAGGCAAGUCUGGGGACCCCCGUUCCUAGAACACCGACAGGGACCGAGGGCUCCGGAGCCUUCGGUGCCUUGUUAGGCGAGCUGAGGACGGGCGCCUUGUCAGGCGAGCUGAGGACGGCGCCUCCAGAGCUGCUUAACUAUGGGGAUCGCUUCCUCCUGAGGCUGGGCCCCCGGGUCUCGUGAGGGCAGCCCUUUCGCAGAAGCGCGAGGGCCACCACCGUCCUUCCGUGCCGGUGGUGGUGCGGGAGCAGCAGGUUGCUGGACCACGGGGACCACAGCCGUCUCCUUCUUCUUCUUCACCACCGGCGUCGGCCUAGCCAUACCAAGGGAAGCUUCAAGAUACUGCGACCAAAACAAAAAAGGAAGAUCAAGACGGAGCACUUACUGGUCCACGGGGGCAUAAUCCCUCACCCUCUUCUGAAGCACCAUGCCCGUAGGCUUCGCAGGACGGGGCACUGGCGCGCGAGCCCCGGUGGUAGACAAGGGCGCGACACCCGGGUCCGUGGCAGUACCAACCGGCGACGAAUCAAGGGCGGCGCCUCGAGAGAUCAACGCCGAUCGGCUCUUCUUCGGGACCCCCAGCUUCGGCUUCUUCGAGGGGGUUCCCCUGGACCUCAUGGUGACCCCGGCGGAGUGCAGGGGCUCCCGGGCGGGGUGCUCGCCGGUGUCGUCAUCAUCAUCACAGAGGACGAGGAGGAGGUCGGGUUGGCGCGGGGGAGAGGUUUCCCCCGCGCCUUCCACGGUAUCCUCCGAGUCCGGCCCCUCCUCCUCGUCGGACUCGCUAGAGGCCGCCGCCAUCAGGGAGCCGAGGGACCUGGUGGGCGCCAGCGGUAUGCGCCCGCGCUCGUUGAAGACAGGCAUAGCGGCGGCGAUCUUCACCCCGUCCGGGCGGUGGUAUAGCGGAGGAUGAGUAUCUGGCGGGCAACCCUAGUCCUUCUCGACCAGGAGGCGCACGGCCUUGUCCAGCUCCUCACCGGACAAGGCGUCAGGGCGCAGACGGAGGUCGCCUCCCUCGUCCAUGAGCUUCCACAAGGGGCGCGAGCGCGCCUGGAGCGGAGCCAGGCGCUGCGUCAGGAACUCCUUGACAAUCAUGGCCCCCGUCAGCUUGUCCGCCUUCCAGUCAUCCGGCUUCAGGUCGGCCACCAUCCUCUCCAUCAUCUACUCCGCCCGGGGAUCGGUGAGCUUCGCGCUGUUCCAUCCCUCGUGAGGCGCUGGCAUCCCAGUCGGCAGCGCCAGCUGAGGGUAGGAGCGCUUUGCGUCCAUGAGGAUCCACUUGUUCCUAAAGUCCUCCACCUUCUUCCCGGCUCACGAGAUCGUGUUGGUGCCGUGUGCCGCGACGAAAUUGGCGCACCCCGAGCAUGGACCCUCCUUGAGCCGGAGGUAGAAGAAAUGGCGGAGCAGCACCACGGACGACAUCACCCCCACGAACGCCUCGCAGUAAAAGGCGAAGAUCGACAGGAGGAGGAGGGAGUUGGGAUGAAGAUGGAGGGCGUGGAGGUUGAAAUGGCGAAGGACGGCAUAGAAGAAGCCGGAGAAGGGGGGACCAGCCCCACGAAGACGCUGUGCAAGAAGAAGGGAUAGAAGGUACUGCCCGAAGCCUCUAGGUUGGCGGAGCCGGCCUGAAGCGCAGUCUCUCCCCCCUCGUUGCUGCUGCCCGCUGUUGGUGUCAAAACCGGCGGAUCUCGGGUAGGGGGUCCCGAACUGUGCGUCAAGGGUCGAUGGUAACAGGAGACGGGGGACACGAUGUUUACCCAGGUUCGGGCCCUCUUGAUGGAUGUAAUACCCUACUUCCUGCUUGAUUGACCUUGAUGAAUAUGAGGAUUACAAGAGUUGAUCUACCACGAGAUCAUAAUGGCUAAACCCUAGAUGUCUAGCAUGUAUGAUUGUGAUUGCCCCUACGGACUAAACCCUCCGGUUUAUAUAGACAUCGGAGGGGCCUAGGGUUGUACAGAGUCGGUUUACAAAGGAAGGAAUCUAGAUAUCCAAACGCCAAGCUUGCCAUCCAUGCAAAGGAGAGUCCCAUCCGGACACGGAAAGAAGUCUUCUGUCUUGUAUCUUCAUAGCCCAUUAGACCGGCCCAUGUUACAUAGUCCGGACGCCCGAGGACCCCUUAAUCCAGGACUCCCUCACCCGCCGAUACUAGGAGCGCGGCGGUGAGGUUCUUCAUGGAGACCUUGGAUGUGCUUAGGGUAGGCUCGAACUAGGAGGGCGAACGCGCGGCCUUCGCCUUGUCGAUGGCCAUCGGCUGUGGGCUCGGGGAAGAGUUUUGCUGGAUCUGGAGUCUCUCCGGGCAAGAAGGAGAAGGGGAUCUGGAGCAAGACGAAGGAAGAGCAAUGAAAGCCCUGUGGUGGGUGUCAGGCUUUUUGUCAGGCAAGGACAGUUGCCGAGGCAGCGUGGGGAAGCGGAGGCGCCCACGUCCCAUCAAUCACCACACGCCGACCAAGGCCGCAGGCGGUUAGGGCCUGCGGCGCUCCGCACUUGCCCUUUGGCUUCACCUCGAAGCCAAGUUCGAGCGCGCCUUGGGCCCCGAGGCUACUGUCGGCGUCCUGGGAACGGGGAUACCCAGACGUGCCUGCCUAAGGCACACGGCGUGGCUCCGUCAACAGCCCGGUACGACCCAGCUUCAGCAGUAACAACUCAAGACCCACGCGAGGGGCCAAACCUCGCGAGGCGGAUGACACCAAGACCUCUGUGGGGGCGGCCUCACUAGGCUGGCUCCCGAGGAGCGGAGAUAUCAAUGUAGGGUGCACCUCGCGAGGUUCAUAUGAUGUGAGCCGUGACGACCAAGGCCAGACGGGCACCAGCGGGCACAGUGUACCUGUUUCCUCUUUGGUGCCAAGGAGGCAAGCGCAGGCGCGGAGUCCCGAGGAAUCACCUAAAGGUUUCCAUAUCAGUGCAACGAGACCAAGACCGCCAGGACGGCAGGACGGAGAUCAUCGCGGAGCCCACCGCGGCGUCACCACCAGAGCCUUUUGCAGGCGAAGACUGCUUUUGUCAGGAUAGCUUGUACUCGUUGUCUCCCUUUGAAUUUGGCCGUUGUGGGAUCCCUUCUCGCCUACAUUUGGGAAGAGUACCAAGGCCACUAUAUAUAGGACUUAGCCACCACCAUAGUGGGGGACGGAUCAACUCCCACCCGAACCACAUCACCAGCUCAUCGAGCUCAAGAACACCUCACCUCCUGAGGCCGUUCAUCCACUGUACUAGUUCAUCCUUAGCCCCUCGAGGCAAUCCAAAACAAAGCUGGAGUAGGGUAUUACACCGCAAGGUGGCCCGAACCAGGAUAAACCCCUGUGUCUCUUGUUCUUUGGGUUCGUCGAGCUAGACCGUGUGAUCGCUGAGUGGGUAGACUGGGAAGAGAGAGUUCUUCGUACGCACCCGAGAGUUCGAACCUCUCAAGGGUCUGUUGAACCCCGAAUCUGAAAAUAUAGUGUGCUGAAAUUUCCUAUCACUUGUUACUAUGAAAAAUAAUCCUUUGAGGGGCUUGUUCGGGGUAUCUUCACCCUGACCAGAAGAGCAAAGAGUUUCUCCUCAACCUACUGCACCUACUGAAAAUAUUUAUUAUGAAAUUCCUUCUGAUAUGAUAGAGAAACUGCUAGCUAAUCCUUAUGCAGGAGAUGGAACAUUCGGCAAUCACCGUCGGGAGCCGCUCCUCCCAGCGGACAGAGCGCGCGCGGGAGGUUGAAGACGACCUACCGCUGGGCCCCGCGCGUAAGCGACCUAGCGGGCGGGCCCGUCUGUUUAAGUGGAGACGGCUUCGGCCGGGUUCGCUUCCCUCGCGCGAAGACACACUGCUGUGAAGCCGCCUUCGACGUCUCCUCCUUCGCCCGUGCGGCCCACUGGUCCGGCUUAACGGCUAUCCUUCACUCUGUGCGUGCUUUAGGUAAAACCUAGAUGCUUUCCUUUUUGUUUUCCAGAGAUAUUGUAAAAUACAUAAACAAUUCAAAUGGACUCCAAAUUUGAUGAUUCAAAUUUCUAGUAGUUCAUAAAUUCAUGCUCUAUCACAUGGUGCAAUUUGCACAUUUUUCAAGAAAGUUUUUCUUCACAAAUAUUUAUCAAAUCCCAUUAUUCCAUUUCUGUGAUGAACUUUAGAAAGUCACAGAAUGCCCAUUUUGAUCCAAAUUCCAUGAUUCAAAUUCCUAGAUACUUAUAUGUUCAUAACUUAGUUUUUGAACAUUUUUUCCAAUACUUUCUGUGCCACAUCAAAUAUUGGUCCAUUUCUCCAUGUAUAGCCAAGUUUGCAAAUUCCUAGGAAACUCAUUUUAACUCCAAAUCCAGUGAAACCAACUCCUAAGUGCUUCUAAAAUCAUUCCUUGUUAAUUGGGUGCCUUUUUAUCAUUUUAAAAAAUAAUGUUUCUGUACACUUCUCUCAAAUCCACAAACCCCUUGUUUCCAUCAUAUUGAAAUGUUCAGAAAUAUCCAUGGAUCCAAUUCCAAUGAAACCACUUCGGUCAUUUUUCAUAUGACCAAAGGUAUCCUAGAAAGUCCAACUCACAUUUUUAGAGCACUUUUAUUUUUCCCUUGUUGUGUUGCUUAUUGUGUUUGUUUACGACGAUAGUUGACGAAGUAGACGGAAUGCUCGGAGAUGGACAAGAAUGAUUGAAGACCUUGUGAAGCCAGGCAAGUAGCCCCUUGACCAUGUCUAUGAAACCUCUUUUUAUGCAUGCCAUAUAGCACUUUAUUAUUGCAUCAGAAUCAUGAUGAGAUGGUAACCACUUUGGUGGGUUGCCUUCGUUACUCCCUUGUUGAUACUUGCAUUGUGCAUGACCCUACCGUCCAAUGAGGGUUAUGUGUGUGGGAGUAGAUAGGAUGCUAAUGUAAUUGCUAUGCAAAAUGGGACGGGUGGAUGCAUGGUGAUGGAGACAAAAAUAUCUUUCUAGAGACUUUUUGAAAACCCCGUCGGGUGCCACUAAUGUCCGAGGGAGAUGUUGAGCUAAGUAACACUUCAUGAAGAGUGGUGUACCAAGGCAAGUGCCACUCUACCCCUUAUGGGACGGGGCGUUAUUGAUUACCUAGUCUGAUACUAGCAUGGUGCCCACAUUACUAGUGACGUGAGAUCACCCUCGGGACUGGGUCGUGCUUGGAUAGGCGGCCAUGACUAUUUUUACAGGGCACCGGACACACCGUUGGUCCCUUCGUGUAGAUGUGAUGAUAAAAAGGGCAGAGUCCCAAGGUCUUUAUGAUUAUACACGAGGGCCAUGUACCAACGAGUGGACUCUGUGUUAGUGUCGCCUAGGGAAAGAUAGUGAUCGGGUGCUUACCCCAGGUACUUGAGGUACUCGGGUCGUGGAUGACACGAAAGCUCCCCGGAUUCUUGUGGGUAAAGUAUACAACCUCUGUAGAGUGUAAAACUAUUCGAAUAACCGUGUCCAAGGUCAAGGACAGUUGGAUAACCGCUCUUGGGCUACGUCCAAUGUUUACGAAACCUGGUGUGUGUGUGUGUGUGUGGGUGUGUGGAGAGAACAACUUUAGUCGAGUCAAAUGACUUGACAUGUUCAUUAAGCUGGAGAUGAUCCAAACUCUAUUUAUGUUGAUAUAUGUAACCUGUUCACAUGGUUACCCGAAAUUCCUAUGAUGCAUGCUUUACAAGAUGUUGGAUGCACUCAAAACUAGCUUUCUGCAAAGUUACCUACUUAGUGAUAUAUCAUGCAUUGUUAUCUUGAUCCAAAACAUGGGUUGCUUGCGAGUACAUUCAAAUUACUCAUUGGCUUGCCACUGGUUAUUUAAUUUUCCAUGCAUGGAAGAGCAGGAGUUCGAAGAAGAAUUCUUUGGAGACGAACAUGCGAAGUAGGACGCUUUCCCAGUCAGAAUGCCUGUAGGGUUAAGGCAGAUGGCAUGGGUUCUACUUAUCGACGAAGAUUUCCGCUGCUUGUGUUUUAUCUGAUGGUCAACCCUUAAGGCUUUAUCUGAUGGUCAUAAUUUGUGUAAGACGGUAUGUAUGGAUGUAAGACUCUUGUUAUUCAGCUUCUGUGUGUUCAGUGAGCAUUAAUCUCUGGGCACUGUACACGUGCAUUCGGUGAUCAUGACUUAUGAGUGGGGUCCCCACAGAACUGGUAUCGGAGCCAUCCUGACUGUAGGAAGCCUUAGUAGCAUGGUCAUUAGUUAGGGUAAAAACUAUUUUCAAAACUAUCGCUAAUUUUCAGAAACUAUCUAUACUUCUCUUCCCUUCUGAGUUUUUCGAAAAGGAAGAUAUAUUUUUCCUUAUUGACCUUUUGCCCUUCAAAACUUUUGCAAACGGUCGCUAGCACCCUCAUGCCCCUGACCAUGGGAUUCCUUGUAAUCCUCAUGGAUAAUCUAGAAGGAAGACACCUUGCCAAACAUUCACCCACAUAUUCUGAACACAAGUUUGGCGACACCACGACAAGACAGAAGACACCUUCUCAAGGAUUGAGGAAACCAAGACUCGGAAGAUGGAGACACUCUUGACACUGCCCCAGGAUGAUGCAACCUUGUCCUACGAUGAUCAGGGUGUAAGAUAUGCAAGAUCAUGAUAUACAUCGCUAAUAGAGAAACACUAUCCUUACCGUUGUUGUGUCGGCAACCACCGGUGGAUGAGAACCUCGCCAUUUGGUCCGCCUCACUAUAGUGAGCAGGAAAACAGUUCUCUUCAUUCCCCGCUCUUGGUGACGAUGUUAUCCUCAACGUGACGACAGGUUGGACUUCUACCAUGCCUUGUUAAUGUUAUUGCAUUGCCUACCUAGAAACCUCGAUGCCUUAGAAGACAAGAAGGCAUUGUCAUGAUUACGGAGACAAUAGAAGACCCAGACAAUGGUAGCCAUGAGGAACCACCUUCGCCCGGUUAGCUUAGCAGAUGAGAAGUUGUCAAAGAUUCUUCACGCCCAACCCAAUUCGUUUCAUCGUACGACUACAAGAGACGUAGCGACACCUGAGGAAGAUCCAGAAGACUAAAAGUCCUUCUCUCCGACACACAAAGCAAGCACGACUACUGAGUCCAAGAACCCCUAGGGUAGGAUGAGUCGUGCAUCCCCUAAGCGAAGUCGAGUCUGUGUGAUGGUUCACAUAGAACCAUGAUUGUGUGUUGCUUGUUUUUAUUUGUUUGUGUUUUUAUAUAAGUCUCCCUUUUGCCCUAGGCAACAAGUACGCGACUAUAUAACCUACCUUAUUUUAAUGCUUGUGUUUGGCCCUUUCGGCACUUGCUUGUUUGCACUUGCACUAUAGAAUCCCCUUUAGGCACCCUUUCUAUGCUACUUCUCCCUCUCAUCUCUCUCAUCAAUUGAAGACCAGCAAGACAAGAUGCACCAAGGAGUCCACCUGGGCGACCAACUGGCACCGAAGACUUUUGCUAUAGCCUCCUUGACCAAGUGUAACCCGUAUGUUUACCCCUCCAGACUGUAAACCCAUCCCUAGACCCUUUGAGACUUCACAAGAUACCCCAGCUCGAAUCCUUAACCAUGUGCUUAACCUACGGAAUUGCAAGAGAACUAGUUAAGCUUCAGUAACCUUUGCUCGUCACUGGGUUCAUUAUGGAACUAGUGGACCUAGUGAACAAGCACGUUAUCAUCCUAAGAUAGCACCAGAACUAACGAUGCCAUAGGGAAGAUCGUUUUAGGAUACAUGAUUAGUAGGCUAGUGAUUUGUCGAGGCUAUAAUAGAUACCUUGAGGAAUAUCCGAGACUCUUUGGUGGAUUAUGAGGCUUUCAUGAUGAACUUGCCGGGAUUAGUUAAUAGAGUAGGAUAACUUUCAUUACCCUUGGGUAAAUUGGAUUUAGUAGGACAAAUUAUGAUCGCAAGCUAUAAUUCUUGGAAGUAUAAGGAUUUGACAUAGCCAGGGGAUAUUGAUAGGAGAUAGUUGACAUUACGAUAAUGACUUGGGGGAAACAUGUAGGAAUUCUCGUAAGACAUGAGAUUUGUAUUAAAUAGGUGAUCCUAGUGGAGUAUAGAUGCUGAGUAAGUCUACAUGGUUCGGAGUAAAUUGGAUUUAGGCUGAUGAUCUCAAUCAUGAUAACAUGUUUCUCGGUGGACGAUGAACUAGGAGAUUGGAUUAAUUGUCGAAGUUGAUUUAGGGAAUCUAUAUAAGCUUGAUGUUGGAAGUUACUUGACCCCGAUAAUGGAAAUUGGUGGACUUACUAUAUUAAAGAUAACCCUUUCAAGUAUUUGGGGAUUAUAAAGACUUUAGGAGGUCAUGUGGAAUGCCACGGAUAUUGGAUUUGUAGAAUUAAUGGAUCAUGUAGUGGUUGGAGUAAAUAGGUCGAUGGAGUUGAUACAUAGGGAGGAAACAAGAUUUUGGAUUUGGUAUACAACAUGUUUCCUUAGGAUAGUGAUGCACUAUCUUGGACCUUGGAAGAUUAAGAUGAAUACUUGGAUUGUGAUGUUUAAAUCAAGCUUAGCAGCUUGUAGGUUUUUUUACAUAAGGACAACCAUAUAUAUGAGUUUGGGGAAUAGUUGACAUGUAUGAUCUUGUUAGACCUCCUCCAGGAAGUCAUGUGGAUAUGAAUAGCAUGAGUGAUGAUUGGAUUUGACAUAUACGAGAAGCUUUUUUCGGUGGUAUAAGGUGAUUGCUACUUCUUGAGCUUGCGUUGGUUUUUCCUUGAAGAGGAAAGGGUGAUGCAACAAAGUAGAGAUAAGUAUUUCCUUCAGUUUGAGAACCAAUGUAUCAAUCCAGUAGGAGAUAACGCACAAAUCACUGAAUACCUGCACAAACAAUUAAACAACUUGCACCCAACGCAAUAAAGGUGUUAUCAAUCCCUUCAUGGUUACUUGCAAAAGUGAGAUCUGAUAGAUAUAGAUAAACGAUAAAGUAAAUAUUUUUGGUAUUUUUGGUUUAUAGAUCGAAAAGUAAAAGAUUGCAAAAAGACUAGAUCGAAAACUAAUAUCAUAGAUCGAAAACUUAUAUGAUGAAAAAUAGACCCGGAGGCCAUAUGUUUCACUAGAGGCUUCUCUCAAGAUAGCAAAUAAUACGGUGGGUGAACAAAUUACUGUCGGGCAACUGAUAGAAAAGCGCAAAGUUAUGACGAUAUCUAAGGCAAUGAUCAUGAAUAUAGGCAUCACGUCCGUGUCAAUUAGACCGAAACGAUUCUGCAUCUACUACUAUUACUCCACACAUCGACCACUAUCCAGCAUGCAUCUAAAAUAUUAAGUUCAUAAAGAACGGAGUAACGCAUGAAGUAAGAUGACAUGAUGUAAAGGAAUUAACUCAAGCAAUACGGUGAAAACCGCAUCUUUUUAUCCUCGAUGACAAUAAUACAAUACGUGCCUUGCUGCUCCUACUAUCACUGGGAAACGACACCGGAAGAUUGAACCCAAAGCUAAGCACUUCUCCCAUUGGAACAAAACCAAUCUAGUUCGCCAAACCAAACCGAUAGUUCGAAGAGAAUUACAAAGAUAUCAAAUCAUGCAUAAAAGAAUUUAGAGAAGAUUCAAAUAAUAAUCAUAGAUAAGCUCAUAAAUCCACAAUUCAUCGAAUCUCGGCAAACACACCACAAAAGAGUAUUACAUCGAAUAGAUCUCCAAGAACAACGAGGAAAACAUGGUAUUGAGAAUCAAAAAGAGAGAAGAAGCCAUCUAGCUACUAGGUAUGGACCCGUGGGUCUGUGGUAAACUACUCACGCUUCAUCGGAAGGGCAAUAGGGUUGAUGUAUAAGCCCUCCGUGAUCGAACCCCCCUCCGGCAGGGUGCCGGAAAAGGUCCCUAGAUGGGAUCUCAUGGGUACAUAAGGUUGCGGUGGUGGUGUCGAAUUUCGGGUUCCGGCAAAACACUCAAGGUUCGAACACUUGGGUGCGCACGAAGAUCUCCCCUUACCAAAUCACGCCCUCAGCCUCACCGAGAUCUCUAAGCUUAGCUCGAUGAACUCGCAACAUAAGAGACACAAGAUUUAUACUGGUUCGGGCCACCGUUGUGGUGUAAUACCCUACUCCAGUGUGGUCUGGUGGAUUGCCUCUCGGGCUGAGGAUGAAUAGUACAAGGGGAAGAACAGCCUCCUGAGGUGAGGUGUUCUUGUGCUUGGUGGGUGUGAGGGUGAACUGAAUGAGUUCGAGACGAGUUGCCUCCUACUAUGGUGGCUAGCCCUAUUUAUAGAGGCCUUGGUCCUCUUCCCAAAUAUUGAGCGGGAAGGGAUGCCCCAACGGCCGAUUUGAAAGGGGACAAACUAGUACAAGAUAUCCUGACUAAAGGUGGUCUUCGCCUGCCAAAGGCUCUGGUGGUGACGCCGGCUUGGGCUCCACGAUGACCUCUGUCUUGCCGUCCUGCUGGUCUUCGUUUCGUUGCACCGAUAUGAAAAUCUUUGCCUGAUGCCUCGGUACUCCUCGCCUGCGCUUGCCUCCUUAGCACCAAAGAGGAAGCAAGGACAUUGUGCGCGCUGGCGCCCGCCUUGCCUUGGUCGUCAUGGUUCAUGUCAUGAGAACCUCGGGAGGUUUUCCUUGCCUUGAUCUCUCCGUCCCUCGCGAGCCAGCCUGGUGAGGCCACUCCUAAGGAGGUCUUGUGUCAUCCGCCUCGCGAGGCUUAGCCCCUCGCGAGGGUCUUGAAUGCUUGUUGGUAAAGAUGGGCCGUACGAGCCCGCUCGCAGAGCCACGCCGUGGGCCGCAGGCAGGCAAGUCUGGGGACCCCCGUUCCCAGAACGCCGACAGUAGCCACCGGGCCCAAGGCGCGCUCGGACUUGGCUUCGAGGCGAAGCCAAAGGGCUAGUGCGGAGCACCGCGGGUCUAACAGCCUGCGGCCUUAGUCGACGCAUGGUGGUUGAUUGGACGUGGGCGUCUCCGCUUCCCCACGCUGCCUCGGCAACUGCCCGACUUGACGAGUCCCUGCUGCAUGCAAGGAAAAACCAUCAUUACCUGUGAUCGAGGGGGCGCUGGUUGGCCUUCUCUUGCUAUAAAUGGGGAGGGGGAAGAGCCCCCGUCGCCCAUCUCUUCCCAUUCCGCUCGCUUCUCCCCCUUUGCUCCAUUGCCAGUAGCGACACCAAUGGCGCCGUUGAUCAACUGAAAGUACAGCGGGGUUUUUAUGCCCAAACUACGAGUGUCGUGUUCUCCUCAAGGACUAGGCAAAUCGAUGAUCGUGCUUGGCUAAAGCUAGGUGACAAUUCAGAUGAUGAUCGCAAAAAAAUAUAAACCUAAACUAACAAUAUAGGAUGAUGACAAAUAAAAUGUCAAGAGAGAUUAAGAUUGAAACUCAUUGUAUCUUUGGUAUUUUUGUUUUACUAGAGACGCUAAAACACUAACAUAAAGGGAAGCAACGGGACAUGAACACAUAUAUUACUAUCAUACAAGUAACAAAGGGGAAGAAAGAAUGCUAUGACAGAGACAGAAAUAUAUCACAACAUAAACAUAUAUAUUUUCACAUGGAAGUAAUUAACACAGGGACUACAGAACACACAUAAGCACACAUAUGCGAACAGGGUACUACACCAUGAUUCAGGUUACACAAGUAAUCUAAUUAUACAAGCCACUUGACUAGUAUCACAGAUCAACAGAGUAGUAUUGAACAACUAAAAAUAGAUAGUAGAAGUAACUAGUACAGGAAGCAAGUACUCUUAGAAUCUGAAUGUUAUAGACUACACAUCUCAAACUACAGAAAAUUCAGAGAAGAGAAGGAGAAAGAGAGAUGGCAGCAGGAGAUUAGAGAAAGAAGCAGCAACAGGGACGUGGAGAGAGGGAGCAGCAGCAGUACUGGGGAUAGAAGAAGAAAGAGAAGCAGCAGGAGAUUGAGGGCAUCAGCAGCAGCAAGAGAAAGGAUUGAGGGGAGAUCAGGGGCAGCAGCUAGAUGGCGCAAGUGGGAGCAGCAACAAGGAGAAGUUCAGAGAAGAAGGAGCAGCAAGGGGUCGCUGGAGAGGAGCAGCAGCAGGUUGAAGAUUAGAGUAGCAGCAGCAGGGGCAUCAGGGAGAGAGAAGCAGCAGCGUGGGUUGAGGGCGAGCAGCAGCAGGUUGAAGAAGGAGGAGCAGCAGCGACUUGGAGUUGGGAGAUGGAGAAGAGGGAAGCAGCAGGGGGCGGUGAGAGAAGAGAGGAGCAGUAGCAAGGGGAGAAGAAGGGCAGCAGCACAGGGGCGCAAGGAAGAGCAGCAGCAAAGGUAAGGGAAGAAGGACUCACGCGGAGGUUCAGACGCCCGCAUCCUCGUGUCUGAUGGGACGUGCGAGUGGUGAUGGUGGAGUGGUGGCGCUGGUGAUGGUGGAUGAUGGCGCUAGGUGGUGAUUCGGCGUUGGUGGAUGGAGAUGGGUGAUGUGGUGCUGGAGGUGGGUGUGCUUGUGGAUGGAUGGGUGGCGGAGGCGCACCACCACACCGGCCUGGCCGUGGCGGCGGCCGGUGGUGGAGAAGAAGGGGAGAGGGAGAGAGAUGAGAUGUGCCAGGCCCGAAGGGACCCAAUGAUGCGGCUAGGGAGUUUGUUCCCCUCUCUGAUCUGCCACUUUUCUGAUUUGGCCCUUCUCCUUCUAUACUUUUAGCACAAGAUGAUCCCUUCUCUUCUUCAGCUAUCCCCUGGUUACUUCUUUUCAUCUCACAAGUCUCUUCUUCCUUCUCUUCUCUUCUUCACUCUUCUCGAUAGCCUCAUAGACGAAAUCUUGACGAUUAUUAGUGCUUUGUGCACAUUUCUGCAAGAUAGACCAAAGACUAGUAAAUGAUCUUUUUUAUGAUUAUCAAGCAACAUUCAAUCAAUCAUGGCAAGAGUGGACGAAUAUAUCACAAUAGAUGCUAUAUUGAGUACCAAAAUUAUGUAUAUGAAAUGUGCUUAUCAGCCGUCGAAGAGGUUCUCCGCCGCGGAGAAGGGGAAGGCCCGUCAGGAGGGGCCCGGCUCUCCGGUGCCCAAGCGCGGAUGCGGCCGUCCCCGCAAGCACACCGCGACCCCCGCCGCGGCCCCCGGUCGUGGCAGCCCUGUCGGUGAAGAGAGACGUGCCGUGGUCGCGCGGCCUCCCCGGCCGCGCUUCCACUCAGCGGAGGUGCUGCCGGAGUUCGUCGUCUGGUCGGAGAACCUGGCCGGCAACUGGCUUCAGCUCCCGCGCUUCUUUGCCGACGAGCUGCCUGCAGCAGGGCUUCCUGGGUCGCGGUUGAGGUCUCCGUCGCAGGCAACAUAGCCCUGGCCCACGGCUGGCAGGUGUUUGCCCGUGCGCGCGGCCUGGGCAGGCGGUGCACCCUCCAUUUCAAGUACGACGGCGACCGACCCCCUAUGUGAGGGUGUUUGGGGAAGAUGGUCGCCGCGCCGGGUGCUGCCCCGAGGUCAACGACGGCGACGAGGUGCUCGGCCUUGGCGAUGGUCAUGACGAGGAUGAAGGCGAACCCGCCCUUGGUGCCGACCACGUCUCAUCCAGCUACGGCGGUUCUUCCUCCGGCGACAGCUCCAGCGGCGGUGGUUACGACCAGCCGUCGCGCCCACUUCGAAGGCGGUAGUGGGUCGUCUUGUCGUCAUGCCUCCGUGAAGCGUGAGGUGGGGUCUGGCUGAGCUCGGGACGGCGCCAAGAGCCCGUCCUGGCGGACCGCUGUGGAGGCACGCACCACUUUAAUUUCGUUCUUCCUUUCCUUCAUGUACUAAGAAAGAAACCAGUAUGGGGCCCCGGAGGGGCGUGCAACGAACUAUGAUUUCUCAGUUAUUAUGCUAUGUUUAUCGUUCCUGUGCUGUGCCACAACAUCGUCGUUUUAUGUAGAGAUAACUUAGCUUGACGUGCUCGGAGUAGUCUCCUCUUCGCGAGGUGCUCGCUUCCUGGUGCCUGUCGAGGCCUCCUUGGCCUGGUAGGCACUUAGGAACUGCAAAAAAUUCGUUAGGAGGCUUAUCGUUUACCCGAGCCUUGGUUGCAGGCGCCGCUGGCCUUGACGCAGCGCUUCGUAUCGCGGUACCCUUGGGGCACGUAUUGGGAGAGGCGCGCCAGCUUGCGAGCUAGAACGAGGGUGCCUCGCAAAAAGCAGAAAAAGGAAAAACGCUCACGAGGGCACCUGUCCAGCCCCCUCGUGAGGUAUGCGAGAGAGAGUAGAUGCUAAACUGAGGACGGAAAUAGAGGCAGAAGGCGACGGAACCAAAUCAGCAAAGAACACCAGAAGCAAACUUCAAUUAAAGAGGGGCGAGCCAACUACGAAAAGCAAAUGAAAAGCCGCGUCCGGCACCUAGUCUAGUCUUCAUGUCUUCUCACCAGCGCGGAGCUAAGUGCUGCCACUAGGACAUGGGAGGGAGCCCUCGAGGCCCGAGGGCGGCACUCCUAAGACUCCGGGGCGUGUACAGCCCCACUCAUUAUUACGUGAGAGUGUCACGGGCGGCGAUUCUUCACAGGCACCGGGCCUUCUUUACAGGCUCUGGGCCUUUCUUCACAGGCUCUGGGCCUUGCUUCAUGGUUAGAACUUCCGGAGGUGCUGGAUGUUCCAGGCGUUCUGGAUGGGCAUCCCGUCCUGCGUCUCCAGGCGCGCUGCACCAGGCCUGGAGACAUGGACGACCUUGAACGGGCCCUCCCACAUGGGUGAGAGCUUAUGCAGCCCUUCCCUGGAGAGCACCCACCUUAGGACGAGGUCACUCACCUCGAGCGUCCUGGAGUGGACGUUGCGGCAGUGGUACCGCCGCAGCGCCUGCUGGUAUCUUGCCGCCCGCAGUGCAGCUUCGCGGCGGCGUUCCUCCCCCAGCACGAGGUCCAUCCCCCGUGUGGCGUCCUGCUGCGUCUCAUCAAACGCCAGGACUCAUGCGGCGCGAUGCUUGACCUCGUGAGGGAGAACCACUUCUACUCCGUAGAUGAGGAAGAAUGGGGUCUCGCCCGUUGGCUUGGUGGAGGUGGUGCGGAUGGACCACAGCACGAACUGGAGCUCGUCGUGCCAGCCCCUGCCGCAGGCUUCGAGCUUCUUCUUGAAGGUCCUGGUCUUGAGGCCUCUUAGGACCUCCGCGUUGGCGUGUUCGGCUUGACCAUUGCUCCGGGGGGUGCGCCACUGAAGUGUAGCAAAUCUGCGUUCCAAGGUUAGCACAGUACGUUUUGAAGAGAUUACUAGUGAACUGCGAGCCAUUAUCGGUGAUGAUGCGGUUGGGGACCCAAAACGGCUUACGAGACCCUUGAUGAACUUGACCGUAGAGCCAGCCGGGAUGGUGCGGACGGCUUCCACCUCCGCCCACUUGGUGAACUUGUCGAUGGAAACGUAGAGGUAUCGGUAGCCCCCAGGCGCUCGAGGGAACGGGCCCAGGAUAUCCAGUCCCCAGACUGCGAACGGCCACGAGAGUGGAAUGGUCUGGAGGCCCUGAGCUGGUUGAUGGAUUUGCUUGGCGUGGAAUUGGCAGGCCUCGCAGGACUUCACCAGCUCAGCUGCCUCGUUGAGCACCGUAGGCCAGUAGAAUCCGCUGCGGAAUGCCUUGCCGAUGAGGGUUCAUAACGACGAGUGGUGCCCGCAGUCCCCGCCGUGUAUGUCGGCUAGCAGCUCUUUCCCCUAUUCCCUGGAGAUGCAAUGCAGGGAAAUGUCAUUUGGCCGCUUCCUGUAUAACUCACCAUCCUGGAUGCAGUAUGCCGUGGCUUGCCGGGCCACAUGCUCCGCGUCCUCCUCCUUCUCCGGCAGCAUCCCUUGCGUCAGAUAUUCCUUGAAUUCCUUGGUCCAGCAUCCCCCUGGGGCUCGAGUGCCAAGAGUAGACGCGCUCCUGAGGUCGGGCCACAGGCUGGGGCUCCCGUGGCAGGUGGCUGUGGGAGCUCCUCCCGAGGCUGCGUUGUCCUUGAAAGUGGUGGUGUUGCCGAUGGCUUGAAGAGCCGCUCCUCGAAGACGCUAGGCUCUUGGGGCUGUCGCUUGGAUGCCCUUCUGGCGAUGUCAUCGGCUUCCUUCUUGGUGCCACGGGGCAUGUGCUGCAACUCCAGGCCCAGGAACUGCUUCUCCAUCUUGCGCAUCUCCGUGAGGUAUGCCUCCAUGGGUUCGUCCUUUGGCUCGUAUACCUUGUUGGAGAAGUUGACGAGGAGCUGCGAGUCGCCCCUGAUGGUGAGACGCUUCACCCCCAGGGCCGCCGCAGCCUUCAGGCCGGCUAUGAGGCCUUCGUAAUCUGCGAUGUUGUUGGAGACCUUCUCGCCCAGCUGGAAGCAGAGUUGCACAGCGUAGUAGAGCUUGUCCUGAGUGGGCGAGAUGAACACUGCUCCAGCCCCCGCGCCCUGGCGCGCGAAGGCACCAUCAAACUACAUGACCCAACCGUCGGGCGCCUCACUUCCCGGUGAGAGGGACCGAUCCUCGCCUAUUUCAAGCACCGGGGCAUCUGUCCAUUCUGCCACGAAAUCGGCGAGCGCGGCUCCCUUGAUGACCCUGGUGGUGCUGAACUCCAACUGGAAUGCCUGCAGCUCGAUGUUCCACUCGGUGACCCUCCUGACAGAGUUGGGGCUCCUGAGCACCCUCUCCAAUGGGUAGGCCGAGACGACCUUGAUGGGGUGACCUUGAAUGUAAUGCCGCAGCUUACGCGAGGCCACCAAGAGCGCGAGUAAGAGCUUCUGAGGCAUGGGGAAAUGUCGUGCUGACGAAAUAUACCGGGUGCUCGACGAGUGCGGGUGCACUGAUGAGGCUGGCGCCUUUCGGAAGUUGGGGCGCCUCCUAAGGUGGUGGAGCCCCCAAUGCCUGAUCGCUUGUAAGGGUCCCUGCAGGCUCAGGGGCGUCGUCCCACUGAGCUUGAUCCUGUGCCGCCGCAGCUGCGGCCUGUGCGGCGCCCUCCUGGUCUUGCAUCGUCCCUGCUGGGGGCACAGCUUGGCGUGAUGCGCCCUUGGCUUGGUGUUCUUCCCGAACCGCCACUAGAGCCGCGCUGGCGGAGUAGGGAGUGGUGGCAAGGUAAAGCACUAGGGGCUCGAGAGGUCGUGGCGUCACCAUCAGUGGAGGGCUGGUCAGGUAUCUCUUGAGGUCUUGAAAUGCUUGGUCGGCCUCCAGGGUCCACUCGAAUGGGCCCUUCUUCUUCAUCAGCUUGAAGAAGGGUAGGGCGCGCUCUCCUAGCUUGGAAAUGAAGCGUCCCAACGCAGUCACCCGUCCAGCAAGCUUCUGCAUUUCCUUGAGGGUUUGCGGUGGGCUCAUGUCUUCGAUGGCCUUGACCUUCUCUGGGUUGGCCUCGAUCCCCCUAUGGGACACAAGGAAGCCUAAGUAGCUUGCCGGAAGGGACGCCAAACACGCACUUCUCCGGGUUGAGUCGCAAGUCCACCUGGCGGAGGCUCGCGAAGGUUUCCUCUAGGUCCUGAAUCAAAGUUCUCGCCUCCCGAGACUUCACGACGAUGUCGUCGACGUAAGCUUCAGCGUUUCUCCUGAGCUGCCGACCCAAGGCGAUGUGCAUCAGCCGUUGCAAGGUUGCGCCUGCGUUGCGCAGCCCAAACGGCAUGCAAGUGUAGCAGUACACCCCACACGGGGUCAGGAAGGCUGUCUUCUCCACAUCUUCUACCACCAUCUUGAUCUGGUGAUAUCCUGAAAACGCAUCCAGGAAGCACAGCAAGUCACACUCGGCGAUGGAGUUGACGAUCUGGUCGAUGCGUGGAAGCGGGAACGGAUCUUGGGGGCAGGCCUUGUUGAGGUUGGUGAAGUCGACGCACAUACGCUCCUUCCCGCCUUUCUUUGGCACGACGACGGGGUUCGCCAGCCACUCGGGGUACCGAACCUCGCGAAUGACACCCACAGCCUCCAACUUGCGGGUCUCUUGGAUGAUGAAAGCUUGCUUCCCCGUGGACUGCCGCCUCGCCCUCUACUUUACGGGGCGUAUGUUGGGGCACACCUUCAGGUGGUGCUCUAUCACCCCUCUUGGGACCCCUACCAGCUGAUCGGGCUCCCAAGCGAACACUUCCUUGUUCUCAUGCAAGAACUUCACCAGCGCCUCCUCCUGAUCAGGCUCGAGGUUGGCGCCUAUGGUAAAGGUUGCCCCCGAGGACCCGUCCUCCUCGACCGGCACCUGCUUGGUUUCUGCCUUGUCUUGAGUGAACAACUGCUUCUUCUUGGUUGGUCCGGCUUCCUUGGCCUUGGAGGUGUCCGCGUCGGUGGGCUGCGCCGUCGCAGCGGUCUUGAGGGCAAGCUUGAGCAUUAUCAGGGCUUCCUUGGUGUCCCCAACUACUGUGAGGACACCCUUGCUCCCGGGCAUCUUCAUGAGGUUGUAGGAUGGAUAGGUCGCCGCCAUGAACUGAGCCAGGGCCGGCUACCCGAGGAUGGCAUUGUACGGGAGGCCAAUGCGGGCAAUGUCGAAGUCGACCAGCUCUGUGUGGUAGUUGUCACGCGUGCCGAAGGUUAAGGGGAGGCGGAUCCGCCCCAAGGAGUGGGCAGAGCCUCCACUAACCCUUGAGAAAGGCUUGCUAGGGCGGAGCCGCUCGAGCGGUAUGUGAAGAAGGCUGAAGGCCUCGACGGAGAGCACGUGGAGGCCGGCACCGCCGUCGAUGAGCGUCUUGGUGACGGACACGUUGCAGAUGGUGGGCGUGCAAAGCAUUGGGAGCACACCCGAGCCGAUGGUGGAGACGGGUUGAUCCCCUGAGUCGAAGGUGAGGUCGGCCUCGGGUGCGGCCCAGCCCGGGGAGCCCCCGGGCGCUUUGAAGUGGCGCUGAUCUGGCGAAGGAACGACUUGAUGUGAUGAUCCGAGGGCGGUUCCUGCGAGCCGCCGAGGAGGGCCGCGACCGCGUGACGCGCCGGUGCCGCGUAGCGCGUAGCGAAGAGACUACGCAGCUCCUCCCAAGAUGGCACCGUGGAUCCGGGAGGUUGAGCACCCUGGCGCGCGGUGCGCUAGUGAGGGGAAGCCAGUUGGCCAUGACCUUGUCGUCGCCCCCGGCCUUAAGGACGGCUUCCUCGUACGCCAGCAGGAAAGUCGACGGGUCCGCCGCGCCGUCGUAGCGAGGCGGCAUCUUCGGCUUGAACUUGGGUGGCCACUGCACCUGCCGCAAGGCGGGAGCAAGGGCUCGGAGCCCCCAGGCGUCACCGUGGGCGCCCGUAGAUCCAGCCGGAAGAGCGGCGCCAGCCAUGGGGAAUGGGCGUGAAGAUGGUGGAGCAUGAAUCGAUGGAAGGAAAACUCCGGCGCACCCCUACCUGGCGCGCCAAAUGUCGGAUUUCGGGUUUCGGCAAAACCCUCAAGGUUCGAACACUAGGGUGCGCACGAAGAUCUCCCCCUACCAAAUCACGCCCUCAGCCUCACCGAGAUCUCUAAGCUUAGCUCGAUGAAAUCGCAACACAAGAGACACAAGAUUUAUACUGGUUCGGGCCACCGUUGUGGUGUAAUACCCUACUCUAGUGUGGUGUGGUGGAUUGCCUCUCGGGCUGAGGAUGAACAGUACAAGGGGAAGAACAGCCUCCUGAGGUGAGGUGUUCUUGUGCUUGGUGGGUGUGAGGGUGAAUUGAAUGAGUUCGAGACGAGUUGCCUCCUACUAUGGUGGCUAGCCCUAUUUAUAGAGGCCUUGGUCCUCUUCCCAAAUAUUGAGCGGGAAGGGAUGCCACAAUGGCCGAUUUGAAAGGGGGCAGCUAGUACAAGCUAUCCUGACUAAAGGUGGUCUUCGCUUGCCAAAGGCUCUGGUGGUGACGCCGGCUUGGGCUCCACGAUGACCUCCGUCUUGCCGUCCUGCUGGUCUUGGUCUUGUUGCACCGAUAUGGAAACCUUUGCCUGAUGCCUCGGUACUCCUCGCCUACGCUUGCCUCCUUAGCACCAAAGAGGAAGCAAGGACACUGUGCGCGCUGGCACCCGCCUGGCCUUGGUUGUCAUGGCUCACGUCAUGAGAACCUCGCGAGGUUUGCCUUGCCUUGAUCUCUCCGCCCCUCGCGAGCCAGCCUGGUGAGGUCGCUCCCGAGGAGGUCUUGUGUCGUCCGCCUCGCGAGGCUUGGCCCCUCGCGAGGGUCUCAAAUGCUUGUUGGUGAAGAUGGGCCGUACGGGCCCGCUCGCAGAGCCACGCCGUGGGCCACAGGCAGGCAAGUCUGGGGACCCCCGUUCCCAGAACUCCGACAGGUGGAGAAGUGUUUUCGUGGAUGCCUCUCGUGGUUUGGGGAUAUAUGGGAAUAUAUAGGCAAAAGAAUUAGGUCCGUAGGUGCACGAGGGGCCCACAAGGGUGGGGGGCGCGCCCUACCCCACUAGGCGCGCCCUCCGUCCUUGUGGCCACCUCGUGGGUCCUCCGACUUCAUCUCCAAGUCUCCUGGUUGUCUUUUGGUCCAAGAAAAAUCAUCACGAAGGUUUUAUUCCGUUUGGACUCCGUUUGGUAUUCCUUUUCUGCGAAACUCAAAAACAGGAAAAAAACAGGAACUAGCACUGGGCUCUAGGUUAAUAGGUUAGUCCCAUAAAUAAUAUAAAAUAUCAUAUUAAUGCAUAUAAACAUCCAAAAUACAUACGUUGGAGACGUAUCAAGCAUCCCCAAGCUUAAUUCAUGCUCAUCCUCGAGUAGGUAAAUGAUAAAAACAGAAUUUUUGAUGUGGAAUGCUACCUAACAUAUUUAUCCAUGUAAUUUCUUUAUUGUGACAUGAAUGUUCAGAUCCAUAAGAUUCAAAACAAAAGUUUAAUAUUGACAUAAAAACAAUAAUACUUCAAGCAUACUAACAAGGCAAUUAUGUCUUCUCAAAAUAACAUGGCCAAAGAAAGCUUAUCGCUACAAAAUCAUAUAGUCUGGCCAUGCUCCAUCUUCAUCACACAAAAUAUUCAAUCAUGCACAAUCCCGAUGACAAGCCAAGCAAUUGUUUGAUACUUUUGACAUUCUCAAACUUUUUCAACUUUCACGCAAUAGAUGAGCGUGAGCCAUGGACGUAGCACUAUCGGUAGAAUAGAAGGUGGUUGCGGAGAAGACAAAAAGAAGGAGAUAGUCUCACAUCAACUAGGCGUAUCAACGGGCUAUAUGGAGAUGCCCAUCAAUAGAUAUCAGUGUAAGUGAGUAGGGAUUGCCAUGCAACGGAUGCACUAGAGCUAUAAGUUUAUGAAAACUCAAAAAGAAAACUAAGUGGGUGUGCAUCCAACUUGCUUGCUCAUGAAGACCUAUGGCAAUUUGAGGAAGCCCAUCGUUGGAAUAUACAAGCCAAGUUCUAUAAUGAAAAAUUCCCACUAGUGUAUGAAAGUGACAAUAUAGGAGAUUCUCUAUCAUGAAGAUCAUGGUGCUACUUUGAAGCACAAGUGUAGUAAAUGGAUAGUAACAUUGCCCCUUCUCUCUUUUUCUCUCAUUUUUCUUCUUUUUUUGGGCCUUCUCUUUUUUUGCCUUUAUCUUUUUUUUGUUUCCUCACAUGGGACAAUGCUCUAAUAAUGAAGAUCAUCACACUUUUAUUUACUUACAACUAAAAACUUACAACUCGAUACUAGGACAAAAUAUGACUCUAUAUGAAUGCCUCCGGCGUUGUACUGGGAUGUGCAAUGACUCAAGAGCGACAUGUAUAAAAAAUGAUGAAUGGUGACUUUGCCACAAAUACGAUGUCAACUACAUGAUGAUGCAAAGCGACAUGACAAUGAUGAUGCGUGUCAUAAUAAAUGGAACGGUGGAAAGUUGCAUGGCAAUAUAUCUCAGAAUGGCUAUGGAAAUGCCAUAGUAGGUAGGUAUGGUGGCUGUUUUGAGGAAGGUAUAUGGUGUGUGUAUGGUACCGGCAAAAGUUGCGCGGUACUAGAGAGGCUAGCAAUGAUGGAAGGGUGAGAGUGCGUAUAAUCCAUGGACUCAACGUUAGUCAUAAAGAACUCAUAUACUUAUUGCAAAAAUCUAUUAGUCAUCGAAACAAAGUACUACGUGCAUGCUCCUAGGGGGAUAGAUUGGUAGGAAAAGACCAUCGCUUGUCCCCGACCGCCACUCAUACGGAAGACAAUAAAAAAAAAAUCUCGUGCUCCAACUUCGUUACAUAACAGUUCACCAUAUGUGCAUGCUACGGGACUCACAAACCUUAACACAAGUAUUUCUCAAAUUCACAACUACUCACUAGCAUGACUCUAAUAUCACCAUCUUCAUAUCUCAAAACAAUCAUAAGGAAUCAAACUUCUCAUAGUAUUCAAUGCACUUUAUAUGAAAGUUCUUAUUAUAUCCCUCUUGGAUGCCUUUCAUAUUAGGACUAAAUUUAUAACCAAACCAAAUUAAUAUGCUGUUUAAAGACUCUCAAAAUAAUAUAAGUGAAGCACGAGAGUUCAUUGAUUUCUAUAAAAUAAAACCACCGCCGUGCUCUAAAAAGAUAUAAGUGAAGUACCAGAGCAAAAUUGCCCAGCUCAAAAGAUAUAAGUGAAGCACAUAGAGUAUUCUAAUAAAUCACGAUUCAUGCGUGUCCCUCUCAAAAGGUGUGUACAGGAAGGAAGAUUAUGGCAAACUAAAAAGCAAAGACUCAAAUCAUACAAGACGCUCCAAGCAAAACACAUAUCAUGUGGUGAAUAAAAAUAUAGCCUCAAUUAAAGUUACCGAUAGACGAAGACGAAAGAGGGGAUGCCUUCCAGGGCAUCCCCAAGCUUAGGCUCUUGGUUGUCCUUGAAUAUUACCUUGGGGUGCCUUGUGCAUCCCCAAGCUUAGGCUCUUGCCACUCCUUAUUCCAUAGUCCGUCAAAUCCUUUCCCAAAACUUGAAAACUUCACGACACAAAACUCAACAGAAAAUCUCAUAAGCUCCGUUAGUAUAAGAAAAUAAAUCACCACUUUUGGUACUGUUGUCAACUCAUUCUUUAUUUAUAUUGGUGUAAUAUCUACUAUAUUCCAACUUUUCCAUGGUUCAUACCCCCCGAUACUACCCAUAGAUUCAUCAAAAUAAGCAAACAACACAUAAAAAACAGAAUCUGUCAAAAAACAGAAUAGUCUGUAGCAAUCUGACUAGUUCGAAUACUUCUGUAAGUCCAAACAUUUUGAAAAACUAGGAAAACAGGGGCAAUUUGUAUAUCAAUCUUGUGUAAAAAAUUCAGAAUUUUAUCACGCUUCUGUGAUUUUCAACAAUUCUGGGACUGAGUGCAAAAGUUUCUGUUUUUCAGCAAGACCAAAUCAACUAUCACCGUAAGCUAUCCCAAAGGUCUUACUUGGCACAAACACUAAUUAAAACACAAAACCACAUCUAACUAGAGCUAGAUGAAUUAUUUAUUGCAAAACAGAACCUAAAAAUCAAAAAAUAAAAUAAAAUUGGGUUGCCUCCCAACAAGCACUAUUGUUUAACGCCCUUAGCUAGGCACAAAAACACGAAUAGAUCUAGGUAUUAUCAUCUUUGUAUGAAAUUCUUCAAUAACACACUUAUAAUCCUUAGGAGGUUCUUUGGUUUUGUCAAUGAUCAAACUCCUAGGCAAGAAAUCAAGAAAUUCACUUGUAGCAAUUGGUUCCUUAAUAAUAUCGAAAAAUUGGGGUGAACACUUAUUGUUUUGAGAUCUUCAUUUUCUUUACUAGAAGAUUCACCCUUAUUCUUAGGAACGUAAAUAAACUUGGCAGUCUUAGUAGGAGGAAGAUUUUGAGUAGUUUUAAUGGAGGAAAAAGCGGAACCCAAGUUGGUAAUAAUAUUCUCUAGUUUGCCAAUUCUAGUAGAAUCUUGAUCUAUCUUUUCAUUAACUAUGGAUUCCUUUUCUCUAAGAUUCUUUAAAGUAACUCCUACCUUAGAUCCAUAUUGAGUAAUCUGAUUAUGAAUCUUUUUAUCCAAAUUUUCAAUCAACCAAUGGUAGCAAUUUUAUUCUCAAUAAUAUCAAGCCUUUGCAUCUCAUGUUCCAAGGUUAAAACAGUUCCAUUGAUCAAAAGAGGUGGUGGGCCUAACAAAUCUAUCAUGGCAUUGUAAGAAUCAAAAGUAUGGCUCCCCAAGAAAUUCCCCCCGAUAAUGGUAUCUAGAACAUAUCUAUUCCAAGGAGUAACGCCCACAUAAAAAUUGCGAAGAAGAACGAUAGUAGAUUGCUUCCGAGUAGAUCUAUUUUGAGCAUUGCAAAUUCUAUACCAAGCAUCUUUUAAUUUUUCUCCCUCCCUUUGUUUAAAGUUGAGGACUUCAUUAUUGGGAGUGCUAACAAUGAUGGGAGGACUAGCCAUGAAGGCAAGAAAAACAAUGUAAUGCACAAGCAAACAAAAAGCAAGCGAAGAAGACGAACGGAAGAGGGGCGAAGAAAAGGCAAAUUUUUUUGAAAAUUGUUUUAGAAGUGGGGGAGAGGAAAACGAGAGGCGAAUGGCGAAUAAUGUAAUGCAAGAGAUGAGAUUUUAUGAUGGGAGCUUGAUAUAUCUUGACUUCGCGUAGAUCUCCCCGGCAACGGCGCCAGAAAUUCUUCCUGCUACUCCUUGAGCUUGCGUUGGUUUUUCCCUUGAAGAGGAAAUGGUGGUGCAGCAAAGUAGAGAUAAGUAUUUUUCUCAGUUUGAGAACCAAGGUAUCAAUACAGUAGGAGACAACGCACAAAUCACCGAAUAACUGCACAAACAAUCAAACAACUUGCACCCAACGCAAUAAAGGGGUUGUCAAUCCCUUCAUGAUUACUUGCAAAAGUGAGAUCUGAUAGAGAUAGAUAAACGAUAAAGUAAACAUUUUUGGUAUUUUUGGUUUAUAGAUCGGAAAGUAAAAGAUUGCAAAAAGAGUAGAUCGGAAACUAAUAUUGUAGAUCGGAAACUCAUAUGAUGGAAAAUAGACCCGGGGGCCAUUGUUUCACUAGGAGCUUCUCUCAAGAUACCAAAUAAUAUGGUGGCUGAACAAAUUACUGCCGAGCAAUUGAUAGAAAAGCGCAAAGUUAUGACGAUAUCUAAGGCAAUGAUCAUGAAUAUAGGCAUCACGUCCGUGUCAAGUAGACCCAAACGAUUCUGCAUCUACUACUAUUACUCCACACAUCGACCGCUAUCCAGCAUGCACCCAGAGUAUUAAGUUCAUAAAGAACGGAGUAACGCAUUAAGUAAGAUGACAUGAAGUAGAGGAAUUAACUCAAGCAAUAUGGUGAAAAACCCAUCUUUUUAUCCUCGAUGGCAACAAUACAAUACAUGCCUUGCUGCCCCUACUGUCACUGGGAAAGGACACCGUAAGAUGGAACCCAAAUCUAAGCACUUAUCCCGUUGCAAGAAAAAACAAUCUAGUUGGCCAAACCAAACCGAUAGUUCGAAGAGAAUUACAAAGAUAUCAAAUAAUGCAUAAAAGAAUUCACAGAAGAUUCAAAUAAUAUUCAUAGAUAAGCUGAUCAUAAAUCCAAAAUUCGUCCGAUCUCGGCAAACACACCGCUAGGGCUGGACGAAAAGCUCGAAGCUCGCGAGCAUAAUGAACGCUCGAUAGUUUGGCUCAUUUUGGCUCGUGCUCGUUAGUUAAUGAACCAAGCCGAACAAUGUUUUUUGCUCGUUAAGAUUAACGAGCUUAACGAGCGAGGAAAUGAGUUUCAUGAGCUAACUUGUUUAGCUCGCUAAUUUCAAAAGUUUGACAUGAGACCAGUUCAAAUCGGCCCACUAAGAAAAGAGUUGCUAGUUAGCCCAACCUAGGGCCCAGCACCCUAGCCCACUUCGGCACUUCUCCUAGACCCCAGCAGACCUAGAGUCAACCAGGAGCCAGUCGCCAGGAACCAAACGUCUUUGUUAAAUUUAUGUCGUUGUGAAUGUUUGAUGGGAUUAUGGGAUUCUUCUGUGUUGUUUAUUACGUUUACGUCCUUUUUAAUUUAUUCCAUUGUGAAUCUUCUAUGCGAUCAUGGGAUUCUUCAAUGUUGUUUAUUACCUUAACGAGCACUCGUGAACACUCACGAGCAUAACGAGCCCAUAAAAAACCGAGCUGAACAAACGUUUUCGCUCGUUAAUAUUAACGAGCUUAAUGAUGACGAGUUUAACGAUAAUGACCUUAAUGAUAACAAGCCGAACGAGCCGAGCAGCUCAUUAAUCCAGCCCUACACACCACAAAAGAAUAUUACAUCGAAUAGAUCUCCAAGAACAUCGAGGAGAACAUGGUAUUGAGAAUCAAAGAGAGAGAAGAAUCCAUCUAGCUACUAGCUAUGGACCCGUAGGUCUGGGGUAAACUACUCACGCUUCAUCAGAAGGGCAAUAGGGUUGAUGUAGAAGCCCUCCGUGAUCGAAUCCCCCUCCGGCAGGUUGCUAGAAAAGGUCCCUAGAUGGGAUCUCAUGGGUAUAGAAGGUUGCGGUGGUGGAAAAGUGUUUUCGUGGAUGCCUCUGGUGGUUUGGGGAUAUAUGGGAAUAUAUAGGCGAAAGAAUUAGGUCAGCAGGUGCACGAGGGGCCCACAAGGGUGGGGGAGCGCCCUACCCCACUGGGCACGCCCUCCGUCCUUUUGGCUGCCUCAUGGCUCCUCCGACUUCACCUCCAAGUCUCCUGGUUGUCUUCUGGUCCAAGAAAAAUCAUCACGAAGGUUUUAUUCCAUUUGGACUCCGUUUGGUAUGCCUUUUCUGCAAAACUCAAAAACAGGGAAAAAACAGGAACUGGCUCUAGGUUAAUAGGUUAGUCCCAAAAAUAAUAUAAAAUAGCAUUUUAAUGCAUAUAAAACAUCCAAAACAGAUAAUAUAAUAGCACGGAGCAAUAAAAAAUUAUAGAUAUGUUGGAGACGUAUCAGUGAUUUGUUUGAAGGACUAGAUAGAACAAUUGGCAUCUCAGGAACUAUGCUCAAGGAUAAGAUGAUAAACAUUCACUCGCAUCCUAGAAUCCUUGAAACCCUUAAGCCCUAUCAAGCCACAACAUGGCCGGAUCAUGACCAAGGGCCUUGACUCUAGGUUGAGAAGACCUUGGCCAAUACUCAACCGUGACCACCGCCAAUGCCUCAGUCCACUUUAUGUACCCCAUGGGCAAGUCAUCAUGGAUUACUUGGACAAGUUGGGUGUUAUCAUUAUUUGGUGACCUACUUGUCUACCCGAAGAUCAAAGAAGAGCCAUUCAGCUGGUUAGAGAACUUUUGAAGACCAUCGUGUCAAGGAGGAAGAACUAUACCAACUACCAUCGUCAAGAAAAAAAAACUUCCGUGUGGAAGACCAUGUGUAUCCGCGAGCCACUCCACUCAAAGGAACCAAGCAUUUCCAUGUCAAAGGAAAGCUCACACCAAGCCUUCUCGACCCCCUUCGAGAUCCCUAUGAGACGAAGAGAAGAAAGUUACCAGCUGGAGUUGCCACCUGAGUCACCCGAUGUGCACAACAUUUUCCAUGCGACACAACUCCGGAAGUGUUUCCAACUUCCUAACAAGCCCGAUCUCUACAAGGACAUUGAUCACCGAGCCAUCGACCUCCAGCCCGACCUGACCUUCAUGAGAGACCCAUUUGCAACCUGGAUCAAGUGGAAUGUUACACAUGAAGCUGCACCACCAAGUACUUCAAGGUUCAGUGGAGCAACCACGCCGAGGAAGGAGCCACAUAGGAGCAUGAAGACUGCCCCAGAUCCAAGUUUCCAUAAUUCAUUUCUGUGCCUAGUAUGGGAAUCUCGGGGACGAGAUUCUUGUAAGGGGAGUAGGUUUGUCACACCCUGAUUUUCAUGCCACAACACUUAAGCUAAUAAAUCAUGAAAAAAAUGAGGUUUGACAAAAACUUUCGAGUGUUAUGGACCUUGCUUGAUUUGGAUUUUUGGUUGUUGUUUCCAAGUGCUCUAAAAAUAACAAAUCCUCCAACUCUCAAACUCCUUCUCCUUGAUCCAAAACUUUGCCCAAUGAUCAUGCCAUGUGUAUAGGUCAGAAUAGUAUUUUCUUACAAAAAUAAUUUGGCCAAAAAGUAUUUUCUAAAUUAGGUUUUCCAAAAAACCCCUGAGUUAAGGCUUGAACUACAAGUACUUAAUUUGGGAUGUGAAAAGUCUUUCAAAAAUUAUAUUUGAAUCCUAUUAGAUAUAGGACUCCCUAAAACCACAAAAAUAUUAUUUUAAAAGUUAUUUUGCUAUUUAAUUUAAAGGCUUUUUCUUUAGGACAAAAAUGGUCUUUAAUAGGUUAAAAUUAUUUCAAUGUUUCAAAAAUAUUUGAGAAAAUUUAGGGAAUCUUAGUGGACAUAUAUUGUCCAUAUAUAUGAGUUUCAACACAUAUCAUGACCAAAAUAUUGGACAAAACCCUCCAAAACUAUUUAUGCAUAAUUCAAGUAUUUGAAAUAUUUGUUAAAGAAAUAUUGUCAAAUAAAUCAAGGAAAAUUCUAGCAAGUCACCCCUAGCUAAAGUGAUGAUCUUGCAAAGUUUCGUUCCAAUCAAAAUAUUUUUGGUUCACAAAAGUGCCCCAAAACCCUCUCUGUCCAAAACCAAAUUUGAGCAACUCCACAUUACCAACUGUAUCCUUUUGAUCCCAAAUCUUGUGGACAUGCUAAAAUCCCUAAAUGAUGACACUACACCAAGUGGUGCAUCAAGGAGAAUAGAUUUGCAUAGCUAGAUAUAGGAAAACCUAUUUCUGUUGAUUUCUAGGGUUUGGAAACUUUCUUCAAAUGAGCUCAAAAAUUUACCACAUUGACACAUGAGCAUGACCAUCACCUCUAUCAAGUGUCACAGGAAGGAGCUUACUGCAACUAGCCCAAAUCACCAUCAAACACCUUCUGCCAUUUUUCCAAAAUCACCGUUUUGACCACUUACACUAUUCUCCUUGAGCUCAACUUUUUACCAGAGUUUCUCCUAGUCACCCUCUACCUCCAGUAACUCCCUCCCAACCAGAGCAUCAUGAUUGAUUGGUAAAGCCCUCUCUUUCUCUCUCUGUUCACCAUGGCUUCACUCUCUCUCUCUCUCUCCCAUUUCUUUAUCUAGCGCCUCCCCUAGCUCUUGACCACACUAGACCAUCCAAAGGAGCCCUAGGAUAUAAGUGGACAAGCCCCUGACCUUUAAAAAUGGCCAUGACGGCCAUUGGCAUGCUAUGGAGUGCGCUACAGUGCACUAGGGCACUGUAGCGCCCCCCCUGCCCGACGCCCCUGACCACCUCGGCUCUCCCCCGCGCGCCUCCCGAGGCCCCUCGGUGUCCUCAACACGCCAGCGUGCCAUCCCCCUCCUUCCUCUCUUCCCAUUCCCCUACUCACGCGUGCCCGAGCACCGCCCAGCUCCGCCAAUGCGCGCCCGCGCUCGGGACCCAUAGGAGCUCGCUUUGCUCCCUCUGUCCUUCUCCCUCGACUUGGACCUCGUCCACAAGCACCCCAGGCAUGCCCAGAGCGCCCGUAUGGCAUAUGCCGACGCCCCGGGCCGUGGCCAUGAGCUCUGCCUACGGUGCACCCGGCCUCGCCAUAUAAGGCUGCCCUAGGCCUCCCUCUGGAGCUCCUUCGCUCUCUCUCCCUCCCGUACACCGCCCAGACCCAGCUAACCCUCUUCCCGUGCUCUCCAUCCACCACAAUGGCGGGAGUGCCGCCGUCAUCUCCGCCAAAAUUUGAGCUAGCCCAAGCUCCCCAUCUCCCCCUAGCCACUCCAAUACCCUCACACCACCACCACAAGCACUUCCCUCGCCGCCGUUCAUCCCCGAGAAUAUUGUGCGCUCGAAGCCAAAGAAGGCCGACGGCCUCUUCCGUGGUCGUCCAAGCCGUCGCCGCUACGGCCCUCCCCGGUGAGCGAGCCGUACACCGAUGGGAGGGGCGUCACAGGAGACGCUCUGUAGCCCCGAUAAUCAUCAUGGGGAGCCGCUCCUCCCCGCAGACAGAGUGCGCGGGAGGUUGAAGACGGCCUGCCGCUGGGCCCCGCACGUCAGCGACCUAGUGGGCGGGCCCGUAUGUUUAAGUGGAGACGACUUCGGCAGGGUUCACUUCCCUCACGCGAAGACGCACUGCUGGGAAGCCGCCUUCGUCGUCUCCUCAUUCGCGCGGCUGAGCCAUUGGGAUGGCCCAACGGCUAUCCUGCGCUCUGUGCACGCUUUUGGUAAAACAUAAAUGCUUUUGUUUUUCUUUUCAGAGAUAUUGUAAAAUCCAUAAACAAUUCAAAUGGACUCCAAAUUUGAUGAUUGAAAUUUCUAGUAGUUCAUAAAUUCAUUCUCUAUCACAUGGUGCAAUUUGCACAUUUUUCCAGAAAGUUUUUCUUCACAAAUAUUUAUCAAAUCCCAUUUUUUCCAUUUCUGUGAUGAACUUUAGAAAAUUCACAGAAUGCCCAUUUUUGAUCCAAAUUCCGUGAUUCAAAUUCCUAGAUACUUAUAUGUUCAUAACUUAGUUUUUGAACAUUUUCCCAAUACUUUCUAUGCCACAUCAAAUAUUGGUCCAUUUCUCCAUGUAUAGCCAAAUUUGCAAAUUCCUAGGAAAUUCAUUUUAACUCCAAAUCUAGUGAAACCAACUCCUAAGUGCUUCUAAAAUCAUUCCUUGUUAAAUGGGUGCCUUUUUCUCAUUAAAAAAAUAAUGUUUCUGUACACUUCUUGCAAAUCCAUAAACCCCUUGUUUCCAUUAUAUUGAAAUGUGCAGAAAUAUCCAUGGAUCCAAUUCCAAUGAAACCACUUUGGUCAUUUUUCACAUGACCAGAGGUAUCCUAGAAAAGUCCAACUCACAUUUUUAGAGCACUUUUAUUUUUGCCUUGUUGUGUUGCUUAUUGUGUUUGUUUACGACGAUAGUUGACGAAGUAGAUGGAAUGCUUGGAGAUGGACCAGAAGCAUUGAAGACCUUGUGAAGCCAGGCAAGCAGCCCCUUGACCAUGUCUAUGAAACCCCUUUUAUGCAUGCCAUCUAGCACUUUAUUAUUGCAUCAGAAUCAUGAUGAGAUGGUAACCACUUUUGUGGGUUGCCUUUGUUACUCCCUUGUUGAUACUUGCAUUAUGCAUGACCCUACCUUCCUAUGAGGGUUAUGCGGGCUGGAGUAGAUAGGAUGCUAAAGUAAUUUCUGCGCAAAAAGGGACGGGUGUAUGCAUGGUAUGGAGACAAAAAUAUUUUUUUAAAUAUUUUUUGAAAACCCCAUCGGGUGCCACAAAUGCCCGAGGGAGAUGUUGAGCUAAGUAACCACUUGAUGAGGAAGUGGUGUACCGGGGCAAGUGAGUGUGUUGUUUUCCAAAAUGGAUUGGUUUAAGUUGAGACCGUUACUCCAACCUUACAUGUACAACCACUCUACCCCUUAUGGGACGGGGCGUUAUUGAUUACCUAGUCCGAUACUAGCAUGGUGCCCACAUUACUAGUGACGGCGGUGACGUGAGAUCACCCUCAGGACGGGGUCAUGCUUGGAUAGGCGGCCAUGACUGUUUUUACAGGGCACCAGACACGCAGUUGGUCCCUAUGUGUAGAUGUGACAAAAAAAGUGCAAAGUCCCAAGGUCUUUGUGAUUAUACACGAGGGCUGUGUACCAAUGAGUGGACUCUGUGUUAGUGUCUCCUAGGGAAAGAUAGUGAUCGGUUGCUUACCCUGGGUACUUGAAGUACCGCGGGUCGUGGAUGAUAUGUAAGCUUCCCGGAUUCUUGUGGGUAAAGUGGACAACCUCUGCAGAGUGUAAAACUAUUUAAAUAGCUGUGUCCACAGUCAAGGACAGUUGGAUAAGUGCUCUUGGGCUACGUCCAAUGUUUACGAAACCUGGUGUGUGUGUGUGUGUGUGUGUGUGUGGGUGUGGAGAGAACUCCUUGUGUCCAGUCAAAUGACUUGACUUGUUGAUUAAGCCGGAGAUGAUCCAAACUCUGUUUAUGUUGAUAUCUGUAACCUGUUCACAUGGUUACCAAAAAUUCCUAUGAUGCAUGCUUUACAAGAUGUUGGAUGCACUCAACUAGAUUUCUGCAAAGUUACCUACUUAGUGAUAUAUCAUGCAUUGUUACCUUGAUCCAAAACAUGGGUUGCUUGCGAGUACAUUCAAAUUACUCAUUGGCUUGCCACUAGUUAUUUAAUUGGCCAUGCAUGGAAGAGCAGGAGUUCGAAGAAGAAUUCUUUGGAGACGAACAUGCGAACUAGGACGCUUUCCCAAACAGAAUGCCUGUAGGGUUAAAGCAGAUGGCAUGUGUUCUACUUAUCGACGAAGAUUUACGCUGCUUGUGUUUUAUCUGAUGUUCAACCAUUAAGGCUUUAUCUAUGUAAGACUUGACCAUAAUGUCAUAACUUGUGUAAGACGGUAUGUUUGGAUGUAAGGCUCUUGUUAUUUAGCUUUUGUGUGUUCAGUGAGCAUUGAUCUCUCGGAUCACUGUACAUGUGCAUUCGGUGAUCACGACUUAUGAGUCAGGGUCCCCACACACAUACACCCGGACCUACUGACGUACACUUGACAGAGCCAUUUCCUAAACCCUAGAAACUCGGUCUCACCGAGAUGGCCUUCGGUCCCACCGAAGUGCACUGGCUAACUUUCUGUAACCCAUUGACUUCAUUUCAGAAUUAAGUGAAACCAAUCAGAAUUACCGAAAUGCUGAUUGUGCUUAGGACCUUUCAAAUCGGUCCCACCAAGUGCAUUCAUCUAGUCUCAUAGAAAUGUCUAAAGUUCAAAUCUUUUUCCCUAAUUGGUCUCACCAUGUUUUUCUCCUGGUCCCUCUGAGUUGUGCAUAAAGGCAUGUAGCGGUUAGACUUUUGGUGAAGGCUAUAUAUACCCCACCCACACCACCUACUCACAGUGAGAGCAACUAGGACGAAGCCACCACUUCCCAUAUCCAUUUUCCGAGAGAGAACUACCUACACUUGUGUUGAAAUCAAGGGAUUCCACUCCAACCAUUUGAUCCUUGAUUUCUAGCCCCCUCAAGUUGCUUUCCAUUCCAAUCAUUCCCCUACUACCAUGCCAAAUCUGUGAGAGAGUGAUUGAGUGUUGAGGCACUAUAUUUUAAAGCACAAGAGCAAGGAGUUCAUCAUCAUCAACAACAUCUAUCACCUUUUGGAGAGUGGUGUCUCGUAAAUUGGUUAGCCGUUACUUGGGAGCCUCCAAAUCAUGUGGAGUUGAACCAAGAGUUUUAUCUCUCACAUAUUGUGCUUGAUGUGAAUUACUGUAUCAUGAUUUUUGAAUGCCUUGUAAACCAGUGGUCUAGAGAAUGCUUGCUUUGCUGAAAGAAGUGAAAGGUAUUAGUUUUGAGUGAUCAAAUCCCUAGUGCACUAGUAAACUCCACCAUUUUCUGCUAUUACCUUGAUACACCUCGAACACUAUAUUUAGAUGCUGAAUUUGUGCCAAGUGUGUUCCCAUUCAGAGCAAUCACUUAACCACUAUGGAUUAGCAUGCUAUGUUCUCUGGAUUGGUAGCAUGUGAAAUAAACCUGGAUGAGUGUAGAUUCUUGUUUCCCUUUUGUAUUCCUUUGUUCAAUAAGUAAUAAUGAAUAAAUAAGUCUGACUAACUAUAGUAGAAUGUCAUGUUCCCUGGACCGGUGGCAUGUGAAAUCUGGUUAGAUUGGACAAUAAUUAAUCUUAAGAUGCAAUUGUCGAACGAGGUGUAUACCAUGUUCUCUGGACCGAUGGUAUGUUCCUUUGGGGAGACAAACAAAAAUGAUCUAUAAUUAGUCGAGCCGGGUGUAUACCAUGUUCCCUCAAUCGGUGGUAUAUUCCUAUGUGAGACUAAUAUAAUAAUAUCAACAUUUCUUUUAAAUUCCAUAAGUGGAUGAACCACAAUGCUGUGUUCCUGGUAAUAAGUGAUUUUAUCAUUAGUUCUUAUUCAAGUUGUUGUCAGUUUCAAGGAUAAUCCUGUCUUUAGGAUCUUUUUGGCUCAAUCAACAUUUGAACUGGUUGAUCUUCUUUCAUCACUGUGACAGUUUAGAUGAUAGAGUAAACUAGUAUUCUAUUGCUUUGUAGCACUCCUAACAAUUAAUUUUCACUAGCUAAGUCCGAAGCAUGCAUUCUCUAUUCAGCUCACUAUUCACUAUCUCGCUCUUGUGAUAUUCCUUUACUUGAGGACAAGUAAAGAUUUAAGUGUUGGGGAACUUGAUAAACACAUUUCCUAUUCAUAUUUUGGCACACAAAUAUAGCAUUUAUUAUGAUCUGACCAUCAUUUCUUGCUAUGAAGUAUUGCAUAUUUGAAUAAAAACCAUAUAAAGGGAUCAGUUACUUGUGACUUGUUCCUUUUGCAGAAAAGUGUGCAAAGGCACUAUAAUUGUCAAGAUUUCGACUAUGUGGCUAAGGAGAAGAGAGAAGGGCAUGAAAGAAAUACAUCAAGAACUUGAGCGAGAAGAAAAGAAGUAACCAGGGGAAAGCUAAAGAAGAAAAGGGACCUUCUUGUGAAGAUAGAAGAAAAGGAAAAGGGCCAAAGAGCAAUAGUGGCAGAUCAGGGAGGGAAUCAAAAUCCCUAGCCGCCUCCAUUCCCAAGUCAGGCUUGCACUACAGGAAUCUAGCAGACGGCAAAGGACUAGAAAGCUGAAGGCAAACAUGCUCCACACAGUAAGUAACGGUAAACAGCUGAUUUGCCAUCUGCUUUUUGCCAGCGUACGGCAAAGGCCCCUUUGCCGUCGGUGACAGACGACAAAGAGGGUGGACGACAAACAACUGACGUUAGCCACGUUAGGUGGCUAACGGGAGGCUUUGCCUUCUGCCAGCCUACGGCAAACAUGCCCUCCCUUUUACCGUCUGCUAUUUGACGUCAGAAGACGCGUCAUGCCCUCCCCGUUCUUUGCCGUCUGCCACAGACGACAAACACCCUAGCCUUUGCUGUCUACCACAGAUGGCAAACCGCCCCAGGCUUUGCUGUCUGCCACAGACGGCAAAGCGACCAAAUGGGUCAGCUCCCAGGUUGCACAUGUUGCUGCCACGUGGCCUCUUUGCCGUCUGCGGCAGAUGGCAAAGAGCCCUUUGCCGUCGGUGGCAGACGGCAAAGAGCCUGCAUUGCCUCUUUUUUUCUUGUUUUUUUUUUCUAAUAUCCAAGCAUUUUCACAACCAAAUAUAUGAUAUAUAUAUAUAUAUUUCACAGGGCAAUUUCACAGCAAACAUAUGAGAUAUCCAACACAUAUAAGUUCAAUCAUACAUGCAUAGUUCCAUCCAACCAUACAUAGCAAGUUCCACAUACAUGCAUCCAACCAUAAAUAUUACAAUAGUUUCAUCCAACCAUACAUGCAUAGUUCAUACAGAAAGGGAAAACAAGCACUCCAUCAAUGCAAGCUUCAGUGAUGUGAAUGAAAUCUGCAAAAUGGGCAAUAAGAAAGUUAGAAGAAGAAGACUAGAAGAAGAAGAAGAAGAAGUAUAUGACAUUUGCGAGCUAACUUAGUUAAAAAUGACAUUUAUGAACUAACUUAGGUAAAAACGGAUCAUUUAUGAGCUAACUUAGGUAAAAUGGAUCAUUUGUGAGCUAACUUAGGUAAAAUGGAUCAUUUAUGAGCUAACUUAGGUAAAAUGGAUAAUUUUGGAGCUAACAUGGGUACAAUGGAUCAUUUUGGAGCUAAGUUAGGUAAAAUGGAUCAUUUUGGAGCUAAGUUAGGUAAAAUGGAUCAUUUUGGAGCUAACCUAGGUAAAAUGGAUAAUUUUGGAGCUAACCUAGGUAAAAUGGAUCGUUUUGGAGCUAACUUAGGUAAAUGGAUCAUUUUGGAGCUAACAUAGGUAAUCAUGCCAUUUUUGACGUAAGUAAGCUAACUAUAUGACAUUUAGGAGCAAUCGGUUAUCAUGCCAUUUAUGAGCUAAGUAAGCUACUUAUAUCAUAAAUAAACUAAAUAAGCUAAGUAUAGGUCAUUAUUGAGCUAACCUAGGUAAUUAUGCCAUUUUUGAGUUAACUAAGCAUAUUAUGCCAUUUUUGACAUAAGUAAGCUAAGUAUAGGUCAUUAUUGAGCUAACCUAGGUAACUAAGAAUAUUAGAGCUAACUUAUGUCAUUUUGGAGCGAACUUAGGUAAAAUGGAUCACUUUGGAGCUAAGUAAGGUUAUUAUGUCAUCUUGGAGGAAAAUAAGCUAAGUCUAGGUCAUUAUGCAUUUGUUAAGCAAAACACUAGAGAAAACUUACCUUCAUCACGGAGGUGAAGCACCGAGGUUGCUCGUGCCGGUACCACCUAGAGAAGGAUCGUGCGAUGCUUGUCUGGAGUUAUGCUGCACCAAAGAUCAUUUGCAAUGACUCGUUAGCAUGAUGACACUCAAAUGUUAAGACUAGUAACUAAUGACCAUUCAAAUGAAACUCAUCAUGGUCCCCGGAGCAAUGAAUAGCGUCGGCGGAGGGGUCUAACCGGUCUUCUCGCACACAAACUGCACAUUUGGUUUGACAAGUUAGUCAUACUAGUUAGUAAUGAAAGAACAUUACGUGCAUGAUUUGGCUAAUAUGCAGAAGAAACUUACCACGAGGAGCUCAUACAUGGCCCGGUUCUGCAUGUCAUUCCGUGCCCUCUCCUCCUCCAACAUCCUAGCAGUCCUCUCCUCCAACUCCCGCUCCUUCUCAACUGCCUGCCGGUCCCUCUCCGCCAAAAGCGCAUGGGUUCUAUCUCUCUCUCUCUCUGAAGAGCAGCCUCCAAUACCACUCCUCGUUAGCAUUGUAAUCAUCAAUGCAUGGCCGCACACACAAUGUAAUGGAGGAAAGAUAGUUGAGUCCAUAAAAGUAACCUCGAAGGCGAGCUUGACUGGCUGUUGACGAGGCCUUGUCUCAGGAGCGGAGCUUGACCGGCGCGCCUUGAUCUCUGGGAGAGUUCUAGGACAACGGAUAACUCGAUCUCCAAUGGCUAUCAAGCCAUGGGACCUCCCGGCACUAGAUAACAUCACCAGCUCCGGAUCAAACUGCUCAGGUUAAAGUCCUCCCCUGUCGUCGCCUUCCCCACAUCUCUGUACCUCACGAGCUUGUUGUGGGAGGAGAUGUUGGUGAAGUUCUCUGGAUGAUCAAGGUCAGACUCAGAGAAUGCCUUGACCUUCUUAUACGAGGCAGUAUGGGUCAUGGCAUAGAGGUCGUAUACCUCUGGCACCUCUGCCUUAUUGUGUCGCGCCUGGAAGAGAGGAACAUAGUAAAUUAGUAAUUAAAUGGCUGAAGCUAGCAUGAAAAAUGAAUUGCAUGAAUCAUGAAGCAAACCACAUACCCAGUUCCGCCCGAACUGAUAUAAGUUGGCUCUGCCUUGAUGGUGUGGCACACCUUCCAUUUGGGCACGCCGGUUCUUGGCAUUGUCGUGGAGGUCUAGCCAUUGGGUCUGAGCACCACUCAUCCACCAACACAUCGCAACAAUCCAUCUGAUCCACACACCAUCUCGGGGGCACCUAAGUUAGUAAAGAGAAACUUGAGCGCUACGCCUAUGAAUAAGAACAAGGCCUUAAGAAUAGGUAAUUACCAUCAUCUACUGCUCCUUCUUCAGAAACUUAUUGCGGCACGCCGGCUUAGUCUUCUUAAUACCACGCGAGGCGUAGUAGUCUCGAACAGCCUGCACCCGAGCCUUGUGCCGUAAGUUUUGUAGUAGGCGCUUGCACUCGGCAUCGAUAACCUGUGCCGCGGCCUCCUCGUAUCCCUCCUCACACUUGUAGAAGGUCUGCAAUCAAACGAGACAACAUUGAUUAGUACAAUAACUAGCUAUUUGAAGAUUUGUAAUUGUGUAAAGGAGAAAUUACCCAAAACUUUCUGAUCACCACGUCUGCCCUCGUGUGGCACAAGACACCUUCGAUCAUCUCCUCCGGCGGGGCCGGGGCAGCCAAGUAGUUCUCCCAGCUCAAUCCUAGCUGUGGAAGCUAACCCUCAUCAGGCAACAUGCCAAACCCUGGGAAGUUUUGCUGGAAAAUCACACCAAGGACAGUGUUUGGCCCGCGGACAUCCGGUGCGUGGUCCCAACCCCUGCAGUAUGACAAGGCCAACACAUUAGAUAUUUGAAGAAACGUGAAGGCAAAAUUUACAAAAAGAGUAAAUGCACUUACCUCUCCCCAUCAGGGAAAAUUAACCACCUCUGCGCGCGAGUCACCGGCAUGGGCGGGAGCCGUGUACAACCACGCUGGUAGACGGUGGCCCCCUCAACCAUCUCGUCCUCGCUAUGAGCCGGAUCCCCGCCACCAUCAGCAUGGCCACUCGGCCCCUUAGGCAGAUCUGACCAGGUACCGCAUCCGAACGUCUCCCAGACGUACCCUGGUCCGAAGUCUCGUGGGCCGAAGGCCCGUCGUCCCGAGGCUCGUGUACCGUUGUCCGCGUAGCCUCCUCCUCAGACGUGUCCACCCUACCAGUCCGGUGCUCGGGUGAAUCAGCUAGGGGUGGCGGAGAGGAAGGCGUAGGAGCGUGCCUACCUCUCCCACGGCCACCUCCUCCCUGACCUCCUCCCUUCUUCCCUCCCCGACCUCCUCUCCCGGUGGGCAACAACGCUGACGAAGGAGCGCCCACCGGUGUCUUCAUACUGUCGGCUAACGCUCUCUAGAGAGACUGGGGUGGAAUGGAAGUUCCCCUCCCACCACGCGCCAAUGAAGAAGGAGCCUCGGAGCGGUCCGGACCCGCGCCCACCAUCUUUCAACACUUGCGAUGACAAAGAGUAAACGAAAUUAGUACAACAUAAAAAAAAUUAAUACCGACAUGAAUAAUAAUAUGUAUAUAACUUAAGUGUAUCAUCAUCAAGUACAACAUAAAAAAUUUGAAUACCUAACAUGAACUAACAAUAUAUAUAUGUAUAUAAUACAAAUUGAAUACCUGACAUGAACUAAUAAUAAUCUUGAUCGUCUAUAUAUGCUUCCCGAUCAAUAAAUGCAUCAUCAUCAUCACUUUAAUGAAUGACGUGCUUGUCGGGUUCAACGGCAUCAACAUGUGGAAGGCCACCUUUAUGUAAUCAAUCAAGCAUUGAUAGGUCAUCUGCAACAGUAACCUCUUCUUGUUCUGGCUCUUCUUGUUCCGGCUCAGGGGUGAAGUCGGAUUCACUAUCGCUGUCUACUUCAAUGUUCUGGGGUGAAGUAGAGCGUUUCUUGAAACGUUUUUUUGGAAAGACGUGUUUCUUGGAAGAAUUCACCUUCAUAUGUGUCUGGGUUAAUGUGAGGUUCAUAAUCCCCUUCAUUGGGGGGAGGUGGUCUAACACGUGGCGGCACUUCAUAAAUGACAUCCCAGCCAUUCAGAUUUGGAUCAUGUCGCGGGAUAUCCGCAGCCACCUAUGGGCCCCGGUGGCCCCUUGCUUGUUCGGCGGGGGAACGUUGCAUUGCACAAAGAGCAGAACAGUGCAUGACAGCACGACAGAGAGCACACACGCAAUUUACACAGGUUCGGGCUGCCGCGAGGCGUAAGACCCUACUCCUGCUUUGGCGGAUUGAUGGUGGAAUGAGUGUGGUGGUGUGUAGUACACUUGCCCGGCAAGGUUUGCCUCAGGGCCGCAGCGACUACGCGCAUAUGGUGGCUUGGGUUUGUCAACUUUCCAACCCUCUAACCCUUCCUACGAGCGGGCCUUCUUUUACAGAUUAAAUGGUCACCACAGUGGCAAAGUUGUCAUUAUCCACUGAUAUGAUAGCAAACAGUGCUAUCAUACCUAACUCUGCGGGUUGAUAGGGUGCAUUUAAUGCGCUGCUUAGUGUCACAUCACUCGUUGCCCGGCAAGGCCUACCGGGCUGUCUUGCCAGCUCUGCGCCUGUUCUCUUGACACGUUGCAGGACGGGUGUCAUCUGUGGGUUUCUUCUGUAGGAAAUGGCUGCAAUGUGGCAAAUGGUUGCCACUUAGUCAUCUUGCGGCUUGACACCGCACUGAUCGACGACAUAAGUUGUGGUUGAGUGGUUGGUGGGGUGGUUCCUCCCCCAUGAGCCCCGGCAGGCUCUGUCGGGGAGCCUUGAUUGCUUGCUUCUGGUGGUGGCCUCGCCCCUUGCCGGGCUCGCCUGCCCGGCAAGGGAGGCCCUUCUCUUGCGGAUGUCUUGCUUCUCUGGCUCGGCCUUGGUCUCUUUGAGCUACAUGUUGGUUCUUCCUAUCCCUUGGUUCUUAAAUCUCUGGCUUGAGCUGAUGCUUCAAUCUUGAUCUUGUGCCUGUGCACAGUUGGGCAACAGCCCAGGGUUUGUUGUACCAACAGAAGCCCCCGGGCCUGCCCCGAACGCGCUACUGAGCAUCGUCGGGGUAGGGCCUAAUAAGUGCACACACAAAAUCGCUGAAGGGGUGCCCCCUUGAGGUUUACAUUGCUGCUUCAUCAGUCAUGAUUUCGGGGCGGUUUUGGAUUUCCCCGCGCGUGGUGCGUGGCGUCGUGGAAGACCUUAGAUCGUGGCCUGCGGGUUCUCCUCGCCCCACGAUCUCAGGGUGAAAACUGCCAACCCACUCACCCCCCGUUCCGCAUGCACCUCGCCACGUGCUCUGCAUGCAUUGGGCGUGGUAGGUGGCGGAUGCGGAGGAUACGGGAAGGAGUGCUAUAGCUGAAACCCGAGCAUUGAUGGUUGGGGCAGAGGGGCGGCCUCGGCCCUCAGAGUCACGGUGGGUGUAGAGAGGCCGUAUUGGAGGAGAGGGGCAGCCGUUUCCCAUAGGAGGGGCAAACCCUUGCCUCGUUUCCCAAUAAAAAGGGGCCAGGGGCGGUGUUCUCUAGCACACACUUCUCCUCCUCUUCUGUGAUCCUUCUUAUCUGGCCAUGGUGUGAGGGCGAGGGCGUGGUGGAGCUCCGGUGGUGGCGACGAGGGCUUCUUCUCGACAACGCGUCCCUCCUCCCCUGGACCCUGAGGCAGAGGAAUCGUCCACGAGAAGGGGAGGAAGGGGCGUGUCAUGGUCGCCGCGGUGCCCGAGGAGGAAGACGGGGUGGUGCCCUGGUGGCCCCUUCGUCGGCGGCGGCACCCCCGAUGGAAGGCCAUGUCGGGGACCAACCUUGGGAGUACAUCAUCAUACUGUACAAGCCUUUGCGCAGUCGCCUUCGUCUUCCGACCUUCUUCGCAUGGGAGAUGGAGCUCGAGCAACCGCGCACCCUAAGGCUAUACAUGAGGGGUUAUGGGGAUGGAAGCAUGAGGGUCGAUGUCGACUUCCCCGCCCCUCAUGUGAUGUACCUUCGUCGCGGUUGGAAGACCUUUACCCGUGCCCACAACUUUUUGGAGGGGCACAUUCUCCAUUUCAAAUUAAUGGUGAGUGGCCUACUCUUUGUCAAGAUGUACGGGCGCUCCGGAGGCCGCUUAGGGUGCUGCGUGGAGAGCUCGACCGACGAUGAAAGCUCCUCCUCGAGUGAAAGCGACGAGGAGGACAGUGAUGGCGAUGACGACGUCAGCGGGUGGAGGGGCGACGACUCUGACUCUGGUUGAUCAUCGCCCGCACCAUCUUCAUCAGGUGGCAGCACCAUCAUCUGCAUCUACAUCUCCUCCCCGGCAAUGAGAUUUGCCGGGGAGUUGGAUGCAGAGGUGUGGAUGGUGCUGCCGGGCUCCUCCAGUAGCCUUCCAGCUGGACCCCGGCAGGCUUCCGCUCGGGCUGCAACUCCGUUAGCCCUGCUGAGUCCUGCUGGCCUUGGUGACGGUGGUUGACGGGGCCGCGUUCCGCCGUGCUCUCCAUCGAGGCGUUCCCUCGUGCUUCCGCUUCCCUCGGGCUACCUCUCCUGGAGCCCGAUGAGAGCAGUCUGGACCUUCGCCCAGGUGCUCCUUUUGCCCUCCUCGCCUUCGACUACUGCACGUAGGAGGAGAGGGACAAGAAAGGGCAUCACGGAGCACUUAUCUUUUUUCAAUCUUAAAUCUGCGGGCAAUCACCAAAUUUUAAUUCAAAUAAUGUAAUCCCUCGAGUCCAUCUUUGUGUUCUGUAAUGCUUGUACUUGUAUUAGCAUAUGAAUGAAAAACAUGAACCUUGCAGAGGUGGAGUGCCUCUUUACUGUAAAUAAACGAGUUUCCCCAGCAGGAUAUCCUGCCGACACCCUCUUUUGUCUGCCGGAGAGCUCCGUCUGUCGGGGAACAGACAGAGGGGCCAGGCCCCCGCCAACUCCUUUUUACCAAAGGCUACAGCGACCAUCCGCACUGAAGCAACGUUCAAGUCGUGGAUGGGAGCACCUAAGUUUCAAAAAGAGAGGCAAGGUUUCCUCAUGCAAAGUUAUAGCUUUACAGAACACUAAUGGACAGGAGGUAAACUUAUCUGUUUGGUUUUGCCGGGAAUCGCAGUGUUGUGCAAUAUUCUCGUCCUUCGUCGAAGUCAAGUUCACGACAGGAACCUGAAACUCCAUGUAGAUGAGAAUGAAUGCAGGAUGCAAUCCUAUCUAUAUGCAUAUGCAAAUGCUCAUGAAAUGCUUAUGCAGUGAUCUGGGUGUGCUCGUGCAUGCAUGCAAUCUUAGUUGGCCCCCCUACAGCGCCUCUUUAUUUUCUCUUGCAUGGGGUCAUCGCCCCGGCUUUGUACAAGGGGUUACAUGCAGCUGAGGCAAGGCCUGUACACAAGGGUGGCCGCCGGGCAGUGCCCGGCAGCCUCGCGCCUUAUGGUUAGUACUUACGGAGAUGCUCAAUAUUCCAUGAGUUUUGCAACGGUGUGCCAUCUCCGGUCUCCAGACGGACUACGCCAGGUCUGGUGACUCGUACCACCCGAUAAGGGCCUUCCCACUUUGGUGAUAGCUUGUUUGUACCCUUGGCGGACUGAACGCGCCUAAGGACAAGGUCACCUUCCUCAAAACAACGGGCAUGAACCUUGCGGCUGUGAUAGCGACGCAGGGCUUGCUGGUAGCAUGCAGCACGCGUAGCAGCCCGGAGACGGUUCUCCUCAAGUAGCACAGCAUCGUCACGCCGGUGCUGAUCUUGCACUACUUCAUCCUAGGCAAGCACUUGAGGAGACCCGUAAAUGAGUUCUGUGGGGAUAGCUGCUUCUACCCGUAGACCAGGGAGAAGGGAGUCUGCGCGGUAGCUCGGUUAGGUGUCGUUCUAAGGGACCAGAGAACUACCGGCAGCUCCUCAAUCCACCGCCUGCCGUGCUUCUGCAACGUAUGAAAGUCCUUGUCUUGAGUCCACGAAGCACUUCAGCGUUCGCCCUCUCAGCUUGUCCAUUGCUCCAGGGGUGUGCCACAGAAGAGAAUGAGAUCUUGCAUCCGAGGGCAUGAACAUAUUGCAUCAAGGCGUGGCUCGUGAACUGGGUGCCGUUGUCAGUGAUGGUCCUUGCCAAAACUCCGAAACGACACACCAAUUCUUUCAAGAACUUGAUAGCUGACUGAGCAGUCACCUUUCUCACGGCAGUCACUUCCAGCCACUUUGUAAACUUGUCGAUGGCAAUGAACAAGAAUUCAAAGCCCCCGAUUGCUCGGAGGAAGGGGCCGAGGAUAUCGAGCCCCUAGACCGAAAAUGACCAUGAUAGAGGGAUUGUCUGAAGGGCUUGGGCAGGCAGGUGUGUUCUCUUGGAAUGGAACUGGCAGGCUUCACAUGUCGUGAUGAGCUCAACUGCAUCUUGGAGGGCUGUGGGCCAAUAGAAUCCUUGCCAGAAUGCUUUCCCAACUAAUGCCCUUGAUCCAAUGUGUGAGCCGCACAUUCCUCCGUGAAUCUCAGCCAGGGGUUCCUUUCCAUCCUCCCGCCAGACACACUUCAAUUUCACACCAUUGGGCCUUCUUCUAUACAGUGUCAUCGACAAACUGAUACAUACUGGCCCUCCAGGCUACUUUCUCAGCUUCAUCUUGGUCGCCGGGAAGUUCUCCGGUUUGGAAGAAGCGGAUGAUGUGCCUUGCCCAAGUUGGAGCCUGGGGCUCGGAAACGAGGACUAGUGGCACCUCCUCGGCUGCGGGAGCACCAGCCUCGUUCGCGGGGUCCAUAGUCUUGGCUAGAGGGGGUGGUCCGGCAGGCUGUGAGGAGUUGUUUCCUGUAGGGUCUCUGCCGGGAGAGGCUUACCAUAGUCCAACUUUCUCCUUUUCCGGGCCAUUGUGGCUGGUGAUACGGAGGGUCGAGAGAGAUAGAACAAAAGUUCCUGGUUCCACAGGAAGCUUCUGCGCAGCACACUUCGACAGGUGAUCAGCUAUGUUGUUUUCCGCACGGGCACGUGCUCUGUUUGCAACCCAUCAAAGUGCUCCUCCAAUCUCCUCACUUCCUUGAUGUAUGCUUCCAUCAAUGGACUUUGAUAAUCCUUUUUGACUUGUCUCACCACAAGCUGUGAAUCUCCUCGAAUGAUCAACUUCUUAAUUCCCAAUUCCGGUGCAAUCCUGAUCUCGGCAAGGAGCCCUUCAUACUCAGUUGUAUUGUUGGUGGCUUCUUCCCAGGCAGAGUGCAUUUGGACGAUGUACUUUAAGUGCUCCCCGGAGGGGGCAACAAGAAGCACGCCAUCCCCUGCACCUUGUAGGUAAAAAGCACCAUCAAAAUACAUGAUCCAUUCUUGGGGUGAUUCCUUGCCGGGGAGAGCUGUUUCAGUCACUUCCUCAUCAGGGGUUGGCGUCCAUUCCGCAAUAAACUCUGCCAAUGCCCUGCUCUGAAUAGUUGAUGUGCUCUCAAACUUCAAACCAAAGCUGGAUAACUCCAAAGCCCACUCCACUAUUUUGCUAGUAGCCUCAGGGUUUCGGAGUAUCCUUUGCAACGAAAAACGAGUGACAACUGUAAUCUCAUGGGCUUGGAAGUAGUGGUGCAGUUUCCUUGAGGCCAUGAUGAGGCCAAAGAUCAACUUUUGCACGCCAGAAUACCUCGACCUAGCCCCCUUGUAACAAGGAGCCGACAAAGUACACUGGGCGCUGCACCACUUUCUUCCUUGCCGCGUCCUUGGGGUUGCUCCCGUUGCCGUGCUCACUGCUGUUCUGAUCCUUUUCUGACUCUGCCGUGACUUACCCACUUUCUGUCUCAUCUACCUCUCGCUGUGCUACCCAGGCCGCACUGACCACUUGGUUGGUUGCCGCUAAGUAAAGCAAUAACGACUCCUGGGGUUUGGGUGCAACCAAGGUAGGCACAGACGAUAGGUAAGCCUUCAAUUCUUGUAGAGCUGCAUAUGCUUUCGGGGUCCACUUCAUAGGCCCUGCUUUCUUCAAAAUUUUGAAGAACGACAGGGCACGCUCGGCAGACUUGGAAAUGGAUCUGCUUAGCGCGGCAAUGCAUCCCGUCAAGCGCCUUACAUCCUUAACUGUCCUUGGUGCUUGGAUCUACUCAAUGGCCUUGAUCUUCUUGGGGUUGGCUUCAAUCCCCCGAUGGGACACGAAGAAUCCAAGUAGCUUGCCGGAGGGGACACCGAAUACACACUUCUCCGGAUUGAGCUUCAAGUUGAUCUUGCGCAGAUUAGCAAAUGUCUCUUCCAAAUCCUGGAUAAGGGUGGCCUUAUCCUAGGUUUUGACCAUGAUAUCAUCCAUAUAGGCUUCUAUAUUUCUGUCUAACGGUGGCUCAAAACCAAUCUGGACUGCUCUUGCAAAAGUGGACCCGACGCUCUUUAAUCUGAAAGGCAUGCAGACAAAGCAGUACGUACCACAUGGAGUGAUGAACGAUGUCUUCUCCUCAUCCUAUGAAUCAACAUUGAUGCAAUCCUCUUCUCCGAGCAACUUCCUUCCUUCCUCCAUUCGAGCACACUUAUCCACCUGUGUGUAUAACUCCUUCACUCUCUUGGGCAACCGCACAUUCAUCUUAGAACGAAUGCGAUGGUUGCACACAUUGGAUUGGAAGGCUACUAUAACAGCUGCCGGAUGGACAUUUGGAAUAUUCCUAUGAACUUUACUGAAUCUCUGUAAAUACUUACGGAUGGUUUCUCCUUCCUUCUGCUGGAGAAGCUGCAGAUCGCUGGGCCUGCCAGUGAAGGCACCGAUGAACUUGUGGCACAAUCUGCCCACGACAAAGUGGAGUUCUCCGGCAGGUGCAUCAGCCAAGACCUCACAUUGGACUUGAGGGCCAAAGAGAAGUAGUUGGCGAACACCUUCUCGUCUCUUCCCUCGGCAACAUGAACAUCGAUGGUGUAGAUGCUCAGGAACUCUGCUGGGUUCAGCCUCUCGUCGUACUUCUCAGGUAUCUCUGGGUUAAACGUGCGAACGGACAUCCAAUGGAUUUGCCGUAGCUCUCGUGUAAAGGCAGGGCAGCCCACCUCGAAAGGUAGGCACCCCCAACACCAAGCGCAGGCUCAUCGGCGUUGAGGCCGCUGCACCCGUCGGUCUGGCGGAGGUCGUCGUGGCGCCGAUCUAAGGCGACACGCGCGUCUCCCCGCUGCCUAUCCUUCGGGGCUCGACGUUGGCCUGGACGUGCUCGAGAGUCAGAAGAGGCCAUCGAGACGUCAUCGGGGUCUUUACUCUGCUGCGCCCACAUCGGCUGCGGUGGUGGGGACUGCACCGUAGGGACAUCCCCCUCCAUUCGGCCAGCAGUGCGGGCGGUUGCCGUUGCUUGGGGAGGUCGUGGCGGGCCAGCUCAUCGCGAGCCCCCAGCCUCAGCAAACACGAGCAGGCUUUGGAUGGUGGCACACCAUUCAUCCAUCUGCUCGGCUGCCGACGGAAACCUCAGUAGGAGCUGAGCUCGCGCCAUAGCCUCCCUGGCUGUGCUUGGCAUAGUGGUUGAUGAUGUCGACCGCACUGUUGCCUGGCUCCUAACGGCGCCAGCGGCGGCGUCGGUGGUAGUGCCGUGUCCAUGCAGCUGUGGAACGACCACCUGGGCUACGGGGUUGCGCAGUGGUGGUGCUCAGGGGUCAGCGGCUCCGUCGAGUGCAACAGUCUAGUCGGCUCGUCCGGGAGGAGACACACGGGCCGUGGUCGGUCCCGUGGUGGGGCGGCCGGAGGGCGGUGGUUCGCCCCGGGCCGAGUGCCAUUGCUGUGGCUGUGCCCGUCAGUGGGAGGAGAGGGUGUAGAAGGAGAGACCCCCUCGCCCGCACCUUGUGGAGCGUGACCACCAGGGCGUUGCUAAUGUUGUUCUCUUCCGAUGUCUCCAACCCCCGUGUCAGCCGCGGGGGGAGCCGUGAUGGCGCCACCUGCCCCAGUCACGCCCCCAGCGCGUUCAUGUCGCACACAAGCAAUUUACCCAGGUUCGGGCCGCUGCGAGGCGUAAUACCCUACCCCUGCUUUGGUGGAUUGAUGGUGGAAUGAGUGUGGUGGUGCGUAGUACACUUGCCCGGCAAGGUUUGCCUCGGGGCUGCAGCGACUACGCACGUAUGGUGGCUUGGGUUUGUCAACUUUCCAAUCCCCUAACCCCUCCUACGAGUGCCCUGGGCCUCCUAGAUUAAGGGGUCACCACAGUGGCAAAGUAGUCAUUAUCCACUGAUAUGAUAGCAAACAGUGCUAUCAUACCUAACUCUGUGGGCUAACAGGAUGCAUUGAAUGCGCCGCUUAGUGUCACAUCACUGGUUGCCGGCAAGGCCUGCCGGGCUGUCUUGCCAGCUCUGCGCCUAUUCUCUUGACACGUCGUAGGAUGGGUGUCAUCUGUGGGUUUAUUUUGUAGGAAAUGGCUGCCAUGUGGCAAAUGGCUGCCACUUAGUCAUCUUGCGUCUUGACACCGCACUGAUCGAUGACAUACGUCGUGGUUGAGUGGUUGGUGGGGUGGUUCUGCACCCACGAUCCCCGGCAGGCUCUGCCGGGGAGCCUUGAUUGCUUGCUUCUGGUGGUGGCCUCGCCCCUUGCCGGGUUCGCCUACCCGGCAAGGAGGCCCUUCUCUUGCCGAUGCCUUGCUUCUCUGGCUCGGCCUUGGUCUCUCUGAGCUGCAUGCUGGUUCUUCCAAUCCCUUGGUUCUUCAAUCUUUGGCUUGAGCUAAUGCUUUAAUCUUGAUCUUGUGCCUGUGCACAGUUGGGCAAUAGACCCAGGGUUUGUUGUACCGACAGAUCAGUUUGGUAGGCCCACCGUAGAUAGAAAACUUGGGUAGCCUAUUGAGCCAUAAUAUAGACAUCGGGAACAUCUAAAUGGGUGCUUUAUUUGAUUUCGACUAGCCCUAUAUGUUCAUGAGUCCUUCUAGUCUCCUUGGGCUGGAACCAAUAACAUUUGAAGACUACGGCGUUCAGUGGGUUUUCACCGUAGAAUAUAAGUUCAUAAACUGCUUCAACUCUCCCAUAAUACUCGGCACCUCCUUCGCCGAUAUCAGAGACACGACAAUUUGUAGUCUUUUGGUCAGCCAUAGAUAGCUCUUUGCCGAAGGUACGAAAGCGAUAGCCGUUGAUGUCGUAUUUGUCAAAUGAAUGGACCUUAUAGUCAAAACCAUCAGCGACUUGUCUCAGUUCGGCGUCCAUAGACUCCAAAUUAGCCUACAAGUUUAAUACGAAAGGAUUGUUGCAUUAGCCGCAAACUAGACGAAGAAAUGAGAAUGGUCUAGUGGAAAUUACCGUUUGUUUGAACCAAGAGAUGAAACCGGGAAAGCCGUCUCCAUGCUUUGCCAGAAGCUCAUACUCUUUGAUGGAUUCCUUUUUGAUCACCGUCCAUCCGAGAAUUUGGUGAUGUAUCGACUGUAUCAAAUAUCUGGGAAUAAGUGAAAUUCAAAGGAACUAGAAGUUGCGAAACAAUGUACCGAGAACUUACUCAUUGUACGGCCGCACUUCUGUUAGGUUGUUGAAGAUAUACAACGAAAUGGUUCGCCAUUCUUCGACAUCCAGCGAUAUUGGUUUCGAAGCACCGACUGGUGUGAGUUUUCCUAUGAAUAGGCUGUGGUUCGAUCCACCUUUUUAGGGUCGCCAUCAUUGUACUAAGGCUUCGGAUUAUGCAAAUGAUGAUUUUUGGCUUCGUAGUGUGCUGUCAUGAAGUUUGCCGCCUCCUCGGUAAUGAAUGCCUCGUCAUCGAUGCUUCAAUCCUACGUUUAUUUUUACAUUUUUCUCGAAGCAUCUUUUGCAUCCUCUCAUUUUUGUAGCACCAACGAUUUUGCAUGCCCCCCCAAUCUUGCCUCGGCCAGGAGAUGCAAAAUCAAGUGCUGCAUUGGAUUAAAGUAGCCCAGCGGAAAGAUCUUCUCUAACUUGCAGAUCAACUCCGGCGCCAACUCUUCCAUUUCUUCUAGCACGACAGGCGAUAGUUCUUUCGCACAAAGAACACGGAAGAAAUAGCUCAGCUCUGCCAAUACUAGCCAUUCAUCCUCAGGGAUAAAGCCACACAACAUCACCAGCAUUACCCGCUCAAGCCAUAUGUGCCAAUCUUGACUCGUGAGACCAAAUAUUUUCAUUUUUUCAAGACUCACUCCCCUCUUUAGAUUCGCUGCAUACCCAUUGGGGAACAUCAACUGCAUUUUCACCCACAAGAUAAUUUCCCUCAUAGCUAGCCUUCCAAGAUUGAACCAUGCCUUUGGCUUCGUCCAGUUCUGCUUUCCUUUCGGUUCUUGCAUGUUUUGUAAAAGUCUAUCACAUAGCGCCUCCUGAUUGACUCUAGCCUUCGUAUUAUCCUUUGACUUCUCCUCUAUGCCGAAGAAUGUACCAAAAAGGGCCUCGACGAUAUUCUUUUCAAUGUACAUCACGUCGAUGUUGUGUGGGCAAAGGAGGUCUUUGAAGUAAGGCAGAUCCCACAAGCAUGUCUUGUGAGUCCAUGCAUGUUCCGAAUUAUACCCAUUGAAAUACCCUGGAUGCUCUGGAUCUGGCUCGAGAGCGCUUAACUGAUCCAGGGUCUCUUGUCCUGUCAACACAGGUGGUGCAGAGUUUUUGACAACUCUACCUUUGACAAUGUUCUUGUUGUCUUUCCUGAUCUUAUGGCGAGGAUCCAGGAACUGUCUAUGCAAGUUGAAGCAAGAAAACUUGCGACCCGCCUGUAGCCAACGGAACUGAAGAGCUGCCUUGCAUGUGGGGCACAGAACCUUCCAUGCGCACACCAGCCAACGAAUAGCGCAUAUGCCGGCAAGUCAUGCAUCAAUUACAUGUACCAGCCACGCAUUAUGAAGUUCUGUUUGCUAGUGGUGUCGUAUGUCUUGAACUCAUUAUCCCAAGCUUCUUGCAAUUCAUCCUUAAGGGGCUGCAUGUACACAUUCAUAUUCUUCCCUGGAUAGUUGGGCCCUGGAAUUAUCAACGUCAGGAAAAUGUUCUUUCUUUGCAUAAUCUGUCUGGUGGGGGGGGGAAUUGAGUGGAAUGACAAAUACGGGCCAACAACUGUAUCGGGUUGCCGUCAGACCAAACACAUUGAACCCAUCCGUGCUGAUGGCGAGUCGAGGAUGCCUUGGAUCUGCCGCUUUUUGCUCAUGUAAUACAUCAAAGCACUUCCACGCAGAACCAUCCGAUGUGUGUACCAUCAUCAGAUUCCCAUCUGCAUCUAGUUCGGUUCUUUUGCCCAUUUUGUGCCAUGUCAUCUGUCUGGCCGUCUCUUCGACCAUGAAAACAUGUUUAAGUCUUGGUACGAUUGGCAUAUACCGAAGAACAUUAACGGGGAUUUUGGUCUGUGUCGUCUCACCCAUACCGUUGUCUACCACAACAUACCUGGAAGACUUGCAAAUGGGACAAUAGUUCAAGUCCGCAUACUCAAGCCUAAAUAAGGCACAUCCUUUCUCACAGGCAUGUUUCUUCUCAUAGGGCAUCUUAAGUGCGCGGAGGAUUUUGUCCGACUGGUACAGGUAUGUAGGCAUUACAUGGCCUUUGGGUAGAAAGAGUCCAAAUACUGUCAUCACCACGUCGUAGCAUUCUCUGCCCAAGUUGAAUUGAGCCUUCAGAGCCAUUACUUGUGAGAUGGCAUCCAACUGAGAAAGCUCAGUGUGCUCGUGGAGAGGACAUUUUGAAGACUCAAAAAUUUCAUUGAAGGCCUCUGCAGAUUCCUCCAUCUCAUCGUUCGAAUCCCGAGCAUCGUAGAAGUCUUGCACCAUGUCUUCCAUCCCGGUACCAUGCUCGUCGGUGCGACGACGAACCACCUCAGCUCUGGCACGUUGGGCAGACUCACCAUGAAAUGUCCACACCGUAUAACCAGGCAUAAAACCACUCUUCUGCAAGUGUUUACCCAUUUGAUCCUCUGCCCUCUUGUGCCAAUUGUUGCACCGGACACAGGGGCACCAGGUUUUUCUCUAGCCAUUUGCAAAUGCGGCUCUCACAAACCCCUUGGUUUUUGUUAACCAUUCAUUGGUUAUGUCUUUCUGACUAGUGUGACCAGUGUACAUCCACGCACGAUCACUCAUCUUGCCUAGCUACUGGACACAAAAGAAAUAUAUAUAUAAUUCAUCAUAUGUAUUCAUCCGUUAAUCUAGUUUGUCAAUUUUAUUACGUCCAUGCAACCUACGCGCUAGUAGGUAAAGAUAGGUCCUAAUCCCACCCGAGUAUGUGUAGAUUGAGUAUGUUCUCCAUGCUCUACCCCAUUCCGAGACAAAAUUUCGGUAGUACCUCCCCGCUGUUCUCCAAAUGCACAUCUCGGCAAAUAGCCGAGAGAAUGUGCAUCCGGAGAACAAUAGGGAGGCGCUGCCGAUAUUUUCUCUUGGAAUGGGAUAGAGCAUGGAGAACAUACCCAAUCUACACAUCCUUCGGCUGUCCGUGGAAAUUGCUGGACAAUCCGAAUGAGUUACGAUGAUAAAUAUGCAAGUGAAUGCAUAUUUACCGAUGCUACCCUUUCGGACAAGAGACGCAUACUGGUUACGCGACUGUAGUUACCUAGCUAGUGUCAUCGGCAUGAAGGCCGGAACAGAGCAAAUAAUUAAAGGGGGAGGAGGAGGAUAUAGCUAGCUACCUAUUGCUGUCGGUGAUGAGGGGAUGGAGCCGAGGCAGGAAGCAAGGGGCACCGAUGAGGAUCUGCGAGGAGGGGGGAUCUGGGGAGGGAUAGGUUAGUGACCGGCGAGGGGAGGGAUCUUGGGAUCUCUACAUUAACAUUUUAUUUUUCCUAACUAACUAAACUAGACUAGAUUAACUAAACUAAACUACAACUAAACUAAACUAAACUAUAGUAAACUGCAGUAAACUAACUAAACUACGGUAACUAACCAAAAAUACACUAACAAAAAAACACUAAGUAAACUACACUACACUAACUAUACUAACUAACUACACCAACUAAACUAACUACACGAACAGAGAAAAAAGCUAAAAAAAGAGAGGGGGAGGGGCCCACCGGAGGNNNNNNNNNNNNNNNNNNNNNNNNNNNNNNNNNNNNNNNNNNNNNNNNNNNNNNNNNNNNNNNNNNNNNNNNNNNNNNNNNNNNNNNNNNNNNNNNNNNNNNNNNNNNNNNNNNNNNNNNNNNNNNNNNNNNNNNNNNNNNNNNNNNNNNNNNNNNNNNNNNNNNNNNNNNNNNNNNNNNNNNNNNNNNNNNNNNNNNNNNNNNNNNNNNNNNNNNNNNNNNNNNNNNNNNNNNNNNNNNNNNNNNNNNNNNNNNNNNNNNNNNNNNNNNNNNNNNNNNNNNNNNNNNNNNNNNNNNNNNNNNNNNNNNNNNNNNNNNNNNNNNNNNNNNNNNNNNNNNNNNNNNNNNNNNNNNNNNNNNNNNNNNNNNNNNNNNNGUGGCGGCGGGGUGCAGACGGGGGCAGGGGCAACGUGUUGUCAGAGCGGCGGGCCAGGGCGGCGUGGUGCGGUCGGGGGGAGAGAGAUAGAGAAGAGAGAGAGAAGGGGGCCGGGUGGGUAACGACCCGUCAGGUAGUGGCUACUUUGCCGUCGGCUAGCGGACGACAAAGAAACUUUGCCGUCAGCUAGCAGACAGCAAAGAGGGGGAUGGGCCAGUCCCCAUGCACUGGCCUCCACUGGACCCCACCCCCACCUCUUUGCCAUUUGCUAGCGGAUGAAAAAGAUUCUUUGCCGUCCGCUAGCACACGGCAAAGAACUGCCUAAUGGCAAGCAAUAUCUUUGCCAUCAGCCAGUUCUUUGCCGUCUAUUUUCUGCAAGCAGACGACAAAGACCUUCUUUGGCGUCAGCUAGCAGACGACAAAGAACUGGCUGAUGGCAAAUUCUCUGAUUCCAGUAGUGCUGGC
rnacentral:lncRNA from 1 species